UUGUAACUCAGCUCAAUUGUUGAGUAUGCCUCUGCUGGUACUCCUUCGUCGAAGCUUGCCUCUGAAGGCGUUUGGAGUUCUUGCAAGGCAUUCUUCCACACAGGCAGCUCUUUUUUUCUCAGUGCCUUUGCUACUGUGGUUAGGGCAAUAGGCAAACCUCCGCAUGCCUUGGCUACACUUGUUGCUGUAGAUUCUAAUUCACGAUUUUCCACAUAAUCACCUGCCAUUAUCUUGAACAAUCUCCAGGCUUCUUGUUCAUUUAAAAUGCCAAUCGAGAAGUUUUUUUCAGAUUCCAUCCUUAACAGCACAUCGAGAUCUCAUGUUGUGAAUAAUAAUUUGCAUCCUCUGUGCUCAACUCCAAAAGGAAUUCCAAUAGUCCCCAAAUCAAGAGGUUUCCAGAUGUUAUCCAGAAUCACAAGGAUCUUCUUCUCAUUCUUCAAUCUUUCAUAUAGUCUACUAGCUCUUCUAGACUCAGCUUCCUCGGACAACUGUAGGCCUAACGUUUCCGCAAUGUCCUCUUGGACCUUUUUUAUGUCUGGACUUUGGGUAACCUCCGAAAAAGCCACCAUAUCGUAAAGCUUGUCUUCAAUGGCUCGCCUUGCAAACUCCUUCACCAGUGUCGUCUUUCCAAUGCCGCCCAUGCCGUAGACCCCAAUGAUGCCGACAUCAACAUCGAUCAAUGCAUUUUGUAUGGCCUUCAAAGUAGAAAGUCUUGAUUCGAAGGCCUCGCAGCCUUUGUGAGACUUGAGCCAUAUAUCCUCCGGAAUGGUACGGUAGGAAAUUCUAUCAUCAAAUUUCCUAGCUUCUUCUUUGAGUUCAACAAUGGCCUUCACCUUUGUUUCUGCUUCCUUGCUAAGCUGAUAGCCGGACUUCAAAUUAGGACACAAGCCCAUGAGACAUCGUUUAUUUGUUGUCUCCUCAUCGUCAAUGAAUUUGGCUGACUGCUCAAUGGUGUUGUUCGCACGAACCAGCCACUUCUCAACCUUCUCUUCAAUCUUUUCCCCUUUUCUUUCAGCCUCAGAAACCCUGUGCUGAAUGCUUCUCCUUUCAUCCUUGAGCUUGUCUAUUUCUGCCUUGAGAUUCUCAACGUUGGCUUUAUAGUUACGCAAAUAACCAAAUCGGCGUUCUGUUGGAGGAGCCAAGCACUUCAAAAAUUCUAAAACAACAGUAACAAUGCUUUCCACCAUCCUGGAUCCCUUUUUUUUUUUUUUUUCAAAGUUCUGACAAGAAAAUAGACAACGAGCGAAACACAGAGAGAGUGAAAAAAAGAAAAAACGAAACAACGAAGAUGGACAGUUUAUCCGGUUGUGGAAGCGGAGAAAUGAAAGAAAGAGUAAAAGCUGUUAUGGAUCUGGUGAGAAGAUGGAAACAAGGAAAAGGUUUCUAGUUCGAGAACUGAUUGAAUUAAUAUAAGGAAUGAUUUAGAUAAUAGAGGCGAAGGGAACCAAUCAGAAUAACUGAAGUAUUGACCAGCAGAAAGACGGAAAAAAUAUUGACUGGUAAUAGAGAUGGAAAAAAUGAAGAUAUCUUGACACGGUAGAAGUACAAAGGGUAGAUAUGGAACCAAACAGAGACAACAGCAGACCACAACAAGAUUGGGAAUGGAGAGAAACUAAUUAACAAAGACUGGAGAUUACAACAAAACAGAUGCCAAGAGAAAACUUGAUCCAGUGAAAUUCAAGAGAGCUGACAACAAAAACUGAUACUACUUGAUUGGGAAUUGAAGGCAAAGAGUAGGAGCUGACGAAUACGGGGAUCAAGAGGGAAAAACUGCUUGCUCGUAAAACUACUUUCAAGCGAAUCUGAUAAAAUUAUUUCAAUACUGGUGGGCGACUCCCUUUUAAACUGCAGAAGGAGAAAAAAGAAAUGUUCUGAAUUUCAAUGUAUUAAUUUUUAUCCUAAUUUAUGUUGAGACUCGUAAUCUCGUCUCAAUGAUUAAUUAGUAGAUAAUCUUUCUAACAAGUAUGUGAUGAAUAGAUAUAUUUCUUGACUAUUAGUAGGUUAGAUAUAUUUUAGCAUAGGAAUGAUAGUACAAGUUGUGUCAUAUUAGAAUACAAAUUUGACCUAAAAAUAUUGUUCUAUGACCUUUUAAUUAUUUGUCAGUUAAUAAUUAAGUCAUAUAAAAAAAAAAAAUCUGAAUUAGUCUUUAAGUAUUAUAAAUAUUUCUUGAUUUUUAAUUAUAAUAUCAUUAUUUAAAAAUAAUUGCUUGACUUACAUAGUAAGUCAAUAAAAUAUCUAACAAUAGUUGUCAUAAAACAUGUGAUCCUCAAUCAAUGAAAUAUCUAACAAUAUCAUCACCUAAAGUUUGAGAUAUGUGAUCCUUAUUCCACUGCGUCAAUUACACUCCAGUACAAUGCUGCCAUCAUUAUCAAACAGUCGACAUCCACCAGUUCUAAUUGCCAAAACUUAGAACUAAACAGUAGCUCGGUCAGAAAAUCAAACGCCAGUACCGGUCAAAUGACCGAUAAAAAUAUAAAGAAAUAAAAAUUUUAAAGUUUUACUUUAUUGCUUUUUUAAUCUUAUUACUAUUUCUCGUUGCACUUAUAAAGAAACCAAAGCUUUAAGAGAAAUCGGCCAAAUCACGAAGAUUGAAGAGUAAAUCUAUGGUUUUAUAUUUAUAUUUUUAUUUUUAGAUAAUAGAUAUUAUUUUGAUGAAUUUUUAAUAUUAGAAUAAUGUUAGGAAUUUCGAUAGUAGAAUUCUAACUUGAGACCCAAUUGUUAUGUGUCAUUUUUUUAUUAGAUAAUAAAUUUCAUAACUAAUAAAAUUAAUAUUUCGAUUAUCUAAUAAAUGACUAUCAUAUCAGCUGAGACUCAAUUAUUGGGAUCCUUAACAUUGCUCUUAGUAUUAAAUUGGACAUCUUAGCUAAAUUAGAUUAAUUUUUAUAUCAUAACUUUGUAAGUGUAUAAUUACUCAUUAAAUUAACAAAAUUAUUUUAAAAUAUUUAGUUAGAAAAAUAAAUUAUAUUCUUUUUAUUUCAAAUAAUCUAUAAGUUAACUCAAAACAUAAUCAAGCUGAGAAUUAAAAUAAUGCCACUGUAUGAGAGGAUUUUUAUUUUUUUUCCCGAAGUUUCACUAGGAAAUUAUUGAUAUAUAGCUUUAUUCGGAUCAUCUCAGUUCAAACGACAAAUAAUUGAAAGACUAAACUAAAUAGACCAGCCAACAACUUUGUACAGCAGAGUUCAAAAAUUAAGGUCAUGAUAUUGAGGUGUUCUGUCCUGAAACAUACGGCAUAGUGACAAAAUAAAAACUAUUAGUCUUUAGUAAGAUAUGACUUUUAAAUAAUAAUUUUCACAAAAAUACAAAGAAUAUUUAUGAAGUACUUCUAUAAUGAAGUACUUCUAUAGUGAGGAGACCCUCGCUUUGUUAAAGUGAAAAUAUCAAUAAUAUACAAGAAACAUACAUUUUAACACAUUAAGAAUUGUAUCUUUUUAAUCUAUUGGUGUAUUGAAAUAUGUGUUAUUUAAUUUGUUAGUGAUAUCAUCACUUUGUUAAAAUAAGGAUGUCAGAACCAUUAUAUAUAAGAAAGUAAAUAUAUUUUUGUACGGUAUAAUAGUGUAAUAACAUCACCCGAGUAUAUCAUAUAGAGUAAUAGUUUUUGGAACUUUAAUAAAGUUCAAGAUUAUAGAAUGAAUGAUUUAUAUAUAUUUUAAAUUUUUUAUCAUAAAGUGGAGGACAAAAGUAACAUAUUUUUCAAAUUAUAAUAAAUAGAUAUUUUAAUUUAACAUCGUGAUUUCUCCUAACUAGAGUAGUAAAUACGACCUAGGAGGUACAUUCAAAGCAUUUCAUAAGUUAAUUGUUAAUAAUAAAUGAUACAUGCAGCUCCAAUCAUCAUUUUACGGCGAGUAAUUUCCAGUUAUAAAUAGAUAUUACUCCCUUCCCAGCAAUUUUUGAUGGCAAUUUAUUGGGAUCAAAAUCAACAUUGAAUAGUCAAAAUAUUAAUGGCCAUGAUGCUUAUUCCAAUGUGAGUAGUUCACAGUGGGUACUGCACAUGAUGCUUGUUUCUCCUUUUGCAUCUAUUUUUGUUGUUAACAUUAAUUUCAAUAGCAGCUCGUUAUUAUGUAUACAACAUUUCAAAGUUAAUCCAAAAAAAAAAAGACAAAAAUUAGUUCAGCUGACUAAAUUUGAAAGCAUGGAUUUGCCGUCGAUUAAAAAUCGUUUUGUAGGGAAAAAUUUUGGAUUGCAAUUUUCAUACAAUACAUAGAAUUAUCAUAAUCUAUAAAUUAGGGCUCGUUUGGUAUUGUUUUUGAAUUUAUAUUUUUUGAGAAUAAAAAUGAAAAUGAAAAUGGUGUUUUGCAGUUGCUGUAUUUUGAAUUUAAAUAUGCGUCUGGUAUCAUUUUCUGUAUCCUAUAUUUUAAAACUGAAAACAAUAAUAUGCGUUUGGUAGACACAGUUGAAAAUGAUAAAACAAAAAAUAUGUGUUUGGUAAUACUUUUUUCAAAAACAGUUUUUACUAAGCAUUUACAUUAUAUUUGUAGUCAUAAAAUAAUUAUUUAGCUAAUACAUACAUAAAUACAACAAAAUAAUUUAAACAAAUUUAUUAUUAAAAAAUUACAUGAUGAUAAAGUUUUAAAAUUAACAUUAAUUAAAGAAAAGUUUGAUAAUAAACUGAAAGCAUGCAUGGUAUGAACUAGAGUUAGUGCAAUUUAACAUGAAGCUUGCUCGUGCAAAAUUAUUUUAUAUAGCAUUUGCAGUUUCAAUUUCCAAUUCCAAGGUUCUGAUUCCAUGCUCCCAAACACAACAAUAAAUGUAAAUCCAAUUACACAUCUUCUUGGAACAACUUUUUGUGAAGUAAGUGCCAUUUUUUUUUUUAAGAAUAUUCAUUCUGAAAACACAUUAGACACGGAAUUAGAAAGCUGUUUAACUGCUUUCUAGAAACAAUAUUUGCUCUGCCAAAAGAAAAAAAAAAACUACUUCACAUUGACUCACCAAUCCACUCCUCCACUUUCAAUCAUAAAUUCCACAAUAAUCAAUAAUCAUCAGCACUAGCAGGAAAAUUACAUUACACGUUCAGCAACUCACAUAACAAAGAUUCCCAAGCAAAUUAAAACCCAAUGAAUGCCAAAUUCGAUUGUACGCAAUCCAAAGAUUUGUUGUAUAUACAACAAAACACUUAACUGCAACUGCAUCGAAGAAGGAGAGUGUCCUUCUGAUUGUUAUCCUCUGUUUGUAUAUCCAAAAUUCAUGGCCCCGACGCUUACUUCCUCUGUUAAGUAUAUAAGUUGAAGCUGCUGAGCUGACUGAAGAUGUUGUGAGCUGCUGAGCUGGAUUAGGUGGUUAUAUGGUUGAUUAAGUUGUAACGAUUUGUCCAGCUGGCAUGUUAUGAUUGGAAGAUGAAAUGGUUUGUUAAUUCGGCAGCUUUGAGCUCUGUUUCUGUUAUCAGUUUUCAGUGUAACUAUAAAUAAUAGUCAACACGAUUACAAUGUAUGAUUUUCAGAUUUUAAUCAAUAAGAAUUUCUCUCAGUUAAAGUUCUCUUUCUCUUUCUCUUAUGCCAAACACUCUUAUUAAUUCUAAUAUGGUAUCAGAGCCAUCAACUAUGUCUGGAUCUAAUCAUAUAGCUUCCUCUUCACUCUCAUUUCAUUUUGUUCAACCUGUAAAGCUCGACAGAUCAAACUAUCUAGUUUGGAAGGCUCAAGUGAGAACAUCAAUCAUUGCUAAUGGACUCGAAAGCUUCAUCAAUGGUGAGAAUGUGUGUCCAGAACGCUAUCUCGUGGAAUCAACUCAAGAAUCUCGAAGAUCUGGAGCUGAAGCUUCACAAAAACAAGAAAAUCCAGAUUAUGCUUUAUGGAUGAAAACCGAUAAACUUCUGCAGAGCUGGAUGCUAUCAUCAAUGGUGGAUAACGUUUUAAUCAUGGUGAUCAACUGCGAAACAUCACUUGAGCUCUGGGAGAUGCUUGCCGAAAUCUUCAUGUCACAAUCUAAAGCAAGGUAUCUACCUUUGAAGAUGCAAAUUCAAUCAACAAAGAAAGGAUCACUUUCAGUAAGUGAUUAUUUUAAUAAGAUGAAAAAAAUUGCUGAUAGUUUGGCCAUUGGAGGUAAUCCAGUCACUUCAAAUGAAUUGAUUAUGCAUUUGCUUACUGGAUUGGAUGAUAACUAUGAAUCUUUAGUUACAAAUAUACUUACUAGACUGGAAAAAGAGAAACUCACUAUUGAGGAGGUGUAUUCUAUGAUGCUUAGUCAUGAAACUAGGUUGGAAAUGAACAAAGGAAAAUAUCACAAUGAACCUCAGCAUGAAAUGACAGCAAAUUUUGCUCAGAAAAGUCAAGGAUACAAUAGAUCUGGAUAUAAUCAGAAGAAUACAGGUGCUGGUAAUUCAGGUGGUUAUGAUAACAGUCAGAAUAGCAAUACAGGUCCUGGAAGAGAUGUUGUAUGUCAAAUUUGUUUCAUCCCAGGUCAUGUAGCUUAUAAGUGUAAACACAGGUUCAAUCAGGGCUUUAUUCCUAGAAACAGAGGUUUUGAUGCUUUUAGGCCAAGAGGUGGAGGUCAGAAUUAUAGAGGACCUCCUGGAAAUAAUCAAAAUUAUUUUGGCAGAGGUUAUGGGUACAAUGCUUCUGGUUUUGGGUCUGGAUUCAGGUCUAACUUUCCUAGACAAGCUGGACCUUACUUUGGUUAUGUUGCCUAUCAGAAUCCAGGUGUCAUGAAUUCUCAAGGUGUUUUUGAUUUUCAAGGUGUAAAUGGUGCAUAUAAUGGGGUUCAAACAGCAAGCAUGUAUGCUGGAAAUGUUGGUAUUCCUCACAAUGUACAUCCCUCUGCACAAUUGGCAAAUUACAGCAGUGUAGCUGAUCCAGCUUGGUAUCUUGACUCUGGAGCAACUAAUCACAUUGCUCAAGAUGCAGGUAUGCUAUUUAAAUACUCAACUUACCGUGGCUGUGAGAAACUGCAUGUAGGAAAUGGUAUGGGAUUGCCUAUUCACAAUGUUGGAUCUGUUGCUAUUAAAACCCUGUCUACAAAACCUAUUUACCUGAAUCAUGUUUUACAUGUACCCUCAAUUACUAAAAACCUUAUCAGUGUUUCCAAAUUGCUUGCUGAUAACAAUGUUUUCAUUGAGUUUUACAAUCAUGUCUGUUUUGUUAAGGACAAGAACUCAAGGAUCACAUUGCUCAAGGGGAUUGCUAGAGGAGGUCUUUAUCAAGUUCCAAGUUUGAAUGCAGUCUGUGAUAACUCAAGUUCUGUUGUUCCAGUGUUCAACUCUUCAGAGUCUGUUUUUAAUCCAAUAAAUCAAUUGUCAGUAGUUCCAGUGUCUAUGUUUACACAAUUGAAUUCCCUUGAUACUGAGACUUAUCCUCUUAUGCUUGUAAAUAAUCCUCAAAUCAAUAAAAAUGCCUCUGUAGCUCCUUUUGCUUCGUGUAAUAAGACUGUUGAUUAUAACUUGUUGCACAAAAGAAUGGGUCAUCCAACAACUCAUGCCUUAAAACAAAUCAUGAAGUGCCUGGAUUCAACCUUUGUUCUUUCCAAAAACUCAAAACCACAGUUUUGUGAUGCCUGUCAACUAGGCAAGUGUCAUAUGCAGCAUUUUCCUUCAAUAGAAACAUCAACCACUCAGCCCCUUGAAUUGUUACAUGCUGAUCUCUGGGGACCAGCUCCCAUUACCUCCUCCCAAGGAUACUCCUACUAUCUAUCUAUCCUUGAUGACUAUACCCGAUACACUUGGAUAUUUCCCCUUACAGCAAAAUCCAAAACUCUAUCAGCCUUUAUUGACUUCAAAAACAUGAUAGAAAAUUGUCUAAACUUGAGAAUCAAGUGCUUACAAACUGAUUGGGGUGGGGAGUUCAGGCCUUUUGUGUCAUAUCUCUCUGAACAAGGCAUACAAUUUAGACAUCCAUGCCCUUAUAUACAUCACCAAAAUGGGAAAAUAGAGAGAAAACAUAGACAUAUUGUUGAAACAGGUCUCACACUUCUUGCCCAAGCUCACUUGCCACUCAAAUUCUGGUGGAAUGCAUUUCAUACAGCCACCUAUCUCAUUAACAGACUUCCUACACCUAUUCUCAACAAUAAAUCACCAUUUGAAAAAUUAUUUCACAAGCUCCCAGAUUAUACAAUGAUGAAAAUUUUUGGCUGCUCUUGUUACCCUUAUCUUAGACCUUAUAAUCAUCAUAAGCUUCAGUUUAGAAGUGAAAGAUGUGUCUUUCUUGGCUAUAGCUCACUUCACAAAGGAUAUCAAUGUCUUCAUCCUUCUGGAAGAGUCUAUAUAAGUAAUCAUGUCACCUUUGAUGAAUCAUCUUUUCCCUUCCAAUCAGCUGACAAGUUCUCUACAAAGUCAUGUUCUGAUUCUUUACAUGAGUCUACUUCUUCAAAUCCUCUUGUCUCAUUCACAUUAUCACAGACUGCUGAACAACUUGAUAGAUCUCUCUCUCAAUCUACACCUCCAGCAACUGAUUUACCAUCAACUUCAAACCUGUCCAGUUCAGAAAAUCAUUUGUUGUCUCAUACUCCUAGUCCUAUAAAUCAGCAAUCAUCUUCUCAACCUCUUCAUCACCUAUCUCCACCUUCACAACCCAUAAUUGGUCAUCCUAUGACUACCCGAUCCAAAAUGGGAAUAUUCAAACCAAAAAAGGCCUAUCUAGUUGAAUGUAAUCCUAAGCCAACAGAACCACUUACAGUUUCAGCUGCUCUAAAUGAUCCAAAGUGGCUUCAAGCAAUGCAAGAAGAAUAUCAAGCCUUAGUUAAAAAUCAGACCUGGACACUUGUUCAGCCGACAUCUCCUGUCAAAGUUGUAGGAAACAAAUGGUAUUUAGAAUUAAACACAAUGCAGAUGGUAGUGUCUCAAGGUACAAAGCCAGACUUGUAGCAAAGGGUUUCCAUCAAACUCAAGGCAUUGAUUAUAAUGAGACUUUUAGUCCAGUGGUGAAGGCUUCUACAGUUAAACUUAUUUUGAGCUUGGCUGUUCUUAAUCACUGGUCAUUGAGACAAGUUGACAUAAAUAAUGCCUUCCUCCAUGGUUAUCUUACUGAAGAAGUGUAUAUGCAGCAGCCUGAAGGCUUUGUGGAUCCAGCUAAACCUACUCACAUCUGUAAACUGCAGAAGGCAUUAUAUGGUCUCAAACAAGCUCCUAGAGCUUGGUUUGAUAGAUUAAAAACAGUGUUAACUACUCAAUGGGGUUUCAAGAAUUCCAAGUCUGAUAAUUCUCUGUUUUUUCAGAGGACUCAAGGUCAUCUCUUGCUGGUAUUAGUUUAUGUGGAUGAUAUCAUUGUAACAGGUUCAGAUUCUAUUCAGAUUCAGCAAGUUAUCAAUAAUCUGCAGUCAACUUUUGCUCUUAAAGAUCUUGGAGAACUGCAUUAUUUUCUUGGUAUUCAGGUCACCAAAUCUGAAACAGGCUUACAUCUCUCUCAGACAAAGUAUAUAGCUGAUCUCCUCAACAAAGUUAAGAUGCACGACUGUACCCCUUGCUCUACUCCAAUGGCUGCCAAUGUUCCACUUACCAAAACUGACAGUGAAUCAUUUACUGAUGCAACUUUGUAUAGAAGCACAAUUGGAGCUCUUCAGUAUGCUACCUUGACCAGACCUGAGAUAGCAUUUCCUGUCAACAAGCUCAGCCAGUUUCUAGCUGCACCAACAAAUAAUCACUGGCAAGCAUGCAAAAGGAUCCUUAGAUAUCUAAAAGGUACAAUGCACAUGGGAUUACAAUAUUCAAAUCAAGGUCCCUUACACAUAGAUUGCUUCAGUGAUGCAGACUGGGCAGCUGAUAGGGAUGACAGAAAAUCGAUUGCUGGAUAUUGUGUUUAUUUUGGUCCUAAUCUGGUUUCUUGGUGUUCAAAGAAACAAGGAGUGGUGUCCAGGUCCAGCACUGAAUCAGAGUAUCGAGCUUUAGCAAUGGCUGCAUCUGAGGUUUUAUGGCUUAAGUCCUUGUUGACUGAAAUUGGUAUUUCUCUUGUCUCUACUCCUGUCAUUUGGUGUGAUAACCAAAGUGCUGCUGCUUUAGCAAGCAAUCCAAAAUUUCACUCUCGAACUAAACACAUAGAACUUGAUGUGCAUUUCUUGCGUGAAAAGAUUGCUAAUAAGAGCUUUGAAGUUAGUUAUGUUCCUAGUUCCCAUAACUCAGCUGAUAUCCUCACCAAAGCUUUAGCCUAUCAUCCUUUUCAUUAUUUGAGAGACAAGCUCACCCUGACUUCACCAGGUUGAGCUUGAGGGGGGAUGUUAAGUAUAUAAGUUGAAGCUGCUGAGCUGACUGAAGAUGUUGUGAGCUGCUGAGCUGGAUUAGGUGGUUAUAUGGUUGAUUAAGUUGUAACGAUUUGUCCAGCUGGCAUGUUAUGAUUGGAAGAUGAAAUGGUUUGUUAAUUCGGCAGCUUUGAGCUCUGUUUCUGUUAUCAGUUUUCAGUGUAACUAUAAAUAAUAGUCAACACGAUUACAAUGUAUGAUUUUCAGAUUUUAAUCAAUAAGAAUUUCUCUCAGUUAAAGUUCUCUUUCUCUUUCUCUUAUGCCAAACACUCUUAUUAAUUCUAAUAUCCUCCAAUUCAUUUCUGCUCAAUACAACACCCCGUUCAAGGCUCAUCGUCAAGAACCCAAGAUUCAGUGUGUUUGCCAAGAAAGUUGGACCGUUCCCUCCAUUUCAGCUUGGCAAGUCGAAGGAUGAGAAUUCAUCUGAUGAAAGCUCAAAUGGUGAUUCCGGCAAUUCCAAUCCUUUUCGCUUCAACUUUGGUGAGGUGAGGGAUGUGACAUCUUUGAUCCUAGUUGUGAGCAGCCCUAGAACUGGGCUGUCAUUUGGAACUGGGCAGGCCGGCGUUCGUAUUUUACGGCACACCAAAGGACAGCCGCGGUAGAGACGAAGUUGCAGCGGCGGCAGAGAAAAUGUUGUUUGAGGGAGAAAAGGAGAAAGCACUGCUGCCGUGACUAGAUCGAGGAUAGCCGUGGGGGGGGGGGGGUUGACCAGAUCGAGAACGAUGAGAGGGGGGAGAAGGUUGCUGCCGAAGAGAAUGGGUUUUGUUUCUUAAUCUAUUUUUGAGUUUAGUUUGUAAUAUUUAGGAAACAUGUUAAACACGUUUUCAUGUUUGUAGUUAUAACACUAGAUCUGAAUUUGUUAUUUCGUGAUUUGUUUUUUGAAUCCAUCCCACCAAACAUAUAUUAUGUUUGUAUUAUGAAAACAAAAAUGAAAACAAUGGGUAAAAAACGCUACCAAACGGGCCCUUAUUUUUUUGCUUUUCUGUGGUAGUAAGUCCGACUCCUUAGUGACAAUUUAAAUUGAAAAAAUAAAAUCAUAAAUUAGAAUUAUUUGAUAAGAAUUAAAAUAAUUGAUAAAAAUUUGAGAGGAGCAAUUUUGGAAGAUUCGAUUUCUAAUAGAAAGGGUGAAUUUUACAGCCUUCGGUGAGGAAUCCAAAAUGCACAAUUUGAUGAAAAUUAAAUUUCAAUAGAAAUUGAAUUCCCAUUUAUUAGUGAAAACCAAACAACAGAAAAGUGAAAGGAAUUUGAAUUCAUUUCCUUCCUCUCCUCCCUCCAACUAAACACCAUCGAAAUCCAAAGGUAUGGAUUGGGAUUCCAUAUUGAUCAGAAUGGGAUUUGUCCAUAUUAGUAGGACCAAUUUUAAAAGCAGUCGGAGUUUCGAAGUUUAAGAUUGAAAUUGUCCAAUUAAUCACAAUUGUUGAUUUGGGACUAGAUAAGAAUUUAUCUUGGAACUCCAAUUCUCCAAAAAAAAUACGCUAGCUUCGCCACUGCACUAGGGACAUAUUAAUCAGGUGGGUUAUAUUACAACCAGAGGAUUUAAAUUUGAUUUAAGAUAUGUGGGGUCUGCUUUUGGAUUUAGAAAAUUUGCUCAUUAAGAGUUGAACCCAAGUGACCUACCGUUAGAUUAGAUUAAUAGUGAUUUCUUGUAGUAAAUAUUUGUGAAUUUGAAAUAUGUGAAUUCUAUCCUGGUGAUACAAAACAAGCUUCUUGUACACGAGAACUAUUUAUUUUUAUGAUUUGGAAACCAAUCUAUAAAGAUGAAUUAAGUUGGCAUAAUGGUACAAAGCAGCUUUAAUUUUUCAAUAAAUUCAAAAGUUGGCAAGUUGGUUGUGAUUAUUAUCUUUUCUUUUUUACUAUUUAAACUACAAUUAAUUGAAUCCAAAGACUAAAGGGUUGGAUCGAGAAGAAACUAAUUUUAAGUAGACAUUCCGGCGAAAAUCACUCCCAUGAUCGAGACACUCAUGCAAUCAAUACAAAAAUGGACACAAAAAUUGUCUACUUAAGUUUGGUUGAAUGAUUUUAAAAAUAGUUUUAUUUGUUUCACACUCGAAUUUGGAUUUUGAAAAAGAGUGGGAGUUAAAAAUUGAUUUACACUUUAUCAAUUACUCUAUUUUAAAAAGAAAUAAAUAUUAAAAAAAAUAAAAACAUUAAUUUCUUGUUUGUUUGUACUUACCAUUGUAGGAUAAAUAAAGUGGUUGACAAAAAUUAUAUAUCUUAAAAAUAAAUUCUAGAUUUAUAACUAAUGUAUAAUGAUUUCAAUUCACAUGUUUCAAUCCCAAAUAAAUUCUCCUUUGGUUAUUUGAAUCUUAGCGCGGUAAGAUUUCAUUCUCUUAUAUGCAUUUGUGUAAACUUCUCCCUUUACCUUUAUCAUUUUAUCAACUUUAUUGAUUGCCAAUCAACUUUAGGGUUUAGGCAUGAAUCACACAAGGGAAUGAUAUUGUGGCAAUUUUUUCCCCCUUCUUUUUUCUUUUUGAAAAAAAAAAUUAUUUAUAGCUUUGCUUUGAUGGGUAGAAGACUAGAAGACCAAUUAAUUUCUUUUUGUUGCGUGGUGAUAAUAAUGAUGGAAAUUGCUAUGUACGCGUUGGUGAUUGCAUUGCUAGUCACAUAUUGCUUCCCAUCAUGGAGACAAAGGGGACCCCUCUAUCAAAGCUAGCUGUUGAAAUAUCAUACCCAAAAUCACAUGAAUUCAAAGGUUGAAUGGGAAAACGAUCUUGCUCCUUUGUAUGUUUUAUUUUAUUUAAAGACUUAUUGUUUCCCAUAAGAGAUAAGCUUGGAUCUAUCUUUCCUUUUAAUCAUUUUAGCCUCCAACUCCCAUCUUUUUCAAAAGUUUCGUUUAGCCCAUUUUGAAUGGCAAGGUAAGCUUCAAUUAACGCAACAAGUUCAAGUGAUUCCCGUCAAUAUUCGAUUGCAUGUAUGUAGCUUUGAGUGCUCGAAUUUAUUUUAUUUAUUAGUUGUUAUCACUUAUCAUUUUCUUUUUAAUAAUGAGAUUUGGGCAUUUUCUUUUUAAUAAUGAGAUUCGGGUCCCUGGAUGGUGAUUAGCCAACAGUCUAGUUAUGAGAAAUUAAUGUCUUAAUUACAAUGACAAAAAAGGCAAGUGGGGAUCUCAUUUGCCAUUAGGUAACACAACAUCUUCAGCAUUGGAGCUUUUCUUCCUUUCUCUCCUUCUUUCUUUCUUUCUCAAAAUAAUUGAAAAUCUAAUGCAAUACAAUUAAAUUGAUCAACGAUCUAAUUUAAUCAAUACAUUAUAUUAAGAUAUUUAAAAUAAAAUCGGUUCAAAUGGAAUGAGAAGUUCUACUAAAAAAAUAACAACAUUUAUUCCUUAUUAUUAUUAUUCGAAUUCAAAUAACCUUGGAUUCCAAACGCAUUCAAGACUAGCCAGGCUGCAUAUCCAAGAAGAAAACCAAAUCAAAACUUUAGCCACAAACAUAUACGUGUGUGUGUAUGUGUGUGUGUAUAUUUGUGUGUGUGUGUGUGUGUGUGUGUGUAUAGAGAGAGAGAGAGAGAGUUCUUUCACUAGGUUCAUUUGCGUGAAACUUUUUGAUCAUUUAGGUUUAAGACUAUAUCAUAUAUCCUAUUGCACGAACAUUGAUUAAUAUGAAUGAGUCAAACCCACUAAGCUUGCAACAAAAUCUUUUCAUAGUUACUAGAGAAUAUUUAUAUUUUUUUCAAACAUUAAUAAAAUUAUUGAAUUGCUUUAUUUAUAGUACGUAUACAAUUAAUAGUGUAUGGAUUUUUUUAAUCUAUUGGUGUAUUGAAAUAUGUGUUAUUUAGUUUGUUAGUGAUAUAAUCACUUUGUUAAAAUGAGAAUGUCGUUACUAGAGAAUCAUUAUAUAUACAUAUAUAAAGUGCUUCUAUCCAAGACCUAGACUUUAUUAAAAUUUAAGAAAGCAAAUAUAUUUUAUAUGGUAUAAUAGUGUAAUAACAUCACACUAUUAUAUCAUAUAGAGUAAUAGUUUUUUGGAACUUUAAUAAAAUUCAAGAUUAUAGAAUGAAUGAUUUAUAUAAAUUAGAAUUUUUUUAUCAUAAAUGGAGGAGAAAAUUAACAUAUUUUCAAAUUAUAAUAAGUAUUUAUCAAAUAAUUUAACAUUGCAAUUUCUCCUAACUAGUAUAGUAAAUAAUACGACCUAGGAGGUACAUUCAAAGCAUUUCAUAAGUUAGUUGUUAAUAAUAAAUGAUAUAUGCAGCUCCAAUUAAUCAUCAUUGUACGGUGAAUAAUUUCCAGUUAUAAAUAGAUAUUACUCCCUUCCCAGCAAUUUUUGAUGGCUUAAUUUUGUGGGAUCAAAAUCAACAUUGAAUGUCAAAAUGUUAAUGGCCAAACAGACCAGCUGCCAACAACUUAUUCCAAUGUGAGUAGUUCACGGUGGGUACUGCACAUGAUGCUUGUUUCUCCUUUUGCAUCUAUUUUUGUUGUUAACAUUAAUUUCAAUAGCAGCUCGUUAAUCCCAAUUGUUGAUUUGGGACUAGAUAAGAAUUUAUCUUGGAACUCCAAUUCUCCCAAUUAUUUUAGUUGACAAUAUGUUUAACAUUAUUUUUUCAGUAAUGCUACACAUCCCAAAUUUCUUAUCCCAAAAAGUUAUCCCAAAUGAUGUGUCAUUAAUUGAGUGGUUGAUAAUUAUUUACAAUAUCCAAGUGAAUUAAUUGUAUUAUCUCACCAACCAAUUGAUAAAUGCCACAUCAUUUGGGAUAACUUUUUGGGAUAAAAAAUUUGGGAUGUGUAGCAUUAUUGUUAUUUUUUUUAACAUUAUUAAUUGCAUAUUAUUUAAUUAUCAAUAUAUAAUAUUCUUUAAUUUUCUAAUUUUAUAGGAUUAGACACAAAAUUGAUUAUACCUUUUGAAAUUUAAGGGUUAUGUCAAUUGAAUAGAAAACUUGGAGUUAAACUUGUGGAUGUUUUUGUUGAUUAUCAAUUUAUGCAUGGAUUUUUGUACGUUUAUUUGGUUUAUUAUUAUUACUUUUAAACAUUUUUAUUGGUUUGAUUUAGGGUCAGUUUGGUAAUCCUAUAGCUUUUAAAAUAAUUACAGUUAGCUAUGAUGUAGAAAUUGAUCAAUCGUCAAGAGAAUCAGCUGAACAUUUAGUAAAAUUUAUUUUUAAAAGUACUUUUAGUUUUAAAAGUGUCGCAUGUGUUUCGUAAAUCUUAUUGUUAAACUGGUGCAAAAAUGUAAAUGACUGAAUUGGACAUAAUGCUAAAUAAAAUUUAUUUAUACAUUUAUAAACACGUAUAUAAAAUAUUUUUAUUACGUACAUAUAAUUAUUGAUAACUAAAAUAAAUAUUUUAUAUUAUUAAAUUUUAUUCUCUAUUUUGUUAUCUCAAUAUAAUUGGUAAUAGUAAUAAUCUCUUUAAAGUUAAUCAUUUUAUUUCUUAAUUAAUAAAGAUAAUUUUGAAUUUUUAUUAUAUAAUGAGGAUAUGUAAAUAAAUAUAUAGAAUUUGAUUAAAUAUAAAAGUGAUUCUCAAAAUCAGAUUUUGAAAAUUUAUUCAUUCCAUACUUUUUCAAAAUCUACUAUACAAUGAGAUGAUUUUGCCAAAAGUAAUUACUAAAAAUUAGUUUUUAAUUUUUAAAAUUACUUUUGAACUUCCCAAAAAUAAUCCUAACGGACCUUUUUAUUUGGGUGGUGUUAGAACUUGUGACUUUUGGAUCUUUUAGUUUUUAUUGGUUUGAUACAAUUGUUACCUAAAAAUUAAUUGUAUCUUAAACCCAAACUUCUUCUUCUUCUUUUUGACUAACAAAAUAAAAAAACAAUAGUGAACACAUUCUUUAAUAAACAAUAAGUAAUAACUAAAAUCGUGUUAAAUUUCUUAAAAAUUUUCUUUCACGGUCUGCUAAAUAUUUUUAUUAGUAUUUUGAUUAAAUAAAAAUAAUUGAUUUAAUUUUUUUAAAGAAACUUAUUAGGUUCAUGUAAAGAUGUUUUUGUUAUUUUAAAAAGUGUAGAAAGUACUCCUAAAAAAAAGUGUGGAAAGUAAAACUUAAUUUUUUAAAUUUAUUAGCUUACUGCAUAAAUAAUUGAGUGUUCAUAAUGAUUUUUAAAGUAUAGAUAGUCGGACCCUAAUAUUUUUAAUAUGGAAAUUUUGCUAAUAUGUUAAUGAGAAUUAAAAAGAUAAUUAAGGGAGGCAAUUGAGACAUUCAGGAUAGUUAGGAUGGGACAUGAUUGUGAGCGGUUAGAUAUUGGUCCUAAUUUUGAUCACAAAUAUAUAAACAGGACGAGUUUAUCUCUACUUACAUUCCAUUUGAUAAUUAAGAUGAGAGUGGAAUCGUCAAAUCCCAAAUCAUCCCGGACCCUUGCCAUCAAAGGUACCCUCACUAAUAAUAUCUAAAGAAAAAUCUACAUCUAUUUCAUACUUUUUUUUAAUGGAAAGAGCCCUCAUGGGGCUUGAAAUGGUAUCCUAAAUAAUAUUGAGAAUAUCAGGUCAUGAUUGGGUUUGUGACAAACAAAUACUACAUAGUUGGGAUACGUAGUUAUAAUGUCCCAAUUUAUGUAGUAUCUAUCAUUUAAUGCACAUAUAAAGUAUUAAUCAGCUUAAUUAAUUUAUAAAAUCUAAAUCUAAUUAAUAAGUGACACAUAAAAGCCAAGUGCAAUAUAUGCAAGUCAUGUUUGUCGAUCAUUACAAAGCUGGCUCUUGAAAACAAGCAAGAAAGCUUAAUUAAGAACUUAAAACAAAAAGAAAUUUAGAUUGAGAACAGUCAAGCCUUAUUUUUUUCAAGGAUGGAGCUUAUAAAUCUUCAAGUACCAACAUAUGCUUGGCCCAAUUAUUGUUAUUAAAAAUUCAAUAUAUAUAUAUAAGUAUGACAUAGCAAAAAUUUGAUGGUACAUAUGUCGGAAUAUACUAGUUCAUGGAUGCAUUUGAUUAUUGUUUCCAUAAAUUUGAACCAGGAAGGAUAACACGAUAAAAUUUGAUUUUAUGGUAUGGUUGAUUUCAUAUCUCAUGCACUCAUUUCUUAAGAUAAUCAAAUUUUCUCUGGCAUCUUUUGCAACUGUGGAAAUAUCAAUUAUGAUCAAUCAAAACGAUUUCAAAACCUCUCAACGAGACAUAUUUAUAAUACAAUGUUGUGAAAAUUACACCAAAUUUUAAUUUAUUAUAUAUUAUUAUCCAACGAGCACACAAAAAUGAAUUCGUACAAAUAGAGUUUACCAUGUACUACAAGAAACUAGGGUAUAAGUGACCCCUAAUGUGAAUGCAAAAGAAGCCAUUAUGUAUAUCACUAACUCCUAGGCUCUAGCUUUGUACCCCGACUUGCUUUUGUUACCCUUUAUGUGACGGCCACACCGCUAUCACAUAUGUUAGUUACUACCCGCGUGACGGUAAAGAGCCGUUCGGUAUAUUACUAUUUUAUAAUUUUAAAUUUAAAACUAUUCGCUGGACUCCGUGUUACUAGCCACCAUCGUAAGCCUAACUGGUUGCCGGCGAACUGCGUAAAACACUGGCCAUCUUCUUUUUCAUCGUCUUCUCCCUUCAUCUUUUGAGGUAAGCUUGUGAUUAUGUGUUUCUUCUCUUACUUAGCUUGUAAUUAUAGACUUUGAUUUUUUUUUAAUUGGCAUUGUAGCCGUUAUUGUCAAUUUUUGUCCCGCCAGCAAUAUAUUUUUAUUGCUUCAAGUUGAAGCCCCUGUUUUCUUGUUCCAUUGGUGAGUUUGCUCACUCAAAUUAAUUUUGUUCUGCGGAAUUUGCAACGUUCAAAUGGAUUCGUUUGAAUUACUAUUGAAUUUAGCUUUAAUUUCAACAUCCAUUCUAAUGUUUUGCUAUUAGAUUUACUUUAAUUUUAUGUUUAAAGCUUCUACAGUGAAUAGCGGAGCUUGGGUUUUAGUUUCAUUUUCUAGAUAACUUGUUUAUCCUGUAUGCUCACCAAGUGCUUGUUAUAUUGUCUGAUAAGUUAUAAACAUUGCUGAUUUUAUAUUAAUAAUGUUACGUUGUAUUUUCAGAAAUUAUAAUACAAAAGUUUUUGCAAUGGCGUGCAUCUACAAACUGAAUUGACUUGUAGAAUAAGAGCUCGGAGUAGUGUUAUGUUCUUGAAUAAUUGAAAGUUCAUAUUGUGUAAGAGCAUGUAGAUGUAAAGCAUCAUUACCAUUUCUACAAAGUGCUUUCAUUCUGUUCAUAUGCUCUUCUUGAACUUUGAAAGGUGCCUCGUUCAAGUCCUAGCUAUAACUACUAGCUUUGAUUAAUUAAGUUCCUAUACUAGCUGAAACAGAUUUAUUUAAUUAAUUAAUUGUGUAUGUACUAAUUAUAUUGAAAGUAUAUGAAUUUUUUUUUAACAUGAAUGACUUCUAAAUGACUUAAAAACCUAAAGGAUGUGUGAAAUAAUGCUCAUUUCACUUGAAUGAGCCCAUUAAUACUUUUAUGUCUAUGAUUUUCAAUAUUGGCUAAAGCAUUUCAGUUAAGUGGUUUACCUAACAGAGAAAAAAAUUUAAUAGAAAACUUCAGAGUUCUAACAGAAAUAUAGUUCACUAUGCAGAUAUAGUUAUUUUACGGUAUACAAAUCAAGUUGUCCUAAUCUCAAUGCCCCAUGACCGAUUUUAUUUUAUAUAGUCAUUAAUUUUUGCCAUGGUUUUUUGUGUUUAUGAGUUUGAAAUAGUGGGAUUUGGUGUACCUUAGCAUCUUUUGAAAAUUCUCUUUAAGUGUGGCCAACAGAAAUAUACAUAUAAUCAAGUUUCUUAAUCGUGUAUAUUAGUUUUGGGUAUGAAUGUUCCUAUUGUAGUUCUAGGCAAAGCUUCUUCGUUUUGGUCUUCAGAUUUCCAGUAGGUUAAGUUAAUCAACUAUCAUAACUGGCUAGCUAGUUAUUGUCUGCCUUGGCGCCAUUACCCAGGCCAUUAUAUUGCAUAGCAUAAGGAAUAGUGAUUAGGUGAUUAUUAGUGAUUUGUUGAGCUUAUUAUUGACCAAACAAACAUAUUCGCCUUUGCCCACAACUUAGUUUGAUUAGUUAUUAGACCACAAAGAGCCUUGAUCUAUUCAUUGGCUUUAUUAUUUUUAUUUGGUUUUUCUUUCAACAAUAUUGUUGAUUUCUUAUAAAAAUAUUCAUUGGUUUUUAAACACCUAAUCAUUGGCUAUAUGAAGCUAAUUAAAAAUGAGGCUUUGGAUCAAUUUCUUCUAACAAGAUACAAAUGAGCAUAACCUUUCUCCUCUAAGUAAAUUUUUUUAAUAUCCUUGAUUUGUAAGGAUCUGGAGACCUGAAAUCCUCUAGAUGUUUUUUAACAUUGUCAAUAUUCUUUUUAUUCUGAAAAGGAAAUAAAAGGUUUUAUCUUUCAUACCCUAAUAGUAAGCUGGCCUUGUCUUAACAUGGCUUCCCGAGGAUUUGCAAGAUUCAUAGUUCCCCCAACCACCACCCCCCCCCCCCUCCCACCAAAAAAAAAAGAAAGAAGGAAGAUUUUCCAAGAUUCACUACCAGGUUUUUUUUUAAUUUAUUAAUUGUGUGUACGUACUAGUUAUAUGUUGAAAGAAUAGGAAGAAGUAUUUCAACAUGAAUGACUUAAAACUUAUUGCUCAGUAAACAUAAUCUGCAUCAGUGCGAAAAUGUAUUUAUCGUUUGUAUUUUUUAUGGUUUUGCUUAAGAAAUGAUAUGUGAAAUAAUGCUACAUUGUAUCAGGAAUAAAUUGAAGAGAUUUAUGAUAUUUAUGUGUUAUUCAAAUUUCAGAUUCAAUUUUAAACUUUUGAUACGUGCAUUGAAAGCUUAGACUUGUUUAAGAAAUUAUUAAUAGACACAUGUUUUAUUAGUGUCAUCUUUGGAUGAUAGUGAGGAUCAUAUGUCUAUUAAUAAUUCUUGAAUUGUCCAAGCUUGGACAGUUUGGGAAUGCAUAGUUCUCUCUGGUAGCUAGUAGCUGAAGUUUUUUUCCCACGUAAAAAUGGGUUUUUCGGUAGCUGCUCCUCGUGUUCUCUGGGUACGUACUAGGUGAAUGGGUGUCAUGUGUUGUUUUGGCAUAACGCAUAAACACUUAUAUAGCUACGUCGUGAGCUUGGAGAAUUAUAGGGAGAUGGUGCUGAAAUUUUUAUAAACGUAGAAGAAAACUUUAGGUACUUGAGAUUGAAGAAACUUAUGCAUUCUUGAGUGGGAUAUGUAGGAUUUAUCACUUACCUUUGGUAAAUAGGAAGGGAAUGUUGACUCCUUGAAAUAUGCCCAAACCCAUGGAGUAUCUAAAUAAGUCUGAAAACCAAACACUGUUACCUACUAGACGACAAAGCAGAAAAAUUUUCUUGACUUGCUCACCUUUUAAAUAAUUGAAACUCAGCUCAAUACUUGAAUAAGUCUCUGCAGGCACCCCUUCGAAGUUUACCAUUGAAGGCUCUCGCAAGGCAUUCUUCCAUUCAUGGAGACUCUUGUUUCUCAGUGCCCUCGCUACAGUAGUCAACGCAUGGGCAAACCUCCACAUGCCUUAGCCACAUUAAUUGCUGUAGACUUGAACUUACAACUUUCAACAUCAUCACCAUUCAUUAUCUUAAACAAUCGCCAGGCUUCUUGUUCAGUUAGAUUGCCAAUCAAAAAGUUAUCUUUGGAGCCCAUACUUAAAAGCACAUUAUUAUCUCUUGCUGUCAGCAAUAGUCUGAUAGGUCCCGAUCAAAUACAGAAAAGCAGUGCCUGAUAUUCGUUCAAUUUAUGGUAUGAACAACCAGUAUUUGUUUUGACUAAUUUCCUUCCUUUUAAUCGUCAUGGUUGCUGCUUAUUUAUCCAGAUAAACAUAAAGUAUACUACUGAUUUGUAGCCUAAAACCUUGGCUCAAAUCCAGCCAAAUCAAAUCAAUAUUAACAACUAGAUAAAAACAAAACAGAAAAUAAAUUAACUUGAUUCUUGGCAACAACUUUGAUGUAGUCUUUUUGUUAGAGUACAAUUUAUGCACUAGUUUUGCAUUAUUUACUUCCUUUAAUAUCGAUGUUUUGCACUUAAUAAUAAUGAUUAACUUGUGUUUUAUUUUUGUAGGUGCAAUUCUAUUGAUUGGUGCUAAAAUUGAGCUACAAGAUGAUAUUUGAGGAUCAUUGAUUUCUUGGAGAAAUUAUGAGCUUCAGAAAAACUGUGUUGAUAAGGUGUGGGCACGUGCCGUCAACUGCGGACCUACAGUUUUUAGUUUAACGUAUUUUAUAUUUUUGGUUAUUUUUGUAAUUAUGAAUUUAAUAUUUAGAUAAUACUUUAGAUAUCAGUAUUUUAUUGUAAAAAGAACUUUAGAGGAGAAGAGGGAGAAGAGAAUUUAAGGGAGGAAUGUAUUGUGAAAAGGAGAGAUUUUUGAAAAGAGAAAAACCCUAGAUCUAAAUUUUUCUCUUUUCUCUAUGAGGAACUAAACCUAUUAUUCUGGUUGAAGGUUAAUGAAGGUUUGAUUCAUCACUACUGUGAGAUCUUUCUUAUGCUUUAAUUAUUUUAUUAUUUUUUGGGUAUUUGUUUAUUCUCUGAAUUAUUGUCAUGAUUAUGUUUGUUAAUUAGAUAAUUGACCACUAUUUAAUUAUCAACUUAAUAUGUUGUCAAUUAAAUGAUUUAUCGUAUGAAGAUUUUAAUGUUUGUGACAAAUAGCAUAGCAGUGCAUUGUGUUAUGAGAAUAAACAAUCUAAUUUAAAUGAACCAUUGUAUGCGUUUAUUUAUUAGAAUUUGGGUCUCUCUGGAUUUUCAGGCUGUCAAUUGAUUAAAUCCUAUGAUCGUAUCUAGGUUGUCUAUUGAUUAGGGAAAUAACCAACGGUCGUACUUUGGUUAUCGAUUAGUUAAGAAGAGAUUGACUAUUAGAGGGUCUCAGUAGCUAUAACCGAUCUAUUCAUAAGUAGUAGUGAUUUAUAAUUGAAUCAAUGAUCAGUAAUCAAAUCAAGCUGAGUUAAUUCCUUCAACCAGAGCUUUUUCCAAUUUGAAUUAAAAUUUUAAUUUGCAUUCUUGUUAUUUUUAUUUGAUUUUUAUUAUUGUCAACAAUCCCCCCAUUUUGCAAUUUACUUUUUAAAAGAAUUUAAAUAAUUACCGAUCUCUGUGGACACGACCUUACUCAAUCACUAUACAUAAUUUAUUUAGAGUAGGUAUUUAUUUUUACUGGCUUCGACAACCAUCACUUUUACUUCAAUAUCAAUUCCUCACGUGCUCUUAUUCCAACUAACUCGCAUGAAAGUGUUAUGUGGGAGAUCAAUUGCAUGGCUUGCAUGGGCAUGGUUUGCAUGGUCAAACAAAGUCCACAAGCUUGCUGCUUGGCUUUGAAACUCUAGCUGAUCUCCUUGGUUGUCUAUCAAAGUCUACAUCCUUUAUGAUUAUUUCCAAAAAGAAUUCCAACGGUCUCCAAAUCAAGAUGUUUCCAGAUAUUAUCUAGAAUCACAAGAAUCUUAUUCUCACUCUUCAAUCGUUCAUUCAGCUUGCUAGCUCUUCUAUAUUCAGCUUCAUGGGACAACUCCAGACCUAACUUCUCUGUAAUUUCCCCUUGAAUCUUUUUUUAUCUCUGGAGUUUAUGAAACCUCUGAUAAAACCACCCGAUAAAACAACUUCUUUUCCCUGGCUUGCCUAGCAAACUCCUUCACCAGUGUGGUCUUUCCAAUGCCGCCGAUGCCGUACACCCCAAUAAUGCUGACAUUCGCCUCAGUCAAUGCAUUUUUUAUAGAUUGCAAAGUAGAAAGUCUUGAUUCGAAGGCCUCGUAACCAUUGCUAGAGUUAAGCCAUAUCUGCUCCGGAAUGGUACCGUGGGAAACAGUAUCAAACUUCUUAACUUCUUCUCCAAGUUCAAUAAUGGCCUUCACCUCCGUCUCUGCUUUCUUGCUAAGCUGAUAGCGACUCUUCCAAAUAGGACUCAAGCCCUUGACACAGCGCUUAUUCGUUGACUCCUCAUCUUCAAUGAAUUUGGCUGCCCGGUCAAUGAUGCCGUUCGUACUUCGCACUAACCAGCCACUUUUCAACCUUCUCUUCAAUCUCUUCCCCUUUUUCUUUCGCCUCUGAAACCCUGCGCUGAAUGCUCGUACGUUCAACCUUCAACUUCUCCAUUUCCGCCUUGAUAUUCUCAAAGUUGGCAUUGUAGUUCCGCUUUCGCAAAUAAACAAGUUGGCGUGCAGUUGGAGGAGCCAAGCAUUUUACAAGUUCCAAGACGAUAGUCACAAUGAUUUCCAGCAUCUCGAAGCCUGACAAAAACGUAGAAGCGAAGAAGGCCAAAGGAAAGUAAAAACAAAGAGACAGCGAUAGGACAAGCAAUUGUGUUUUUCAGAUGAGAUGAAGGAAACAAGAAAAGGGUUUCUAUCACGACGUAAAGAGCUAAAAGAGCUGAUGGGUACAGAAUUAGAAAUGAGACUGAGGAGUGAACAAAGCUAAAUAAUAACAGAACAAGAACAAUGACGAAUAGAAGAAACAGUACCAAAGAGCCGUUUAGAUGAUUAGAAUGAAACUAAGCGACUGGAAAGAGUGGAUAGUAGACUAAAGAGAAAGUGAUUGAUUAUUUUAGGAGGCCAAUUAACGUAAUGACAGAUCCGGUUUCGAUGUUUGUAAUUUGAAUAUGAGGUAAAUCGAUUCUUUGUCGAGCCAGUCAAAUACAAACCCAAAUUAGUAAAACACGAGCCGGCAACUUUUACUCACACAAAAGCCAAUAAUAUAUUGGGAUCACGCAACAUUGCAAUAAAGUUAUCAUCAAGUUGUAGCCUUCUUAUUCAAUCAAUUAUAGCAUUAUCUCUAGCUCUGUAUUUUUUUUAAAAAAUAUUAUUCAAAAGAUGUCUGUCAUUAAUUUUUCAAUGAUUAAAAUUAUAAUUUUUGUUUAAUAUAUAUAACGUAAAAUUUUAAAAGAAUCAGACAUGCAUUAGGGUAAAAAAUAAAAAAUAUGGAGGUAGCUUUUAACUAGGUAAUUGGCUCAACUAUGGAUCAGUGUGAGAUCACUAUUUUUCUUAUAAAAAAAAAAAAUUCCAGCCAAACAAUUGUCGCAAAAUUUUAAUAUAAAUUACAAAAAAAAGACAAUAUUUUCUAAAAUCAUAGCAAUAAUUUAUAUUUUGAAUACCUGUAAAUAAACCACUUAGACAAUAUUCAGUAUGUGUAUAUGUAUGUAUGUAUGUAUGUAUGUAUGUAUGUAUGUACGACCAAUAUAACAGUUCAAAUUCCUCGAGAAGUAAUAAUAGGAUGCAUCUGACAAACCUCUUAAUACCAUGAUGAAAUUGAAUGGUCUUCAUACAUGCUUGGCAGAGCUCUAACAUCUGUUUUGUGGGGAAUGGUGGCUGACCGCUGUGGUCGAAAGCCUGUAAUAAUAAUAGGAUGCAUCACAGUGUUAGUGACCUCUAUUUUCAAAUGAUCAAGCUUGAAAUUGAUGAUAUUUUGGCAAUUUCUGGGUUUCUUAUUUGUCUUAAAAUGCUCACAGGGUUAUUUUUAACACUCUCUUUGGGCUUAGUGUUAGUUUCUGGAUGGCCAUAGCUACAAGGUUUCUCCUUGGGGCUUUGAAUGGUUUACUUGGACCAAUUAAGGUAUUGAUUGGGGGUAUUUGUUGAUAAUUCCAAUUUAACUCCUGUAAAUAUUUGUACUCAAACUUCUCUUGCACCACCAGGCAUAUGCAUGUGAAAUAUUGCGCGAUCAACACAAAACUUUAGGACUGUCAACGGUGAGCUUAUCAGUUCGUGAAUGAUUGCAAAGUUCUUGAGAAAAUUUUAUAGCAUCAUUUACCUUGAGAACUACGAUAUAAUUUCAGCUCAGUACAGCAUGGGGCACAGGAUUGAUUAUUGGCCCUGCAGUGGGUGGCUUUUUGGCCCAGGUUCGGCAAUUUUUACUUGAUUAUUAUGCGCUUUUUUUUUUUUUUGAAUUUUUAGUAGUUUGGCUUGAUAAAUAUUAUUCUUAUAUAUAUUCGUGGAUAAUUUUGCAAUCCAGCCAGCAGAGAAAUAUCCAAAGGCAUUUUCCAAAGAAUCUAUGUUUGGAAAGUAAGUGAAUUUUUACUGCCAUUAGCCUUAUCUUUUUCUGUAAUACUUUCAAUAUGAUGGUAUUUUGAAAAACAAAUUUAUGCAGGUUUCCUUACUUCCUUCCCUGUCUCUGUAUGUCACUCUUUGCUUUUGCGGUAACUAUUGCUUCUUGCUGGAUUCCGGUACGUAGCCUUUAGCUCUCUUUUCAAGCUGAAUUGUACAUGUAAUAGCAACUCUCCCAUAACUUCAAAUUUUCUUAUGGGUGAGACUAUAAAAUAUAACUUUCGCUUCUCUUAUAAUGACUACAUUGACACCAUCACAUGCUUUUUGAUGCAGGAGACAUUGCACAAACACAAUGAAGAUGGUGUAUCACUUGAUGUAUCAUGUGAUGCUUUGGAAUCCGCCUGUGGGUCCAAUGCAGAAUUUAAACAAGAUGAAGGAAGUGAGGAGGCCACUGCUAAGAAAAGCCUCAUGAAGAAUUGGCCCUUUAUUUCUUCUACUAUUGUUUAUUGUGUUUUCUCGCUUCAUGAUAUCGCUUACACCGAGGUAUAAACAUCUCUACCUGAGUUUGAUUGUUUAUAUAUAUAUAUAUAUAUAUAUAUAUAUAUAUAUAUAUUCUACUUUAUUAUGACAUAAAAAUGUUCCAAUCCAAAAUCUAAACUAUUUUAAUGUUCGGAAAAGUUAUUGUUGAUGCCGAAAUCUGGAUGAGUUGGUCAAAUCUCAGAUCCCUGCAUCAGCAUUAAAUUUGUUUGGUGGGAAGCUGAUGAUUAGUUAGCACCAUGAGCAGAUUUUCUAUGAGCAGAUGUUCUGUGAGCAAACAACCCAUGAGCAGACGAUCCAUGAGCAGAGAACCCAUGAGCAGACAAUCCAUGAGCAGACGAUCCAUGAACAGAGAACCCAUGAGCAGACAAUCCAUGAGCAGACAACCCAUGAGCAGACAAUCCAUGAGCAGACGAUCCAUGAGCAGAGAACUCAUGAGCAGACAAUCCAUGAGCAGAUAACCCGUGAGCAGACGAUCCAUGAGCAGAGAACCCAUGAGCAGACAAUCCAUGAGCAGAUAACCUGUGAGCCUGUGAACACAACCAACAGUCAGGAGGUGCCGGAAGUUUUUCCGGCGAGAACUCUCCGACGCUCAAGUCAGCGAUUCGGGUCUUACUUGGAAAAACCCAUACCACAAUUCAUGUGGCUUAAUUAUGAUUGCUUUAAACAAAAAGCUUUUAAGUAAAUUUAAAGGAAAAAAAUUCACAAUAAUCAAUCUUAAAGAAAUCACAGGCGAAAGAGAAAUUUCUCAGUAGUAGAGGAAGAAAAAGGUCCAAUGGGUUCAGUUGCUUAGAGAGAGAGAGAGAGAGAGAGAGAGAGCUAGAAGAAUCCCCCCUUAGGGUUUUUAUAUGAAAAUAUAGCGGUUUUUAUCCUCUCCCAUAGGAUUCUCAAGAAAACUACUAAUUUUCAGCCCACUAAGAAUAUGGUCCCUAAUAUUUCGGAGAAAAUGUUUUGACUGAAUCGUGUUUUCUGGUAACUUCCUAGUCGAGGUGACCAAUAACAUCCUGGUCGAGGUGAUGUGCUUGAGGUCACCACAUAUUAUUCUGGUCGAGGUCAUCACAUAUUAUCCUGGUCGAGGUGAUCAAUAAUAUCCUGGUCGAGGUGAUCUGCUCGAGGUCACUACAUAUUAUUCUGGUCGAGGUGAUCUGCUUGAGGUGACCAAUAACAUCCUGGUCGAGGUGACCAAUAAUAUCCUGGUCGAGGUGAUCUGCUCGAGGUCACCACAUAUUAUUCUGGUCGAUGUGAACUAUAAUAUCCUGGUCGAGAUGAUCUGCUCAACCAGUUAUUAAGCCACAUGGUUUAAUAGUCCAAUGACCAAUGGCUUUCCCGAACUUGAAUAAAGUCCAGGAUCCUGGAUCAGAUCGCUUUCUGUUAGAUAUUUGCAAAGUUAUCUCUUAACUUCUACCUGAAACAGAGGGUGCUAUUGCUGUUGAUGGGAUUGUUUUGAGUUUUAUACAUAAAGAAGACAUAUGGCUAUUACUGAUCCUAAGAAUUUCUUAUCUAUGUAAUUUUUUUAAAUCAUAAUAUUGCAACUAUUCUGUUAGAUAUUUUCACUGUGGGCUAUCAGCCCGUGGAAGUACGGGGGUCUGAGUUACUCAACCGAAAAUGCUGGCCAAGUUCUUGCCAUCUCAGGUGCAAAACCAAUACUCUUGUUGCCCAUUUAUACUUAUUACGAAACUGAAAAUGUUACUCGUUCCUCUUAACUUCUUUUCUCAUGCAUCAACCCCACAAAACUGCUUAUUGAUUGUCCUCAACUCCUCAUUUUGAACUUACUGCAGGAUUCAGCCUCCUUGUUUUUCAACUUACUCUAUACCCUUACGUUGAGAGGAUGAUCGGGCCAAUAAUAAUAACACGCAUUGCAGGGGUAAAAUUUUGAACAAACCAUGUGGCAUUUAGAUCAUUUGAUAGUUUGUUUCAAACAUAUUUGUUUAUAAAAUACUUUUCUUCAUGGAUUUGGUGACGUAAUUUUCUAUGUAUAUACAGGUUUUAUCGAUACCGCUUUUGACAAGUUACACUUACAUAGCAAUGUUAUCUGGGUUCAGCCUUGCCUUAUUGAUAAACUGUGCUUCUGUGAUGAAGAAUGUUUUAUCUGUAAGUGGAUAUCCUAAUCAUUGAUCCAUAUACUUAGGUUAUAUUACCCAUUAGCAAGAAUGUAUAAAAAUUAUUUUAUAUCUUCUUUAUCAGAAAUGUUGUAAUUCUCUUUCACUUUUCCUGAAUUAUAACAUCAGGUGUCUAUAAUGACUGGAUUGUUCCUUCUGCAAAACAGAGCAGUGGUAAAUAUAUUUUCUUUUGUUUGUUUAGUACAUUUCCAUGCUUUCAGCUUUUUCAUGCUUUGUAUGUGUCAAAAGUUUAAAUUAUUUUUUUGGUUUAUGGUAUAAUAACAGGAACAGCAUUAUACCAUAAUGGACUUGCUAUGACUGUGGUGUCGCUUACCAAAACUGCCGGUCCAGCUGUAGGAGGUGCUCUGUAAGUGUCCUAUUGAUUUUGUAAAAUUAUAUGUAAAUGAUGUUAUAAUUUUUUUUCAUUAAUUGGGGUUCUGGCAGAUUUUCUUAGUCACAAAAGCGUCAAGGUGCUGGUUUCCUCCCAGGUAUGAAUUUACUAAUGAAAUUUCUCACUAGUAUGUGAAUUACUUGGUGCUAAUUAACUUAAUCAGCUGCUUAAACUAAAGUGCAGGUAACCAGAUGAUUUUCUUCAUUCUGAAUUUGGUUGAGGCACUUGGAGUAAUAUUGACAUUCAAACCGUUUCUGAUUCAACGUGCCACAUGAGUAGAGAAAAGAUGCACCUGUUGAAAUAUUAAAAUACAUAUCUAGCAAAUUAAAGUUUUCAAAAUCUAUCAGGAAUUUGAUUAUUUGUGUGGUUGCCACUCGCCAUAUUUUGUGUUACUGUUCUAACGGCUUAAAUAUGAAAAUGGUUGUUGGUGCUCACAAAUUGAUUGCUGGUAACAUUAAUUGCUCAAUAUUUAUCUCUGUUGAUGUUUCAACUUAUUCAUUGUCAGUAAUACCACAAUUUAUCUUCACAAUGAUUCUAUCUAGAAAGAAAUUUUCAUAUCAAGUAAAAUAUUGAAGCCAUAAAGAGUCUUAUUCAAGAGCCUUAAUUAAGUACUAAAGUUUUCUGCCAUGAUUUCAAUGGUAACACAUUCGGAGCUUUUACUCCAGGGGCUUCACAGAAGAGAGACCUGAUGGAACCAGGCAUUAGAAUUUAUGAUGACGGAAAAUUGGACGUUGAGAUUGAAAAUAUAGAGAAACACAAGUUUUUGAAAAGUCUGAAAUUUUAUUAAUAGAUAGGUCUGAAUAACAAAAUUUGGAUUUUGGACCCUCUUUAUACUAAUUCUAAAUAUUACGAAUUUACCAAAAUAAGCAAACCUAAAAUAUUAUUAUAUAAUAACAUUCUUCUAAUAAAAAUAAAAUAAAUCGUACUUAAAUCUUAUAUUUGUAGAAAAAAAAUAAAAAUCUUGAAAAUAAUAAGAAAAAUAAGAAAAUAUCUUAAACUUGUAAAAUAACUAUGAAACAAAUAGAAUUUCUAGCUGGACCACGAGACCAAUACAAUGUUAUAGUAAUAGAUUAAUGAUAUAUUAUACGCCCUAGAUAGAUAUCUAUAACUCAAGUUAUGAUCUCAGAGCGAUAUCCUACUCAUCAUAUGCAACCAUUGGUUGCAUCAACUUUGUUCCAAAAUUAACAAGAAACCAACCGACGCAUUGCAAAUAAUUUAGAUGAAACGAUGAAAUAAACUUAGAGAUCAAACAAAAUGAAAUGAAAACGAUUGUUACCUCGGACCUUGUUCUUCAAAUUUGACAACACCAUGUAAUAAAUUAAAAAGCCUAUGGGAUCAGAACAUAUCGUACUGCUGAAAAUAAAUUAUGUCAUUCAUUAAUUUGAAGUAAAAUUUGUAAAUUUAGGUACUUGCACAUAGAGAUUUGCAAGGGGAGCGAGAGAUUCAAUAGCGGCAAUUUAAUUUGACAGGACUUUCAUUGAAUAAUGAAAUUAAAAACUAACGAUUAAUGAAUUUUUUAUAUUCUCUUAAAUCUAGUGGAAAUGUCAGCUCUAAAUAGGACAGUUUCAAGAAUCUUUAUCUGAAAGCGUAAUUUGCAAAGCAGAAACUUGUGAGACUAUCUAAAUCACACAGACUCGACGUCUUCAAUUUGCUGAAAACAAUCUCUUGUUUUGAAAUUAAAUUUGGUGCUCCAUCUUCUUCUCCGUCACCUAUUAACACCUCUGUCAAACACCUCUGUCAUUGGCCUGCAUCCAGUUACCUUCAUUGAUACGAGCCGCACUCGACUUUCUGCUGUAGUGGAUGGAUGUUACAAUUCUUUGCAAUGGAAAACCACCAGUUCUGUUAGAUUCCCAAAAGUUACAGAUGAUCAUGGGAAUAGACUUAAAAGAUUUUUACAAGCAUUAAUAUAGCCUUAGAAUUUCAAGAUAUUGAAAAUGGAGUCCAGUUUGGAGUUGCUUCAGAUGAUUAAGUCUGGACAGGAUUAACCAUUUUAUCAGCGCCAACUUCCUCCCUUGUUUCUACCAGUAUCCGGCUUCAUUUGAGAAUAUCUCUUUGUAUGAGCUAUAAACCCAGUAGGAGAUAUUCCCAAAAAAAAAAAAAAAAAAAAAAAAAAAAGACCUUAUUUCAAAUGAUGCACAGAAGAAGAGUUACCUGAAUCUUCAUGAGUAUCCAGACAUUCUACAAUCACAGAGUAAAGAAUUUUAAUAGGAACAACAGAGAAAAUACUGUUCUUCUGCACUUCUCAUAAAACUAGACCAGAUUAGUCCCUUUCUUGGUAUCCAACGUUUUCAAACAAUAUUUCCACAAUAUAGUUUUUCAUAGCGAAGAGUUUUGCUUUGAUGGCUUAAGGAUUUGUUCCAGGCAUAAUGCUCUGAUUAGAUUUUGUUUAUUUUUAAUUUUUUUUAAUUUUUUUAUCCGAUGAAUGAUUUUCAGCUGUUCUUAAUUAUGUGUUCAUAGGGAAGAGCAUUUUCUAAGUACUUCCUUUGCCUUCUAAGUUUCCAAAGAAAGAUAGGUGUGAAGCAAACCAAACCAAAUGAACAAACAGAGCACAAGCUAAAAUAACAGAACAGCAAUGAUGAAAACAAAUAAUUGGCGAAGAAAGAUAGGAAAAAAGUACGCACGAUUUCAUGGAAUUAUAAAAUAUGAAGGCUUUUAAUGAAAUUUUAUCAUAAAAAGUAUGCAAGGAAUUAUACAAUUUUAGAAAACAAGGGAAACUCUCCAAAAAAAAAAUAAAAUUAAACUAGACUGAAAGACAUUCAAUGAUGCAAAAUCUGUCCAUAAAAGUCUGAACGAAUCAUUAAAAUGGCAUUCCAAAUUUAACAGUAAAUCGAGUGACCCAUUCUAAAUAAUUCAGAUGAAAUUGCGAAAGAAGCCAUGAGAUCAAAUAAAUGAAAUAAAAAUUAAUUACCAGUUGAGACUUUCUUCUAAAAAUUCACAACUCCCAAGUCAUAAGAAGCCUAUGAAAUUAGUACCGGGUGGAGAACGACGACGGCACCGCCAACAGCUGAAAAUAAAAUUCUUAUUCAUCAAUUUAAACUUUUACUUUAAACAAAUAUCUUAUCUAUAUUGUAUUUUAAAAAGCAAAUUUUAUAAAAAUUUAUCAUGGGAGAUAGAGAGUAAUAUGUAUAUCCGUACCUUCUCAGCAUGUAAUUGUUGUAUGGUUGCGUUUAGAUCAUUAUUAGCCCAGCACCGUUGAUCCGCUGUCUCUCCAUACCAGACGUAUACUCCCGGAGGCGUGAUUGAUUCUCCUGUAGUGAAAAUCUUCAUCUUGGGACAACAAAUCACCCCCAACUCUUGCAAAGAUGGGAAUUCAAAGGUGUAAUUGGCAGAGCAGAAACUUGUGAGGCUGUCUAAAUCACACAGUUCCAACGUCUUCAAUUUGCGGAAAACAAUCUCUUCUUUUUCAACCCCGUCUUUGUCAUUUAUUACCACCUCUGUCAUUGCUCUGCAUCCGUAUACACCAAGUGAUACGAGUCGCACUAGAGUUUUUGCUGUGGAGGAUGUUACCAAGUGCAUCAAUUCCUUGCAACCGCUAGCUACAAGUUUUGUUAGGUUCCCAAAAGAUACCGAUGAUGAUGGCAAUAGAAUUAACAGACUUUGACAAUGAUAUACUUUUAGAAUUUCAAGAUACUGAAAAAUGGGGCCAAGUUUGGAGUCUUGUUUGCACAGCUGCUUCAGAUGAUAGUGCCGGUACAGCUCUAAUUCUUUUAUCGUUGCCAACUUCCCCACAUGUUUCUCUAAGCAUCCUUCCAUCGAAAAUACCUCUUCGUGGAAUGAAAAAUUAAACAGUGUGAGUAUUUCGAGAUUGUGAAAUCUCUCAAGUACGUUCCAGAUUGGAAAACCAGCUGAGUCAUCUUCAGCAAUCACUAGUCGUUUAAGACUGCCAAAAAGGUGUUGUGGGAAAUCGGCCUGCAAAAUCAUCUUCGCGUCUUUUCCGCUUAGUGAUAGUUCCGUCAAGUUGGGUAAGAUCUGAUCAUCAUCAAUCAUAAUAACUGACAAGGUCAAUUGGUGUUCUCUCAAAUGAUUUUGAGUAAUCCAAUCACAUGCAGUGACUUUAUAGUAUUUGUUUUAUAUUAUAUUUUACAAAAACAAAUUGAAUUAUUGAUAAAUUUUAUUAAAUGAUUUUUUAUAUAUUAAUUUUAGAGGUAAAAAAGAAAUUAGGGAAAAAAAGAAAUUAUUUUAUUGCACGAUAAUAAAUUACUAAUUUAUUUUGUAAGUUCUUCUAUAGGAAAGACUAAGGAUUCUUUUAUAAAUGCUAUACCUAAAAAAGUUCAUAUAAUUAUUAAUCUACCACAUUGAUCCCUUAGUCUAGACUAGCAAAGAUUAUUGUAUAAUAAAAGUUUUCAAUUUAUUGAGUAUUAAUUUAUCAUUGCUUUGUCAUAUUUUUCAAAGUUAAAAAUAAGUUAUUGAUAAAAAAAAUCUAGAAAAUGGCUUCAUACCUUUUCCAACGGCAAUGGGGGCUGUUGUACAGGAAUACCAAGUUGAUCAUUCUCAUUUUUCUGCAAUAAAUCUGCAGCGAAUAUCUUUAAUUUGUCACAGCGAUACACAAAAAGCAUUUCAAGCGCAAGCCAUUCCGGAGUAUGCAUUCCAGGGUACAAACAUCUAAGUUUUGGUAGAUCUUGGAGUCUCAGAGUGGUGAGCUGUGGAAAGACAAAAUAAGGGAUCACUUGAUCUGCUCUGUUUUCAGAAAUGAUCUCCUGUAAAUCCUUACAGUCUCGUAUAUCUAGGUGUUGGAGCUGCUUGAGGCUUCCGAUCAUAGACGCUGAAAAUAUGUAUUUUAAUUUGUGACAACGCCACACAAUCAAUCUUGUUAAACUUUGAAAGUGAGGAAACACGGCCGCCGGAAUUUGAUUGUAGUGCCAAAUCUUGUCGACAUUAAUUUCAGAUAUCUCCAAAGCCUCCAAGUUAGGCAACGCAACCUAAAAAAAUAAGAAUUUCUCGUUAGAUCCAAUAUCUAUAGGGGAAGCACUUGUUGAAAUUUUCUUCUUUGAUUACAAAUUAAUCAAGUCUGAAUCAAUUUCCAACUGACAGCUGAGUAUGCAUUCUAAUUCAUACUACUUGUUAAGAGCUCAAUUAGUGAGCGCGUGAGAUUCUUUUUAUCCUUUUUCCAUUUUCUUUCAAUUCUUUAAAUGAUUUAAUUAUAUAUAUAUAAAGAAAAUGUUAGCCUACGCACCUUCUCGUUGAAAAGCAGAGUUGAAGUAUCCAAAGUGAUUUCGCUGGAGCAAUACGUAGUCGUCGAUUCCUCUUGCGACACUUGUCUGUUCGGUGAUGCUGAAGGAGUCUCCACCUCACGGCGGCAAAAACUUGUAACCUCUGGAAGAUUCCCCAGACUCAAAGAUCUUAAUUGAACAAACUCUAUCUUCUCAAUUGCAUUAUCAACUUCUUCCCCAAUUGCAAAAAUCUCUUUCAUCUUGCUGCAAUUAAUAACUGCAAUUCUCUCAAGUCUUGGAAGGCAUUUUGAAGUAGAGAGCCAAAAGAUAUUACUCAACUUAUCACAAUUAUAUACUUCUACAUUUUUGAGUUCGUUGAAAGACUCUACUUUGAGCCGAUCAACACAUAUCCUCUCCAUGUUGAUCAAAUUGUGAAGGGCAAGUGACUCCAAAAGAGGAAAGGCAUCACAAGCGACCAUCUCCCUUGAAUCGACGAUACAAAAGAAGUCAGGAUUAUUUUGGACGCAGAGGACCUUCAAUUGUGAAAAGCCCUCCGUGUCCAAAUUGAAAAGAACAUUCUCGAUGCCUUGCAGCUUGUCCAACCGUAAGUAUUCAACGUUAUUGAUGCCCUGCAAUUUCAUGGAGCAAAUGUCCAUAAAAUCAAGCUUGAGCUCCAAUUCUCUUGAAAUCUUGCGAUUACUGUCGAUCAAAAAGUGCAGCUGACUUUUAAACCAAUGUUGUCCAAAAAGCAUGGGAUGCAUGAAUAACCCAUUUCCAAUAGAUAUUUUGAACCUUUCGAGCUUUCUGGCCAAAAAGCCUGCUGGUAACAUACUCUCAUUUUUAACAUCAAUUUCUAGAGUGGUUAGCCAACGUAAAUGCAUCAAUUCGUCAAGGCUAGCAUUACUUCUUUUGCUGUUGGCUCUUUCAACCUCCCAUUCAAUGGAGCAAUUACACAUAUACAAUUCUUCUAAUCGGAUUAAGCUUGAUAUGACAUUUGGAGCAAUAACUUUUAGAUGGAAACAGUCUGUUAAAUCUAACAGCCUUAGCUUAGUCAGUUGACCUAGUGCUUUGGGCAAUUGCACCGUAUCAGACCGCACGAAGCUGAGGAUUUCUAGAUUUUCCAACUUUCCAAUAAUGGCUAUGUCGAUGUCUCUCAAAAUGCUUUCAUCAAGACAAAGUGUUUUAAGUUUUACUAAGAGAUCAAUUGAAGAAGGCAAUGAAAAUAACUGCAUUCCAGUAAAAUCUACAACUUUAAGCUUUCUCAUCCCUACAAAAAAAUUUUCAGGAAUACUCACUUCAAGAGAAGAAUCUUCGGGAGACAUGCACAAGAACUCAAGUUGUGGACAUUCCAAUGCAUUGGGAAGCUCAUGAAUGCAACAAUAUCUUAUAGAGAUUGCAUAGCAUUUUUUUAGUGAUUCCUUAUCUGGCAACUCCCACACAUCCUCGUUUUCCACCACAAAUACAUGUUGGUCUCGGCAUGCAAUUGAUCUGGCGACAUCGCGAACAACAUCAUGCAUUGAAAUUAGUUUAUUGCUAUCACCCUCAAGCAACAAACAAGAGUCUCUAAGUUCAUGUACCAACGCAUAUAACUUGUUUCGUGCAUCUUCCAUCUUAUUGACUCCUUGAAAUAUACCCAAACCUAUGGAGUAUUUAAGCAAUUUCAAAGUAGGGAUACUGUUACCCAUUAGACUGCAGAGCUGAAAAAGUUCCUUGAGUUGCCCACCUUUUAAAUACUUGAAACUCAGUUCAAUACUUGAAUAAGUCUCUGCAGACACUCCUUCGAAGUUUACCAUUGAAGGCGUUCGGAGUUCUCGCAAGGAAUUCUUCCAUUCAUGCAGACUCUUGCCUCUCAAUGCCUUUGCUACUGUAGUCAAGGCAAUGGGCAAACCUCCACAUGCCCUGGCGACGUCUAUUGCUGUAGAUUUCAACUCACGAUUUUCAACAUCAUCACCGGCCAUCAUCUUAAACAAUCUCCCGGCUUCUUCUUCAUUUAAAUUGUUUAUCAAAAAGUUGUCUUCAGAUCCCAUUUUCAAGAGGACACUACGAUCUCUUGUCGUCAGCAGUAGUUUGCAUCCUUUAUGAUCUUCUCCAAAAGGAAUUCCAACGGUCUCCAAAUCAAGGUGUUUCCAGAUGUUAUCCAGAAUCACAAGGAUCUUCUUCUCAUUUCUCAAUCGCUCACAUAGCCUACUAGCUCUUCUAGAUUCAACUUCCUCGUGCAACUCCAGGCCCAACUUCUCGGCAAUUUCCUGUUGAAUCUUUUUUAUGUCUGGAGUUUGCGAAACCUCUGAAAAGACCACCAUAUCAAAGAGCUUGUCUUCCAUAGCUUGCCUGGCGACCUUCUUCACCAGUGUCGUCUUUCCAACGCCGCCCAUGCCGUACACCCCAAUGAUGCUGACAUCAACAUCGAUCAAUGCAUUUUGUAUGGCCUUCAAAGUAGAAAGUCUUGAUUCGAAGGCCUCGUAGCCUUUGUGAGACUUGAGCCAUAUAUCCUCCGGAACGGUACGGUAGGAAAUUCUAUCAUCAAAUCUCCCAGCUUCUUCUCGGAGUUUAAAAAGGGCCUCCUUCUCUGUUUCUGCUUUCUUUCCAUGCUGAUAGCGAGUAAUCCAAUUUGGAAACAGCCCCAUGAGACAUCGUUCAUUUGCUUUCUCUUCGUCUUGAAUGAAUUUGGCUGCCUCCUCAAUGCUCUUGUUCGCAUUAACCAGCCAUUUCUCAACCUUCUCUUCAAUCUUUUCACCUUUUCUUUCAGCCUCAGAAACUCUGCGCUGAAUGCUUUCUCUUUCAUCCUUGAGCCUAUCGAGUUCUGCCUUGAGAUUCUCAAAGUUGGCAGCGGAGUUAUACCAAUAACUAAAUUCGCGUUGUGCGUGAGGAGACAAGCAGUUCACAACUCCUGGAACAAUGCUUUUCAAAAUGUCCAUUUUUUAUUUUUUGGGGAAGUGAACGAAAUAGAAAUAGAACAGGGUCAACGGCCGCGCAAUUGAUAAUCAAGCAGAAGCAAAACAAGGCAAAGUUGAAAAAAGAAAUGAUAUUUGUACAAAACAAGGGAAAAUCAGUGUAACAGAAGAGAAUCAAAGUGUUUUUGAGAUCAGACAAUUGAAUCAAGAAAAGGGUUGCUUGAUCCAAUGAAAAUGCGAAGAGCUGAUGGCAAAAGGGAACAAAGCUAAAUAAGAAAACGGCUAGCACGAGCAGCGACCACGAUGAACAGAAGCAAAGUGUGUAUGAGAUCAAAAGACGAAAAUCAGGAGAGGUUUUCUUGACUGAGAAUUGAAGGCAAAGAGUAGGAGCUGACGAUUACGGGGAUCAAGAGGGAAAAACUGCUUGCUUGUAAAACUACUUUCAAGCGAAUCUGAUAAAAUUAUUUCAGUACUAGUGGGCGACUCCAUUUUAAACUGCUGAAGGAAAAAAAAAAUUAUGAAUUUCAAUAUAUUAAUUUUUAUCCUAAUUUAUGUUGAGGCUCGUAAUCUCGUCUCAAUGAUUAAUUAGUAGAUAAUCUUUCUAACAAAUAUGUGUUGAAUAGAUAUAUUUCUUGACUAUUAGUAGGUUAGAUAUAUUUUAGCAUAGGAAUGAAAGUACAAGUUGUGUCGUAUCAGAAUAAAAAUUUGACCUAAAAAUAUUGUUUUAUGAGUCCAGCUAUCUUGCAACAGUUGUAAUGUGCCACUUAUUUUUGUUUUAUGUGACGUUACAUUUCAUUUAAUACCUUACUUUCUUUCUUAUUUACAUUUUAUUUAUAAGUUUAUAUGUUUUAGCUAGUGACAUUUUAAAAUGUAAUUUUAUUUUAUUUAAUAUUAUUUAUUUUUUUACAUUUAUUUAUAAUUUUGUAUGCUUUCGCUGGUAACUUUUAUAAAAUGUAAUUUUAUUUUAUUUAACAUUAUUUAUCUUUAUAAAAAAGAAUAAAUAUAAUAAUAAGCCUAUGACUAAAUAAUAUUAAAUAAAAUAAAUAAUAUUAAAAAAUUUAAAUUAAAUAAAUAAUAUUAAAAUUUUAACUUAAAUAAAAUAAAUAAUAUUAAAAUUUAACUUAAAUAAAAUAAAUAAUAUUAAAAAUGAUAUUAUUUUUAAGACACUAUUGAUUUUUUAAUAUUAUUCAGUUUUUAAAGAAUAAAUAUAAUUAUAAGCCUAUGACUAAGUAAAAAUAAUAUUAAUUUUAACAGUCAUUAUUGAUUAUUUUAUUUUACUUAAUAUUAUUUAUUUUUUAAAAUAAUAAAUAUAAUAAUAAGCCAAUGAUUAAAUAAAACAAAAAUAAAAAUAAUAUUUAUUUUUAAAGCGCCCUAAUGAUUAUUUUAUUUUAUUUAAUGUUAUUUAGUUUUUUGAAAGAAUAAAUAUAAUAAUAAGUAUAUGACUAAAUAAUAUUAAAUAAAAUGGAAUAAAUAAUAUUAAAUAAUAUUUAUUUAUUCUUUUAAAUAAAAUAUAUAAUAUUAAAAAUAAUAUUUAUUUUUUAAUACUCACUACUAAUUAAACAAUAUAAAUUGUAAACAAUCCGGACUUAUGUGUUAAAAUUUUAAACUCUUUAACUUGUUUGUGUCUUUAAUAAAUAUCAAGGAGUGUAAUGUUAAUAUUUAAAUGAACAAAUCUCUACCAUUGAAACCACCUUUUCAUUAAAUCUAAUGAUAAAAAACUGAAAUUAAGAAAAGUCAAAAUUUGGUGGUACCUUGCAACUGUUGUAAGGUAGCUGAGUCCUGUUCUAUAACCUUUUAAUUAUUUGUCAGCUAAUAAUUAAGUAAUAUAAAAAAAUUAAUAAUCGGAAUUACUCUUUUAAAUAUUAUAAAUAUUUAUUUAUUUUUUAAUUAUAAUAUCAUUAUUUAAAAAUAAUUGCUUGACUUACAUUAGUAACAUUACGAUUGUGGUAAAGCAUGUGAUUCUCAUCCAAUAUCCAUUAUUUGUGAUCCUUAAUCAAUAAAAUAUCUGACAAUAUCUUCGCCAAAAGUUUGAGACAUGUGAUCUUUAUUCCACUGCGUCAAUUACACUCCAGUCCCAUGCUGCCAUCAUUAUCGAACAGUCGAUAUCCAACACUUGCACGAAGAUUCCAAGAAGUUGCGUGGCUGCCGACAUUUAGAUGCUAAGCCUUGUUGUGUCGAAGAUACACAAAACAGAGCAGUCCGGGCAAUUGCCAAAACUUAGAACUAAACAGUAGCUUAGUCAAAAAAAUCAAAUGCCAGCACCGCUAAAAUGAUCGAUAAAAAUAUAAAGAAACCAAAGCUUUAAAAGAAAUCAGCCAAAUCAGGAAGAUUGAAAAGUAAAUCUAUGGCUUUAGAUUUUUAUUUUAUUUUUUUAGAUAAUAGAUAUUAUUUUGAUGAAUUUUUAAUAUUAGAAUAAUGCUAGGAAUUUCGAUAGUAGAAUUCUAAUUUGAGACCCAAUUGUUAUGUGUUAUUUUUUUUAUUAGAUAAUGAAUUUCAUAAUUAGUAAAAUUAAUAUCAAAGUCCAAAGUUAUUGGGAUGAUAACUUUUUUUUGAUAGACUGAUAUAUUACAAUGAGAGCUCUACUGAUAUUUACAAUAAAAAAUGAAACUCUCCUCAAUAAUUCUAUUACAGCACAGCCUGAAUAUUAAGCCUUACUUAAAGUUGGAGGGAGAUCCAUUUUAUCCCAAUACAAAAAGACAAAUAAACUCUUAUUGUACAGAAAAGUUGAAUCUCAGUGCUGUGACUCAGUAUGCAUGCGCCCAACAACCUUGUGAUGAUAACUUAUAAUCGUCAAACUAGCAUAAGGACCUUAUUUUUCAUUCACAAAUAAAUAAAUGAUGUGACUUAACGGUUGGCGGGGUCCCUUGUGCCAUUUGUGCAUUUCACUAAAGGUCCGCCUAAGUUAUACAUUUAACGUAACUUACCGUCAGCCUGUGAAAUUUUAUAUAACCCCCCAUAUUCUAUGUUAUUUAUAUUUUAUUCAUGAAUAUUAUAAACUUUUUGAAAUAUAAAAUUUCGUUUAACCCCUUAUACUCAAUUUUAUUUUAUUAAAACCCUAGAGUAUGAAUUUGCCCCUAUAAUUUUAAAUUUUCCAAAUAACCUCCAUUAUUUAAAAAAUAUAAUUAUUGUUAAAUGAAUUAUAAUUAUAAUUGUUAUUUUAUUAUAAUCAUAAAUAUUUUUUAAAUAGAUUAUUUUUAUUAUUAAUACAAGAAUAAAAAACAUUAUAAUUAAUUAAUCUAUUAACAAUAAUUAAUAAUAUUUUUAUUAAAUUGUUAAUAAUAAUAAUAAUUAAUGAUUAUCUAACUAUUUCACAGUCUGACCGUAAGUUACAAAAUCAUAAAAACUAAAAGUUUUUAAAUAUUUACUUAAGGUAAAAUAAUAAUAAUGACAAUAAUAUUACUUAAAACAAAAAAAUCUGUAAACUUUAAUAAUGUUGAUGAUGAUGAUGUUGACAACAUUAAUAAUAAUAUAAUAAUUAGAAUAAUAAAUUUUAAUAAUAUUACUAUUAAUAAAAUAAUAAUAAUAAUUAAAAUGAUAAAGUUAAUAUAUUUUAAUAAUAGUAAUAAAAUUAAUAAAUAAAAAUAACUUAAUUAAAGUAAUUGUAACAAUUAAAAUAAUAAAAUUAAUUAAUUUUAUAAUAAUAAUAAUAUUAAUUAAUGACAGCAAUAAUAAUGCAUAAUAAUUAAAAUAAUAAAUAAUAAAUUUUAAUGAUAAUAAUAAUAAUAAUAAUAAAGUUAAUAUAUUUUAAUAAUAGUAAUAAAAUUAAUAAAUAAUAAUAACUUAAUUAAAGUAAUUGUAACAAUUAAAAUAAUAAAAUUAAUUAAUUUUAUAAUAAUAAUAAUAUUAAUUAAUGACAGCAAUAAUAAUGCAUAAUAAUUAAAAUAAUAAAUAAUAAAUUUUAAUGAUAAUAAUAAUAAUAAUAAUAAUAAAGUUAAUAUAUUUUAAUAAUAGUAAUAAAAUUAAUAAAUAAUAAUAACUUAAUUAAAGUAAUUGUAACAAUUAAAAUAAUAAAAUUAAUUAAUUUCAUAAUAAUAAUAAUUAAUGACAGCAAUAAUAAUGCAUAAUAAUUAAAAUAAUAAAUAAUAAAUUUUAAUGAUAAUAAUAAUUAAUAAUGAGUAAAAUAAGUAAUUUCAUAAUAAUAUUAAUAAUGAUGACAUUUAUGGUAGUAAUAAUAAUACAUGACAAUAAUUAAAAUAUUAAAAUUAAAUAAUUUUAAUAAUAUUACUAUUAAUAAAAUAAUAAUAACAAUAAUUAAUAAUGAUUAAAAUAAUAAAGCCAAUAUAUUUUUAAUAAUAGUAAUAAAAUUAAUAAUUAAUAAUGACUUAAUUAAAGUAAUUGUAACAAUAAAAUAAUAAAAUUAAUUAAUUUCAUAAUAAUAAUAAUAAUUAAUGACAGUAAUAAUUAGGGGUGGGCAAAAAAACCGUGGUCUUAAAAACACCGAACCGAACCGGCGGUUUUUUCGAAUUUGGAUCGGUUUUUAUUUUAAAAAAAACCGAAAUAUAUCAUUUGUAAAAAAAAACCGAAAUGUCGGUUCGGUAUUCGGUUCACUCAGCUGAACCGAAAAACCGAAUUAAUUUUAUAUUUUAUUCAAAUCGACAUGUGUUAAAUUUUUUUUUAUAAAUCCAAAUAUUGAGUCGAAAAUGCCUAAAGUUGAUGUUGAUAUUCAUGAAGAUGGGAGAAUGUUGUUGGCAUUUGUUUGCAAUUUUUUUUUUUGGGUGAAGAUGGGAGAAUGUUGUUGGCGUUUGUUUCUAAAUUUUCUUUUUAUUUUGUGUUGUAAGUUGUAAUUGUUGUUAUUUUUAUUUGUCUUUACAACAUUAUGAUUAUGUUUAUGUAGAUGGAGUAUUGGAGUUUGGUUAUGUAUUUUGAAAUUUUAAUAUUUCAUAUUUUGUGAGUACCUUAUUAGUAGUUAAUAAGAUAUUAGUGAUAAAAUGUGUUUUGAAUACUUUGUAUUUAUUGUUAAUAUUUGUAAUGAAAUUAGGAUGAACUAAUUGUUGAAAACAAUUAUUACAUUUAUGAGGUCCAAUGGGCUAAAAAUUUGAAAUUUUAAAAUAGGCCCAAUAGACCUAGAACCAAAAAACCGAACCGAACCGAACCGAUCCGAAAAGAUCCGUUUGAGUUCGGUUCUUAUUCGGUUCUUUUUAUAAAAUAACCGAUUUAAAUCGGUUCUACUUAAUUUCGAUCCGAACCGAACCAAACCGAACCGAACCGUGCCCACCCCUAGUAAUAAUACAUAAUAAUUAAAAUAAUAAAAUAAUAAAUUUUAAUGAUAAUAAUAAUAUUAUUAUUAAUAUUAAUAAUGAUGACAUUUAUGGUAGUAAUAAUAAUACAUGACAAUAAUUAAAAUAUUAAAAUUAAUAAUUUUAAUAAUAUUACUAUUAAUAAAAUAAUAAUAACAAUAAUUAAUCAUGAUUAAAAUAAUAAAGUUAAUAUAUUUAAUAAUAGUAAUAAAAUUAAUAAAAUAAUAAUAAUGACUUAAUUAAAGUAAUUGUAACAAUAAAAUAAUAAAAUAAAUUAAUUUCAUAAUAAUAAUAACUAAUGACAGUAAUAAUAAUACAUAAUAAUUAAAAUAAUAAAAUAAUAAAUUUUAAUGAUAAUAAUAAUAUUAAUAAUGAUGACAUUUAUGGUAGUAAUAAUAAUACAUGACAAUAAUUAAAAUAAUAAAUUUUAAUAAUAAUAACAAUAAUAUUAAUAUAAUAAUAAUGAAAUUUAUAAAUAUUAAUAAUAGUAACAGUUAAAUUUUUUUAAAAUCCAUUUUUAUCCCAAAAGAGGACUCAUAUAUAAAAAAUUGUAACUUCUAGUGUCUAUUCAACUUUUUUAUAAAAUAUAGGUAUUGAGAUGUAAUUAAUUGAAAAAGACAAAAUUGAGUAGUACGGUGCAACCGUUGCACCAUAGUUUCAUCCAAUUUGAAAUCUUGGAAAACCCUUUAAUCAAUCUCUUAGUAGUAGGCUUUGGUAGCUUGGUUUGAUUAUGAUUUAUAAUCAUUUGAUAAUAAAGUCAGAGGAUGUAUUAAUAUAAAAUUUAUUUAUUGGUGUUGAAGAUAAUUAUCUCAUUAAUAAUAGUAUAAAAAGUUAAAUACUAAGAAACACAUAGCAGUAGUUAAUUGGUGUCAUAUGAUUGGGAUUCAGGGAUAUAAUUUUAUAUCAUAACUUUGUAAGUGUAUAAUUACUCAUUAAAUUAACAAAAUUAUUUAAAAAUAUUUAGUUAGAAAAAAUAAAUUAUAUUCUUUUUAUUUCAAAUAAUCUAUAAGUUAACUCAAAACAUAAUCAAGCUGAAAAUAAAAAUAAUGCUACUGUAUGACAUGAUUUUUAUUUUUUCUCGAAGUUUCACUAGGAAAUUAUUGAUAUACAGCUUUAUUCAAAUCAUCUCAGUUCAAACGACAAAUAAUUGAAAGACUAAGCUAAAUAGACCAGCCAACAACUUUGUACAGCAGAGUUCAAUAAUUAACGUCAUGGUAUUGAGGUGUUAUGUCUUGAAAAGUACAGCAUAGUAAUAAAAUAAAAGUUAUUAGUUUUUAGGAAAAUAUGACUUUUAAAUAAUAAUUUUCACAAAAAUAUAAAGAAUAUUUAUAAAGUACUUCUAUAGUGAGGAGACCCCACUUUGUUAAAGUGAAAAUAUUAAUAAUACAAAAUAUAUAGAUUUUAACAUAUUAAAAACUGUAUUUUUUUUAAUCUAUUGGUGUAUUGAAAUAUGCGUUUUUUAGUUAGAUAUAUCAUCACUUUGUUAAAAUGAGAAUGUUGUCACUAGACAAUAAUCAUAUAUACAUAUAUAUAUAAAGUGCUUCUCUCCAAGACCUAGACUUUAUUAAAAUUUAAGAAAGUAAAUAUAUUUUAUAUGGUAUAAUAGUGUAAUAACAUCACACUAUUAUAUCAUGUAGAGUAAUAGUUUUUCUAACUUUAAUAAAAUUCAAGAUUAUAGAAUGAAUGAUUUAUAUAUAUUAUAAAUUUUUUAUCAUAAAGUGGAGGACAAAAUUAACAUAUUUUUCAAAUUAUAAUAAAUAUUUAUCAAAUAAUUUAACUUCGUAAUUUCUCCUAACUAGUAUAGUAAAUACAACCUCGGAGGUACAUUCAAAGCAUUUCAUAAGUUUGUUGUUAACAAUAAAUGAUACAUGCAGCUCCAACCAUCAUUGUACGGUGAGUAAUUUCAAUAGAUUUUUUAUGGCUUAAUUUACUAGGAUCAUAAUGAACAUUGAAUGUCAAAAUAUUAAUGGCCAAACAGACCAGCUGCCAACGACUUAUUCCAAUGUGAAUAUUUCACAGUGGGUACUGCACAUGAUGCUUGUUUCUCCUUUUGCAUCUAUUUUUUUUUUAACACUAAUUUCAAUAGCAGCUCGUCAUGUAUGCAAUAUUUCAAAGUUAAUCAAAAAAAAAAAACAAAAAUUAGUUCAGCUGACUAAAUUAUUUUUUUUCUUUUCUGUGGUAGUAAGUCCGACUCCUUAGUGACAAUUUAAAUUGAAAAAAUAAAAUCAUAAAUAAGAAUUAUUUGAUAAUAAUUAAAAUAAUUGAUAAAAAUUUGAUUGGAGCAAUUUUGGAAGAUUCGAUUUCUAAUAGAAAGGGAAUUUGAAUUUUACAGCCUUCGGUGAGGAAUCCAAAAUGCACAAUUUGAUGAAAAUUAAAUUUCAAUAGAAAUUGAAUUCCCAUUUAUUAGUGAAAACCAAACAACAGGAAAGUGAAAGGAAUUUGAAUUCAUUUCCUUCCUCUCCUCCCUCCAACUAAACACCAUCGAAAUCCAAAGGUAUGGAUUGGGAUUCCAUAUUGAUCAGAAUGGGAUUUGUCCAUAUUAUUAGGACCAAUUUUAAAAGCAGUCCGAGUUUCAAAGUUUAAGAUUGAAAUUAAUCACAAUUGUUGAUUUGGGACUAGAUAAGAAUUUAUCUUGGAACUCCAAUUCUCCCAAUUAUUUUAGUUGACAAUAUGUUUAACAUUAUUUUUUUAAACAUUAUUAAUUGCAUAUUAUUUAAUUAUCAAUAUAUAAUAUUCUUUAAUUUUCUAAUUUUAUAGGAUUAGACACAAAAUUGAUUAUACCUUUUGAAAUUUAAGGGUUAUGUCAAUUGAAUAGAAAACUUGGAGUUAAACUUUUGGAUGUUUUUGUUGAUUAUCAAUUUAUGCAUGAAUUUUUGUACGUUUACUCUGGUUUAUUAUUAUUACUUUAAAACAUUUUUAUUGGUUUGAUUUAGGGUCAUUUUGGUAAUCUUGUAGCUUAAAAAUACUUUUAGUUAUAAAAACAGUCGUAUGUGUUUCGUAAAUCUUAUUGUUAAACUGGUGCAAUAAUAUAAAUGAUUGUGAGGGGUUUGAGAUUGGUCCUAAUUUUGAUCACAAAUAUAUAAACAGGACGAGUUUAUCCAUACUUACAUUCCAUUUGAUAAUUAAGAUGAGAGUAGAAUGGUCAAAUCCCAAAUCAUCUCGGACCAUUGCCACCAAAGGUACUCUCACUAAUAAUAUCUAAAGUAAAAUCUACACCUAUUUCAUACCUUUUUUUUUUAUUUAACGGAAGGAGCCCUCAUGGGGCUUGAAAUGGUAUCCUAAAUAAUAUUAAGAAUAUCAUGUCGUGGUUGGUUUCGUGACAAAUAAAUAUUACAUGGUUGGGAUGCAUAGUUACUAGUGUCCCAAUUUAUAGGGGUGGGCAAAUUACCCGAUCCGACUCGACCCGACCCGAAAAAUUUCAGGUUCGGAUCGGAUGGGGUUGUGCAGAAAACCCGAUCGGAUCAAAACAAUGAAACCCGAUCGGGUUAUGAUCGGAUUGGGUUCGAUCCGAUCCGAAACCCGAUCGGGUUGCUAUAAAAAAAAAAAACUAAACCUAAAGCAAACAGCCACACACACGCAGCACACACAAAUCACAAUUCCCAUUUUCACAACACACGGUUACUUACACAAACACUCACAACUCUCCUCAAUCCCCAAUCUCAUUACACAAUCCCCAAUCUCAAUACACAAAACACAUACACAGUCACCCCCAACGGCGUUGGGCCAACGCCAAGCCGCCAACGGAGGUCGCUGCACAAGUCACAGCCUCACCCGCAUCUCCAUGGCCGAUUUGCCGCGCGUCUCCAUGCCCGAUUUGCUGCAAGUGCCGCCAAUAUGCUACUACGCGUCCGUCGGUCUGCUGCUACAAGUGCCGCGGCCACCGAUCUACUGCAAGUGCCGCGAAUCUGCUGCAAGGUGCUUCUGCUGCUCCAAUCCUUCAACCCGAGCUUCUCACCUUUGACUUUGAAUCUUGAGUUUUCACGCUUUUUUUAAGCUUUUUUUUUUAAAGAUUUGAAUUGAUGGUGCAUAUGGUUAAAUUAAACAAUUAAUAUUUAGUAUUUAAUUGUUGUAAUUAUGUGUUUUUAAAUGGUAGUAACAAAAUCAAGGAAAUUGGUCAACCCGAUCCUACCCGAUUUCAACCUGAAUUCACAACCCGACCUGACCCAAUCCGAAUAUAAAUCGGAUCGGAUCGGGUCGGAUGGGAAGUUCGGGUUGUAUUCGGAUUAAUUUUUGUUAAACCCGAACAACCCGAAAUCUGAUCGGGUUGAUCCGAACCCGACCCGACCCGAACCCGGUUUUGCCCACUCCUACCAAUUUAUGUAGUAUUUAUCAUUUAGUGCACAUGCACAGUAUUAAUCAGCUUAACUAAUUUAUAAAAUUUAAAUCUAAUUAAUAAGUGACGCAUAAAUGCCAAGUGCAUUACAUGCAAAUCAUGUUUUUCGAUCACUACAAAACUGGCUCUUGAAAACAAGCAAGAAAGCUUAAUUAAGAACUUAAAACAAAAAGAAUUAGAUUGAGAACAAUCAAGCCUUAUUUUUUCAAGGAUGGAGCUUAUAAAUCUUCAAGUACCAACAUACGCUUGGCCCAAUUGUUGUUAUUAAAAUUUCAAUAUACAUAUAUAAGUAUGAUAUAGCAAAAAUUUGAUGGUACAUAUGUCGGAAUAUACUAGUUCAUGGGUGCAUUUGAUUAUUGUUUCCAUAAAUUUGAACCAGGAAGAAUGAAACGAUAAAAUUUGAUUUUAUGGUAUGGUUGAUUUCAUAUCUCAUGCACUCAUUUCUUAAGAUAAUCAAAUUUUCUCUGGCAUCUUUUGCAACUGUCGAAAUAACAAUUAUGAUCAAUCAAACGAUUUCAAAACCUUUCAACGAGACAUAUUUCUAAUACAAUAUUGUGAAAAUUACACUAAAAUUUUAAUUUAUUAUAUAUUAUUAUCCAACGAGCACACAAAAAUGAUUUCGUACAAAUCUAAAAUACUGAGCAAUUUUCAAAUAGAAUUUACCAUGUACUACAAGAAAAUAGGGUAUAUGUGACCCCUAAUGUGAAUGCAAAAGCAGCCAUUACGCAUAUCACUAACUUCUAACUCUGUAACCCCGAGUUGCUUUUGUUACCCUUUAUGUGACGGCCACACUGCUGUCACAUAUGUUACGAACUGCGUGACGGUGAAGAGCCGUUCGGUAUACUAAUAUUUUAGAAUUUUAAAUUUAUUUCCAGUUAGAAAAGUAUUCGCUGGAGUCCGUGUUACUGGCCACCAUCGUAAACAUAACUGGUUGCCAGCGAACGGCGUAAAACGCCGGGCAUCUUCUUCUUCAUCGUAUUCUCCCUUCAUCUUUUGAGGUAAGCUUGUGAUUAUGAGUUUCUUCUCUUACUUAACUUGUAAUUAUAGACUUUGAUUUUUUUUAAUUCGUAUUGUAGCCGUUAUUGUCAAUUUUUGUCCCGCCAGCAAUAUUUUUUUAUUCGUACAAGUUGAAGCCCCUGCGUUCUUGUUCCAUUGGUGAGUUUGCUCACUCAAAUUAAUUUUGUUCUGCGGAAUUUACAAAGUUCAAAUGGAUUCAUUUGAAUUACUAUUGAAUUUAGCUUUAAUUCCAACAUCCAUUCUAAUGUUUUGCUAUUAGAUUUAGUUUAAUUUUAUGUUUAAAGCAUCUACAAUGAAUAGCGGAGCUUGGGUUUUAGUUUCAUUUUCUAGAUAACUUGUUUUGGUUUAUCUUGUAUGCUCACCAAGUGCUUGUUAUAUUGUCUGAUAAGUUAUAUACAUUGCUGAUUCUAUAUUAAUAAUGUUAUGUUCUAUUUUCAGAAAUUAUAAUACAAAAGCUUUUACAAUGGCGUGCAUCUACAAACUGGAUUGACUCGUAGAAUAAGAGCUUGGAGUAGUGUUAUGUUCUUGAAUAAAUGAAAGUUCAUAUUGUGUAAAGCAUCAUUAUCAUUUCUACAAAGUGCUUUCAUUCUGUUCAGAUGCUCUUCUUGAACUUUGAAAGGUGCCUCGUUCAAGUCCUAGCUAUAACUACUAGCUUUGAUUAAUUAAGUUCCUAUACUAGCUGAAACAGAUUUAUUUAAUUAAUUAAUUGUGUAUGUACUAAUUAUAUUGAAAGUAUAUGAAUUUUUUUUUUUUUUAACAUGAAUGACUUCUAAAUGACUUAAAAUCCUAAAGGAUGUGUAAAAUAAUGCUCAUUUCACUUGAAUGAGCCUAUUAAUACUUUUAUGUCUAUGAUUGUCAAUAUUGGCUUAAGCAUUUCAGUUAAGUGGUUUACCUAACAGAGAAAAAAAUUUAAUAGAAAACUUCAGAGUUCUAACAGAAAUAUAGUUCACUAUGCAGAUAUAGUUAUUUUACGGUAUACAAAUCAAGUUGUCCUAAUCUCAAUGUCCUAUGACCGAUUUUAUUUUAUAUAGUCAUUAAUUUUUUCCUUGGUUUUUUGUGUUUAUGAGUAUGAAAUAGUGGGAUUUGGUGUACCUUAGCAUCUUUUGAAAAUUCUCUUUCAGUGUGGCCAACAGAAAUAUACAUAUAAUCAAGUUUCUUAAUCGUGUAUAUUAGUUUUGGGUAUGAAUGUUCCUAUUCUAGUUCUAGGCAAAGCUUCUUCGUUUUGGUCUUCGGAUUUCCAGUAGGUUAAGUUAAUCAACUAUCAUAACUGGCUAGCUAGUUAUUUUCUGCCUUGGCGCCAUUACCCAGGCCAUUAUAUUGCAUAGCAUAAAGAAUAGUGAUUAGGUGAUUAUUAGUGAUUUGUUGAGCUUAUUUUCGACCAAACAAACAUAUUCGCCUUUGCCCACAACUUAGUUUGAUUAGUUAUUAGACCAUAAAGAGCCUUGAUCUAUUCAUUGGCUUUAUUAUUUUUAUUUGGUUUUUCUUUCAACAAUAUUGUUGAUUUCUUAUAAAAAUAUUCAUUGGUUUUUAAACACCUAGUCAUUGGCUGUAUGAAGCAAAUUAAAACUGAGGCUUUGGAUCAAUUUCUUCUAACAAGAUACAAAUGAGCAUAACCUUUCUCCUCUAAGUAAUUUUUUUUAAUAUCCUUGAUUUGUAAGGAUCUGGAGGCCUGAAAUCCUCUAGAUUUUUUUUAACACUGUCAAUGUCCUUUUUAUUCUGAAAAGGAAAUAAAAGGUUUUAUCUUUCAUACCCUAAUAGUAAGCUGGCCUUGUCUUAACAUGGCUUCCCGAGGAUUUGCAAGAUUCAUAGCGCCCCCAACCCCCCCCCCCCCCCCCCCCCCCCCACAAAAAAAAGGAAGAUUUUGCAAGAUUCACCACCAGGUUAUUUAUUUAUUUAUUAAUUGUGUGUACGUACUAGUUAUAUGUUGAAAGAAUAGGAAGAAGUAUUUCAACAUGAAUGACUUAAAACUUAUUGCUCAGUAAACAUAAUCUGCAUCAGUACGAAAAUGUAUUUAUCAUUUGUAUUUUUUUAUGGUUUUGCUUAAGAAAUGAUAUGUGAAAUAAUGCUACAUGCCUACAUUGUAUCAGGAAUAACUUGAAAAGAUUUAUGAUAUUUAUGUGUUAUUCAAAUUUCAGAUUCAAUUUUAAACUUUUGAUACGUGCAUUAAAAGCUUAGACUUGUUUAAGAAAUUAUUAAUAGACACAUGUUUUAUUAGUGUCAUAUUUGGAUGAUAGUGAGGAUCAUAUGUCUAUUAAUAAUUCUUGAAUUGUCCGGGCUUGGACAGUUUGGGAAUGCAUACUUCUCUCUGGUAGCUAGUAGCUGAAGUUUCUUCCCACGUAAAAAUGGGUUUUUCAGUAGCUGCUCCUCGUGUUCUCUGGGAACGUACUAGGUGAAUGGGUGUUGUGUUGUUUUGGCAUAACGCAUAAACACUUAUAUAGCUAUGUCGCGUGCUUGGAGAAUUAUAGGGAGAUGGUGCUGAAAUUUUUAUAAAUGUAGAAUAAAACUUUAGGUACUUGAGAUUGAAAAAACUUACGCAUUCUUGAGUGGGAUAUGUAGGAUUACUUACGGUUGGUAAAUAUGAAGGGAAUGUUGGAUAUAUUGAGGGUAGUGUAGGAGCUGAGUUGGAUGAAUGUAAUUGGUGAUGAUUUUGCUGAGUUGACCUUGGUUUUGAGCUUGUAAUUUUGUUUGUAAAUGGAGUGCUAUCUCCAAUGUUGGUUUAUAAAAAUGUUUCAGGACUUGCUGACCUAAUUUUUUGUUUCUAGGUUACAGGCUUUAUAUAUCUGUAAUUGAUAGCCAAGUGAAGUUCUCAGCACUUGGCAAGGAUAUUUCUUUACAGAAGGUAUUGGAAACUGUUUUUUACAUUAAUUAUCGUUGAUUAUAUACUUUGAUUGUCACAUCUUUUUCUCUGAUUCUUGUGGCUUUGUUUGCUUUCAUAUAUGUAAAUUCUAAUGAAAUUAACCAUAAAAUUGUAAAAUGAUCUUUUUAUUAUAUUGCAAAACUGUGCACACACGAAAAUAUCUUGUUUAGUAGUAGAAAUGAAGAACUAAUUUUUUUAGCGCAUUAAAAGGAGAUAGUCAUGGACAAGUGUUGGGUUGGUUUGCCAAAUAGAUAUCCAAGUCAUAUACUGAUGGCGUUGAAAAAUUUAUAGAUUUUGUAUUUGAGAAUGUUGUUGGUGGUACAAGAAUUUAUUGUCCUUCUUGAUAAGUGUUGUAAUCUAUAUUUCGUUAUAAGGGAAGUGGCUGAUGAUGAUAUGGUUGGAAUGAUACAGUACAUCACGUAAUCAAAUGUUCAAGUUACACGCAGCAUUGUUAUGAACUAUCAGUGGCAACUUGUCUGGGUGGAGUAUUAAAGGUAAAUAAGCAUGUCUUGUUUGCCAACAAAGCACUGGAUCUAAUUGGUUGAUACAUAGUAGAAAAUUUUGUCACGUGGGUCACCGUCGAUUUUUCCCAACAAAUCAUAGGUUUCGAAAAUAUAGUGUCUUUGAAUAAAACUAGAGAGUAGGGACAAACACCUUCUCAGUUGUCUGGAACUGAAGUGAAAAAGCAGUUUAAUAUAUUUACUGAGUAUAAGAUUGAAGACUUGAAAAGAGAAGAACGAAUAAAAUGAGAGAAAUGAUAAGAUUACUUGGAAGAAGAACAGAAAUAUUUCUUAAGAUUACUUGGAAGAGAAAUGAUGUGGAAGAUGGCUAUAAAAGAUAAAAGGAAAGGCUUAAAAAGAAAAGCCAUGCCUGUCAAAAACAAAAAAACAAUGGCAGCGUCAAAUUUAUAACACAAAUCAAAACGGUGCGUUUGAGAGUGUAUAAAAUACAUUUAGAGUGGGAGUUGUGUUGUUGCUUGAAGGCAGAAUGUUUGUGAGAUAUUUGUCGGCGAAGCCGAAACCAAAGAUGAAGCCCAUCAAAAGCAUUUAUAGUGUAAAAAGUAUAUUGUGGAAAUGUCUGGUCGGUAAUACAACUAUUUCUUAUAGUGUAAAUGAUACACUAAUUUGAAUUUAUAUGCUUUUAUGAUUAUUUGAUUAUCAAGUGGUGAUCAUAUGUGAUGAUAAACUUAGGUAGUACCUUUAUAUUUAUUGCCUUAGUUUUCUAAGCGUUCACAUUUUGAUGAGUAAAUUAAGGAUUUCUAGAUGAAGUACAUAAUUAGAUUAAUGCUAAGGAACUGAAGUUUGAUCAACUGAAAACGAAAAUAAUAAUGAAGGUAAUUAAGAAAAUGAACAAUACAGAAGCGGUCCUUAUUAGGACUUCUAGAUUUUCUCUUGGGCUUCCUUAUUAUUGUUAAAAAAUGACACGAAGAAGAGUUUAAAAAUCUGGCCCUGAUGCCUGGUAGCCCUCCAACAUAUGAAGCACUAGAUGUUUUAAUGAGAAAAUGACAAGACCAUUUAUCAAAUUUCUUGUGGAUAUAAAUACAUACACAUAGACGAGACCAACCUCCUCAAAUGAGAAUCAGAGUGAUUACAAGACCUUGCAAUGGGACGAUAACACACCAUCAAAUCUCAAAAUACAAUAGAAAUUCAUGACACAUGUAUAAUAAAAGACCUCUCAUUGAGUUCUAUAUAUUGAGAAUAAAAAUGUUAUAAUACAUACAAAGAGCUUAGCUAGAAUAAAAUGUCUUUGAACUUGCGAUGAUCAAAUAAAGGAAACAGACAGGUUGUAACUCAUACUAUCACAAGAAGAUCACGAAGAUGGAAAUGGGAACCCCUCAGAAUGGAAAUUUUGAAUAGAGGAAAAAAGAAAAACGACCUUAUUCACAGAAGAAGAGUGACUUAAAUCUUCAUCAGUAUCCAGACAUUCUGCAAUCACAGAGUAGAGAAAUUUUAACCAGAACAGCAGAAAAAAUAUUAUGAAUAUGCUAUAGACCAAUAUACUUGUUCAUAGCUAACGUUUGAUGGUUUAAGGAUUUGUUCUGGGAAUAAUGGGCUGAUUACUUUUUUUUUUUAUUUUAAUUUUUUUGAAUCCAAUGAAUGAUAUUCAGCUGUGAAUUAUGUGUUCAUAGGGAAGAACAUUUUCUAAGUACUUUCCUUGCCUUCUAACUUUCCGAAAAGCAAACCCAAUAAACAAACAGAGCACAAACUAAAAUAAAAGAACAGCAAUGAUGACAAUAAAUAAUUGGCAAAGAAAAAAAGGAAAAAGUAUGCACGUUUUCAAUGAAUUAUAAAAUAUGAAGGCUUUUAAUGAAAUUUUAUCAUAAAAAGUAUGCAAGGAAUUAUAAAAUUUUAGAAAACAAGGGGAGCUCUAAAAAAAAAAUGAAAAACUCAAAUUAAAGUAGACUAAAAAGACAUUCAACUAUGCAAAAUCUGUCCAUAAAAGUCUGAAAGGAUCAUUAAAAUUGCAUUGCAAAUUUAACAGUAAACCGAGGGACCCAUUCUAAAUAAUUCAGAUGAAAUUGCGAAACAAGCCAUGGGAUUAAAUAAAUGAAAUAAAAAUUAAUUACCAGUUGAGACUUUCUUCUAAAAAUUUGCAACUCCAAGUCAUAAGAAGCCUAUGAAAUUAGUCGUACUGCGUAGAGUAUGACGACGACACCGCCAACAGCUGAAAGUAAAAUUCUUAUUCAUCAAAUAUCUUAUCUAUAUUGUAUUUAAGAAAGCAAAUUUUGUAAAAAAUUAUCAUGGGAGAUAGAGAGUAAUAUGUAUAUACGUACCUUCUCAGCAUGUAAUUGUUGUAUGGUUGUGUUUAGAUCAUUAUUAGCCCAACGCCGUUGAUUCGAUGUCUCUCCAUAGCAGACGUUUACUCUUAGAGGCGUGAUUGAUUCUCCUGUAGUGAAAGUCUUCAUCUUGGGACAACCAAUCACCCACAACUCUUGCAAAGAUGGGAAUUUGAAGGUGUAAUUGGCAGAGCAGAAACUUGUGAGGCUAUCUAAAUCAAACAGUUGCAACGUCUUCAAUUUGCAGAAAACAAUCUCUUCUUUUUCAACUCCAUCUUUGUCAUUUAUUACCACCUCUGUCAUUGCUCUGCAUCCAUAUACUUGCACUUUGACCAGUCGCACUAGAGUUUUUGCUGUGGAGGAUGUUACUAAGUGUAUCAAUUCCUUGCAACCGAAAGCUACAAGUUUUGCUAGGUUCCGAAAAGAUACCGAUGAUGAUGGCAAUAGAAUUAACAGACUUUGACUAUGAUAUACUCCUAGAAUUUCAAGAUACUGAAAAAUGGGGCCAAGUUUGGAAUCUUGUUUGCACAGCUGCUUCAGAUGAUAGGGCCGGUACAGCUUUAAUUCUUUUAUCAUUGCCAACUUCCCCAAAUGUUUCUCCAAGCAUCCUUCCUUCGAAAAUACCUCUUCGUCGAAUGAAAAAAAAGACAGUGUGAGUAUUUCGAGAUUGUGAAAUCUCUCCAGUACGUUCCAGAUUGGAAAACAAGCUGUGUCAUCUGCAGCAAUCUCUAGUUCUCUAAGACUGCCAAAAAGGUGUUGUGGGAAAUCGGCCUGCAAAAUCAUCUUCACAUCUUUUCCACUUAGUGAUAGUUCCUUCAAGUUGGGUACGAUCUGAUCAUCAUCAAUCAUAAUAACUAAUGAGGUCAAUUGAUGAUCUACGGUCACACGCAGUGACUUUAUAAUAUUUGUUUUAUAUUAUAUUUAAAAAAAAUUGAAUUAUUGAUAAAAUUUAUUUUAUAUGUUAAUUUUAGAGGUAAAAAAGAAAUUAGGGAAAAAGGUUGAUUUAUACUGGCUCGAAAUUAUUUUAUUGCACAAUAAUAAAUUACUAAUUUAUUUUGUAAGUUCUUCUAUAUGGAAAGACUAAGGAUUCUUUUAUAAAUGCUCUACCAAAAAAAGUUCAUAUAAUUAUUAAUCUACCACAUUGAUCUCUUAAUCUAGACUAACAAAGAUUAUUGUAUAAUAAAAGUUUUCAAUUUAUUGAGUAUUAAUUUAUCGAUGCUUUGCCAUAUUUUUCAAAGUUAAAAAUAAGCUGUAGACAAAAAAUCUAGAAAAUGGCUUCAUACCUUUUCCAACGGCAAUGGGGGCUGUUGUGCAGGAAUGCCAAGUUGAUCGUUCUCAUUAUUCUGCGAUAAAUCUUCAGUGAAUAUCUUUAAUUUGUCACAACGAUGCACUGAAAGAAUUUCUAGCGCGGGCCAUUCCGAAGUAUGCAUUCCAGGGUACAAACAUCUAAGUUUUGGUAGACCUUGGAGUCUCAAAGUGGUGAGCUGUGGAAAGACAAAAUAAGGGAUCACUUCAUCUGCUCUGUUCUCAGAAAUCCUCACAGAAGCGUACUUCUAGGUGUUGGAGCUGCUUGAGGUUUCCGAUCAUAGACGCUGAAAAUAUGUAUUUCAGUUUGUCACAGUACCACACAACUAAUCGUGUUAAACUUUGAAAGUGAGGAAACACGGCCGCCGGAAUUUGAUUGUAGUGCCAAAUCUUGUCGACAUUAAUUGCAGAUAUCUCCAAAGCCUCCAAGUUAGGCAACGCAACCUAAAAAAAUAAGAAUUUCUCGUUAGAUCCAUCCAUAUGGGAAGCACUUGUUGAAAUUUUCUUCUUUGAUUACAAAAUAAUGCAAGUCAGAAUCAAUUUCCAACUGACAGCUGAGAAUGCAUUCUAAUUCAUACUACUUGUUAAGAGCUUAAUUAGUGAGCGCGUGAGAUUCUUUUUAUCCUUUUUUUCCAUUUUCUUUCAAUUCUUUAAAUGAUGUAUUUAUUUUCCACGUAUGACAUCAAAAGAGAACGUAUGAUAGAAUAAAGUCUGUUAUAUAUAUAUAUAUAUAUAUAUAUAAAGAAAAUGUUAGCCUACGCACCUUCUCGUUGAAAAGCAGAGUUGAAAUAUCCAAAGUGAUUUCGCUGGAGCAAAACAUAGUCGUCGAUUCGUGUUGUGACACUUGUCUGUUCGGUGAUGCUGAAGGAGUCUCCACCUCACAGCAAAAACUUGUAACCUCUGGAAGAUUCCCCAGACUCAAAGAUCUUAAUUGAGCAAACUCUAUCUUCUCAAUUGCAUUAUCAACUUCUUCCCCAAUUGCAAAAAUCUCUUUCAUCUUGCUGCAAUUAAUAACUGCAAUUCUCUCAAGUCUUGGAAGGCAUUUUGUAGUACAGAGCCAAAAGAUAUUACUCAAUUUAUCACAAUUAUAUGCUUCUAUGUUUUUGAGUUUGUUGAAAGACUCUACUUUGAGCCGAUCAAUACAUAUCCUCUCCAUGUUGAUCAAAUUGUGAAUGGUAAGUGACUCCAAAAGAGGAAAGGCAUCACAAGCGACCAUCUCCCUUGAAUCGACGAUACAAAAGACGUCAGGAUUAUUUUGAACCCAGAGAAGCUUCAAUUGUGAAAAGCCCUCCGUGUCCAAAUUGAAAAGAACAUUCUCGAUGCCUUGCAGCUUGUCCAACCAUAAGUAUUCAACGUUAUUGAUGCCCUGCAAUUUCAUGGAGCAAAUGUCCAUAAAAUCAAGCUUGAGCUUCAAUGAUCUUAAACUCUUGCGAUCACUGUUGAUCGAAAAGCGCGGCCGACUUUUAAACCAAUGUUGUCCAACACUCAUGGGAUGCAUGAAUAACCCAUUUCCAAUAGAUAUUUUGAACCUUUCGAGCUUUCUGGCCAAAAAACCUUCUGGUAAAAUAUUGUCACUUUUAACGUCAAUUUCUAGAGUGGUUAGCCGAGGUAAAUGCAUCAAUUCGUCAAGGCUAGCAUUACUUCUUUUGCUGUUGGCUCUUUCAACCUCCCAUUCAAUGAAGCAAUUACCCAUAUACAGCUCUUCUAGUCGAGUUAAGCUUGAUAUGAGAUUGGGCGCAAUAACUUUCAGUUGGAAACAAUUUGUUAAAUCUAACAAUCUCAACUUAUUCAAUUGACCUAGUUCUUCGGGCAACUGCAUAAUAUCAGACUUCAAAAAGCUAAGGACUUCUAGAUUCUUCAACUUCCCAAUGAUUGCUAUGUCCCCCAACGCACUUUGAUCCAGACAUAGUGUGUGAAGAUUUGGUAGAAGAUCAAUUGAAGAUGGAAAAGAAGAAAACUGCAUUCGAGUAAAAUCUAGAACUCUAAGCUUUUUCAUCCCUACAAAAAAGUUCUCAGGAAUAUUGAUUUCAAGAGAAGAAUAUUUGAUAGAGAUAAAUAAAAAUUCAAGGUUUGGGCAUUCUAAUCCUUCAGGAAAUUCACGAUUACUAUUAUUUCUUAAAGAGAUCGCAUUGCAUUUUCGAAGUGCAUCCUCAUCUGGCCAGUCCCACACAUCCUUAUUUCUCACCAAAAACACAUGUUGGUGGCGGCAUGCAAUUGAUAUUGCGACAUCACGAACAACAUCAUGCAUUGAAAAUUCUUCAUUGCUCUCACCCUCAAGCAACAAACAAGAGUGUCUAAGUUCAUGGACCAAUGCAUAUAAUUUGUCUCGCGCAUCUUCCAUCUUAUUGACUCCUUUAAAUAUACCCAAACCCAUGGAGUACUUAAACAAGUCCGAAGUAAGAAUACGGUUAUCCAUUAGACUACAGAGCAGAAAAAUUUUCUUGAGUUGCUCACCUUUUAAAUGGUUGAAACUCAGCUCAAUACUUGAAUAAGUCUCUGCAGAUACUCCUUCGAAGUUUACCAUUGAAGGCGUUUGGAGUUCUCUCAAGGAAUUCUUCCAUUCAUGCAGACUCUUGCCUCUCAGUGCCUUUGCUACUGUAGUCAAGGCAAUGGGCAAACCUCCACAUGCCCUGGCGACGUCUAUUGCUGUAGAUUUCAACUCACGAUUUUCAACAUCAUCACCGGCCAUCAUCUUAAACAAUCUCCAGGUUCUUCUUCAUUUAAAUUGUUAAUCAAGAAGUUGUCUUUAGAUCCCAUUUUUAAGAGGACGCCACGAUCUCUUGCUGUCAGCAGUAGUUUGCAGCCUUUAUGAUCUUCUCCAAAAGGAAUUCCAACUGUCUCCAAGUCAAGGUGCUUCCAGAUGUUAUCUAAAACCACAAGGAUCUUCUUCUCAUUUCUCAAUCGCUCAAAUAGUCUACAUGCUCUUCUAGAUUCAACUUCCUCGUGCAACUCCAGGCCCAACUUCUCGGCAAUUUCCUGUUGAAUCCUUUUUAUGUCUGGAAUUUGGGAAACCUCUGAAAAGACCACCAUAUCAAAGAGCUCGUCUUCCAUAGCUUGCCUGGCGACCUUCUUCACCAGUGUCGUCUUUCCAGUGCCGCCCAUGCCGUACACCCCAAUGAUGCUGACACUAACAUCGAUCAAUGCUUUUUUUAUAGCCUCCAAAGUAGAACGUCUUGAUUCGAAGGCCUCGUAGCCUUUGUGAGACUUGAGCCAAAUCUCCUUCGGAAUGGUACGGUAGGAAAUUCUAUCAUCAAAUCUCCCAGCUUCUUCUCGGAGUUCGACAAGCGCCUUUACCUCUGCCUCUGCUUUCCUGCUAAGCUGAUAGCGGGUCUUCAGAUUAGGACACAGACCCUUGAGACAUCGCUUAUUUGUUGCCUCCUCGUCGUCAAUGAAUUUGUCUGCAUGGUCAAUGAUCUUGUUCGCAUUAACCAGCCAUUUCUCAACCUCCUCUUCAAUCUUUUCUCCUUUUCUUUCAGCCUCUGAAACUCUGCGCUGAAUGCUCCUACUUUUAUCCUUGAGAUUCUCGAUUUCAGCCUUGAGAUUCUCAAAGUUGGCAUUGGAGCUACGCAAAUAACGAAGUUGUUGUUGUGUUGGAGGAGCCAAGCAUUCUGCAACUUCUAAAACGACAGUAACAAUGCAUUCCAACACCUUCAAUCUUUUUUUUUUUUUGGGAGGGGGGGGUUGUGGGAGGAUGGAUUGAUCUGAAGUGAAAGAAACAGAAAAAGAACAGGGGAAACGACUGGACAAUUGUUAAUCAAUGAAGAAUAAACUUCAUAAUAAAGUAGCAUUAGAGUACUAGACAAGCUCACCACGUUUAAGCUAAGCGGAGAAUAGACUUCAUCAACAACGCUUUCGUGAAUAUGCGUUGCAUUACAACGCUCCAAUGUGAUCCUCAUCCAAUACCCAUUAUUUGUGAUCCUUAUUCCACUGCGUCAAUUACACUCCAGUCCAAUGCUACCAUCAUUAUCGAACAGUCGAUAUCCAACACUUGCACGAAGAUUCCAAGAAGUUGCGUGGCUGCUGACUUUUAAAUGCUAAGCCUUAUUGUGUCCAUGAUACACCAAAUAGAGCAGUCCCGGGUAAUUGCCAAAACUUAGAACUAAACAGUAGCUCAGGUCAGAAAAUCAAAUGGAGUGAUGAUAAGAAGCUGAGGCACACCAAUCGAUUGCCUAAGCCUAGCAGCAGAUUGGAGGAAUAUGCAUGGACACAUGCGGCUCGACGUCCACGCCAUGCAACACGUGCAUGAGUAGUGUAAGGCACGUGAGAAUUGAUUUGCUAUUAAUUGGGAGCUGGAUAAUUGAUGAUUUGGAGCUGACCUUUUCAAAAGUUGUUGCUGAUUUGGAAAGGAUCUCACGCAUGAGUUGUUCUUUUCUUUGAUUUGAUAUUUAUUCCAAAAUAAUAAAAACUUGUUUAAAUCAAUAUUAACAACUUGAUCUUGUAAGCUUUGAUUAAGCCUAACUACACGCUACAAAGCAUAAUAAUUAGUUUUGCAUUACAACUAUAAAUAAGCUCCAUCAGUGAAUAAAAUCAUCAUCAGACUUUUAUCCAAACACUACUAGCAAUUGUGGUAGUUCUCACUUUAAGAAGAACAAAUUAUUCACUUAUUAUUUCUACUAAUUCUGACUGGGACCUAUUAGGAUGAAACCAUAAAAUUUGAUUUUAUUGUAUGGUUGAUUUCAUAUCUCUUGCAGCCAUUUCUUAAGAUAAUCAAAUUUUCUCUGGCAUCUUUUGCAACUGUGGAAAUAUCAAUUAUGAUCAAUCAAAACGAUUUCAAAACUUUUCAAUGAGACAUAUUUAUAACACAAUAUUGUGAAAAUUACAACAAAAAUUUUAUUUAUUAUAUAUUAUUAUCCAACGAGUACACACAAAUGAAUUCGUACAAAUCUAAAAUACUUAGCAAUUUUCAAAUAGAAUUUACCAUGUACUACAAGAAAAUAUGGUAUAUGUGACCCCUAGAAGGCAAAAGCAGCCAUUACGUAUAUCACUAACUUUGUAACCCCGAUACCUUUUAUGUGACGGCCACACUGCGGUCACAUAUGUUACUAACCACGUGACGGUAAAGAGCCGUUCGGUAUGCUACUAUUCGCUGGACUCCGUGUUACUAGCCACCAUCGUAAACCUAACUGGUUGCCGGCGAACGGCGUAAAACACUGGCCAUCUUCUUCUUCAUCGUAUUCUCCCUUCAUCUUUUGAGUUAAGCUUGUGAUUAUAAGUUUCUUCUCUUACUUAGCUUGUAAUUAUAGAUUUUGAUUUUUUUUUUUAAUUCGUAUUGUAGCCGUUAUUGUCAAUUUUUGUCCCGCCAGCAAUAUUUUUUUAUUCCUACAAGUUGAAGCCCCUGUGUUCUUGUUCCAUUGGUGAGUUUGCUCACUCAAAUUAAUUUUGUUCUGCAGAAUUUACAAAGUUCAAAUGGAUUCAUUUGAAUUACUAUUGAAUUUAGAUUUAAUUCCAACAUCCAUUCUAAUGUUUUGCUAUUAUAUUUAGUUUAAUUUUAUGUUUAAAGCUUCUACAAUGAAUAGCGGAGCUUGGGUUUUAGUUUCAUUUUCUAGAUAACUUGUUUUAGUUUAUCUUGUAUGCUCACCAAGUGCUUGUUAUAUUGUCUGAUAAGUAAUAUACAUUGCUGAUUCUAUAUUAGUAAUGGUACGUUCUAUUUUCAGAAAUUAUAAUACAAAAGUUUUUAUAAUGGCGUAAAUGAAAGUUCAUAUUGUGUAAGAGCAUGUAGAUGUAAAGCAUCAUUACCAUUUCUACAAAGUGCUUUCAUUCUGUUCAGAUGCUCUUCUUGAACUUUGAAAGGUGCCUCGUUCAAGUCCUAGCUAUAACUACUAGCUUUGAUAAAUUAAGUUCCUAUAUUAGCUGAAACAGAUUUAUUUAAUUAAUUAAUUGUGCAUGUACUAAUUAUAUUGAAAGUAUAUGAAUUUUUUUUUUUUUAACAUGAAUGACUUCUAAAUGACUUAAAAACCUAAAGGAUGUGUGAAAUAAUGCUCAUUUCACUUGAAUGAGCCUAUUAAUACUUUUAUGUCUAUGAUUGUCAAUAUUGACUUAAGCAUUUCAGUUAAAGUGGUUUUCCUAGCAGAGGAAAAAAUUUUAAUAGAAAAACUUCAGAGUUCUAACAGAAAUAUAGUUCACUAUGCAGAUUUACGGUAUACAAAUCAAGUUGUCCUAAUCUCAAUGUCCUAUGACUGAUUUUAUUUGAUAUAGUCAUUAAUUUUUGCCAUGGUCUUUUGUGUUUAUGAGUAUGAAAUAGUGGGAUUUGGUGUACCUUAGCAUCUUUUGAAAAUUCUCUUUAAGUGUGGCCAACAGACAUAUCCGUAUAAUCAAGUUUCUUAAUCGUGUAUAUCAGUUUUGGGUAUGAAUGUUCCUAUUCUAGUUCUAGGCAAAGCUUAUUCGUUUUGGUCUUCAGAUUUCCAGUAGGUUAAGUUAAUCAACUAUCAUAACUGGCUAGCUAGUUAUUGUCUGCCUUGGCGCCAUUACCCAGGCCAUUAUAUUGCAUAGCAUAAGGAAUAGUGAUUAGGUGAUUAUUAGUGAUUUGUUGAGCUUAUUAAUGACCAAACAAACAUAUUCGCCUUUGUCCACCACUUAGUUUGAUUAGUUAUUAGACCAUAAAGAGCCUUGAGCUAUUCAUUGGCUUUAUUAUUUUUAUUUGGUUUUUCUUUCAGCAAUAUUGUUGAUUUCUUAUAAAAAUAUUCAUUGGUUUUUAAAAACCUAAUCAUUGGCUAUAUGAAGCUAAUUAAAACUGAGGCUUUGGAUCAAUUUCUUCUAACAAGAUACAAAUGAGCAUAACCUAUCUCCUCUAAGUAAAUUUUUUUAAUAUCCUUGAUUUGUAAGGAUCUGGAGGCCUGAAAUCCUCAAGAUUUUUUUUUUUAACACUGUUGAUGUUCUUUUUAUUCUGAAAAGGAAAUAAAAGGUUUUAUCUUUCAUACCCUAAUAGUAAGCUGGCCUUGUCUUAACAUGGCCUCCCGAGGAUUUGCAAGAUUCAUAGUGCCCCCCAACCCCCAAAAAAAAAAAAAAACACAAAUAGGAAGAUUUUGCAAGAUUCACCACCAGGUUUUUUUUAAUUUAUUAAUUGUGCGUACGUACUAGUUAUAUGUUGAAAAAAUAGGAAGAAGUAUUUCAACAUGAAUGACUUAAAACUUAUUGCUCAGUAAACAGAAUCUGCAUCAGUGCGAAAAUGUAUUUAUCGUUUGAUUUUUUAUGGUUUUGCUUAAGAAAUGAUAUGUGAAAUAAUGUUACAUUGUAUCAGGAAUAAAUUGAAGAGAUUUAUGAUAUUUAUGUGUUAUUCAAAUUUCAGAUUCAAUUUUAAACUUUUGAUACGUGCAUUGAAAGCUUAGACUUGUUUUAAGAAAUUAUUAAUAGACACAUGUUUUAUUAGUGUCAUCCUUGGAUGAUAGUGAGGAUCGUAUGUCUAUUAAUAAUUCUUGAAUUGUCCAGGCUUGGACAGUUUGGGAAUGCAUAGUUCUCUCUGGUAGCUAGUGGCUGAAGUUUUUUUCCCACGUAAAAAUGGGUUUUUCGGUAGCUGCUCCUCGUGUUCUCUGGGUACGUACUAGGUGGAUGGGUGUCAUGUGUUGUUUUGGCAAAACGCAUAAACACGUAUAUAGCUAUGUCUAGUGCUUGGAGAAUUAUUAGGGAGAUGGUGCCGAAAUUUUUAUAAACGUAGAAGAAAACUUUCGGUACUUGAGAUUGAAGAAACUUAUGUAUUCUUGAGUGGGAUAUGUAGGAUUACUUACCUUUUGUAAAUAUGAAGGGAAUGUUGGAUAUAUUGAGGAUAGUGUAGGAGCUGAGUUGGAUGAAUGUAAUUGGUGAUGAUUUUGCUGAGCUGACCUUGGUUUUGAGCUUGUAAAUGGAGUGCUAUCUCCAGUGUUGGUUUAUAAAUAUGUUUCAGGACUUGCUGACCUAAUUUUUUGUUUCUAGGUUACAGGCUUUAUAUAUCUGUAAUUGAUGGCCAAGUGAAGUUCUCAGCACUUGGCGAGGAUAUUUCUUUACAGAAGGUAUUGGAAACUGUUUUUCACAUUAAUUAUUGUUGUACUUGUAUAUAUACUUUGAUUUUCACAUUUGUUGUACUUGUAUAUAUACUUUGAUUUUCACAUCUUUUUCUCUGAUUCUUGUGGCUUUGCUUGCUUUCAUGUAUGUAAAUUCUAAUGAAAUUAACCAUAAAAUUGUAAAAUGAUCUUUUUAUUAUAUUGCAAGACUGUGCUCACACGAAAAUAUCUUGUUUAGUAGUAGAAAUUAGGGGUGGGUCAAAGCGGGUUCGGGUCGGGUUCAGGUCAACCCGAUCAAGUUUUUUGGGUCGGGUGAAAAUUAACCCGAAUUCAACCCGAAUUACUGACCCGACGGGAACCGACCCGAAUUAAUUCGGGUCGGGUCGGGUCAGUAAUUCGGGUUGAAUUCGGGUUAAAUUGGGUUCGGGUUUAAAUCGGGUCGGGUCAUUCGGGUCAUUUCGGGUUGGUUCGGGUCAAAUCCGGUUAAUGCACUUUUUAGCUCUUUUUUUUUCCUAUUUUUGUAGUUUUAGGGUGUUUUAAAACAUUUUCUUAAUUGUAAUCCUUUUUACUAAUUUUCAACCAAAAAAAGAAAAGAAAAUAUUAUGAAAUCAAAUGAAUAAAGUUAAAAUGCAAGAAUAUGAUUAUUUGCCUAUUGUCUUGGAAGGGAUUAGGAUUAUUAUUUGCUCAACCAACAAAGUCCAAACCUAAUAAAAGUUAAAAUUAAUAGUUUAAUACAAACUUACAAAAUCUAAAGUUAAUAGGCUAUUACAAACUUACAAAAUCUAAAGUUAAUAGGCUAUUAGUCUCCAUUCAAAGCACAAUUUCUAAAUACUAGUCUUUGAAAGUUUGAAAUAUAAAAUCAAAAAAUUUAAACAUAAUUAAAUUUUUCGGAAACAUAAUUAAAGUGUCCAAGCAUCUGAAUAUACAAAAUAAUAAUUAAUAAUCAUUAAUUCAAAAAUAAUCUAAUUGGUAAUUUCAAUUCAAAUUGUUCAUAUCCAUAAAUCAAAAGCAAGAAAUUCAUGAUUAAAUAAUUAAUUUAUAAUAUCCAAUUACCCAUUUCCCAUAAUAAUAUGAUAUUAUUUGUCUAUCUAUGUCCUAAUUCUUAUUAUAAACCCUUUAAUUUCAAGUCCAAAUUGAUUAACAUACAGUAAAAUAUUAAUUGAAUUAAUUAAUUUUUUAAGGUUGAAGGUUUAAAGCGAUUGCACAAGUGCACAUAAUCACAUAACACAAUAACACAUUAUAAUUAGAAAAUAUAUGUAACAUCAUAUUUAAUUUUAAUAUUUAAUCUAUCUACCUAAUCUCCUAAUUUAUUCAUUAAAAAAAAUUAUUAAUUGUUAUUAACAAUUAUUAACAAUUAUCAAUUAACAUUGAUAUAAAUCUUAAUAAUUAACAAAAUUUUUGUUAUUUAUUAACAAUUAAUAAAAAUUUAUUCAUAACAAAAUCAUAAAAACAUCAAUUUUUUUGAUUUUAUUACUAACAUUUAAAAAUACAUAAUUACAAAUUUACAACAAUUAAACAAUAAUCAAUUACAUAAUAAAUAACCAAUUAAGCAAUAACUAAGAAGCAUAUAUAACUAUAUAAUAUACCAUGAAAGAUUGAAAUUGAAACUUGAAAGUGAAACUUGAAAGUCAAAGCUUCAAAUCGGUUCGGGUGAGAGUGGGAGAAACUCGAGUCGGGUUGGUCCGGUUGGAACUUGGAAGCUUCGGCCUUGGGCUUGGAGGCUUGGAGCAGCAGAUCGGCCGACGGUGGAACACGGCAGGCGGCAGCAGAUCGAGGCAACAGAUCACGGCUGUAGGAAGUGGGCAGAUCGAGGCAGCAGAUCACUGCAGCAAGAAGUGGGCAGAUCGCAGCAGCAGGAUGUGGGCAGCAGAUCGCGGCAGUGGGCACUAGGCAGCAGAUCGCGACGUGGCUGAUUGGCUAUGGCCUGUGUGCGUGAGUGGCUGCUAUGUGUGCUCUAUGUUCCGUGGAGACUGGAGAGUGGAGUGGUUGUGGUGUGGCGGUUGGCCUGUGUGUGUGACUGUGUGUGAGGCCGUGAGUCCGUGACUUGUGAGUGUGUGAGUUGUGAAUCUUGUGACUUUGUGUGUGAGAGUUGAGACUUAGACUAUGAAUUCACAGUUGUGAUUCUGUGCGUGUGACUGUGAGUGAGUGGUUGUGGUGUGUGUAAUCUGUUUUUUUUUUUAGGUGACCCGAUUGGGUAUUCUGGUUCGGGUGACCCGAUCGGGUUAACUUUUUCACCCGAUCGGGUUUUAGUAACAACCCGAUCCGACCCGAACCUGAAAUUUUUCGGAUCGGGUCGGGUAAAAUGCCCACCCCUGGUAGAAAUCAAGAACUAAAAUGAUUUAUUUAACUAAUAUUUGUAGCGCAUUAAAAGGAGACAGUCAUGGACAAGUGUUGGGUUGGUUUGCCAAAUAGAAAUCCAAGUCAUAUACUGAUGGGUAGGGGUGGGCAUAAACCCACAACCCAUGGGUUUACCCAAACCCAAACCAAAUUAAAUGGUUUGGGUUGGGUAAAUUAUGAAAAUGGGUUAGAUGUGGGUUUUAUAUAGAAAACCAUUUCAUUAUGGGUUGGGUAUGGUUUACCCAUGUGUUAUGAAUAAAACCCCAACACUCAAAUUUUUCAAAUGAAAUAAAUGAAAACAAAAUAAAUGAACACAAAUAGGUAAAAUAUUUUAUUAUUUAUCUUAUAAUAAAUUUUUAUUUGUCAUUCAAGUUUUCUUAUAAUAAUUUUUUUAUCAUUUUACUAAUAUUUUUCUUAUAUAUUUAUUAUAAGAAAAUUUUCACAAAAUAAAUAAGUAUAAAAAAAAUUUAUUAUUAAUUUUUUUGUUCAUAUCAAAAUAUAUAUUUCUUAUUUUUAAUGCUUUAUUUUUUAUUUAGUUUCUAUUCAUGUGAUUAAGUAUAAAAAAAUUUUAUUAUUAAUUUUUUUGUUCAUAUCAAAACAUAUAUUUCUUAUUUUUAAUGCUUUAUUUUUUAUUUAGUUUCUAUUCAUGUGAUUUAUUUAAUUUAUAAUAAAUAUAAAUAAAAGAGUAGUUGAAAAUAAGGGUAAUAUUGUAAACUUAUGCUAUUAGAGGGGUUUUUGGCCAUUAUAAAAACAUAAGGGGGAAAAAUGAUAUAUCUCCCUAAAUUUAUGCAUAUAAGUAGACAACAUAACGCAAAACUACCAAAACGAUAAAUAAAAUCAAAUAUUGCAUAAUUAAAUAAAUAAUAAGUGGCAAAAUUUAUUAUUAGAUUGUUAAUGUCAUGUUUGUGAAAGUUUAUUAUUAAAGUGUAUGUUCUUAUUUAUUGAGAAAUAAUAAUUUUUGUGUGUUAAACUUUAUUUUAAUUUUCUAGUAUUCUUUAAUUUAAGGAUUAAGUUAUUGUAAAAUUUAUAAUUUUUAUCCACUAUAUUUUUUUAUAUUUUAAUAUCAAUUUAAUAAUUAAUAACAAUUAAUAAUUAUUAUAAUUUUGAUAUAAUUAAAUUUUAUUAAAAUAAAAAUUAUUUUGAUAAUAAAAUUCAAACCAAACCCAAACCAAACCCAAAUGAUUUGGUUUGGGUUGGUUUGGAUUGGAUCUUAAUUUUUAUGGUUUGGUUUGGGUUGACUUAAAAUCCAACCCAAACCAACCCAUGCCCACCCCUACUGAUGGGGUUGAAAAAUUUAUAGAUUUUACAUUUGAGAAUGUUGUUGGUGGCACAAGAAUUUAUUGUCCUUUUAAGAAGUGUUGUAAUCUAUAUUUCGUUAUAAGGGAAGUGGCUGAUGAUGAUAUGGUUGGAAUGAUACACUGCAUCACGUAAUCAAAUGUUCAAGUUACACGCAACAUUGUUAUGGACUAUCAGUCAACUUUCUAGCAUUGCCAACUUGUCUGGGUGGAGUAUUAAAGGUAAAUAAGCAAUUAAGCAUGUCUUGUUUGCCAGCAAAACACUAGAUCUAAUACAUAGUAGAAAAUUUUGUCACAUGGAUCACCGUCGAUUUUUACCAACAAAUCAUAGGUUUCGAAAAUAUAGUGUCUUUUGAUAAAACUAGAGAGUAGGGCAAAGCACCCUCUCGAUUGUCUGGAACUGAAGUGAAAAAGCAGUUUAAUAUACUUACUGAGUAUAAGAUUGAAGACUUCAAAAGAGGAAAACGAAUAAAAUGAGAGAAAUGAUAAGAUUACUUGGAAGAAGAACAACAUUUUUUAUGAACUACCGUAUUCACCAUGAUCUUGAUAUCAUGCACUGUUUUAAUUUUUGUUAUGAAUUCAGAUCAAAAGUUUAAUGUGAUCAAAAUUUCUUAAAAAAAGUGAAAACGACUCCUCCUAAUAAUAUGGAAGAUGGCUAUAAAAGAUAAAAGGAAAGGCUUAAAAGGAAAAGCCAUGCCCGUCAAAAAAAAAAAAUGGCAGCGUCAAAUUUAUAACAAAAAUAAAAACGGUGCGUUUGAGAGUGUAAAAAAUACAUUUAGUGGGAGUUGUGUUGUUGCUUGAAGGCAGAUUGUUUGUGAGAUUUUUGUCAACGAAGCCAAAACCAAAGAUGAAUUACGAGGGUUAUGUUUGCCAUAGUCAAGGAACACUGUCCUCUCACCGUUGCCGAAACUUGGGAACGCGUCAAGGCGUGUGUAUCUGUUAAAUUGAAUUUCAACCGUUUGAUCUGUAAUUAUAAUUAAUCCAAUCAAUCUGACAGUGAUCACUGAUCAUAAUUCUAGUAGUUGUUUUACAAAUUCAGCAAGCUGGAGCAAGCGGAUUGACGGGCAAAAGCUGUCAAAUAAGGUGUCCAUCUAGAUGGUAUAAAGCAGCCAUCUAGAUGGUCAGCACAAUUUUGUUCAAAGAAGACGAAGAAGAAUUUGGCAGCAGUAAAUUUGGAAUGAAGAAAAUGGAAAAAGAAGAAGUUUGAAGAAGAAAAAGGGGAACGAUUUUGACAAGAAAAAAAAUUAAUUAUUAUUUUAAUAGCCAAUUUUGGCUAUAUAAAGGGAGCUCUUCAUUUAGUUUUCAGCAUCUAAUUUUGUAGAGAGAGUUGAGAGUUGUGAGAAGUGAUUCUUGCAAGAGCAAAGAAUUUUGUGUACUUAGUGAUUUGAGAGUUUGGGUGUAUUGGGAUUUUGGGUAGUGAGCUAAAAUACUACAAUACUUGUAACUCCUUUUCACUAGUAAAAUAUUUCUUUUUGUUUUUGCCUAUGGACGUAGGCUAAAAGCUGAACCACGUAAUUUCUGGUGUCCUCUAUUGUGCUUGUUCUUUAUUUUCUUACAAUUUCAUUUUAGCUGCGAUCCUGCUUCACCCACCAAUUUCCUAACAGUGGUAUCAGAGCUAUUGGUUGUAUUUUUGGAGUCGGGUACUAUUCACGUAAGGGUACUAUUCACAUAUACGGUACUAUUCACGUGUACGAUGCUGUUCACGUAUACGGUACUAUUCACGUAUCCGGUACUAUUCAUGUAAAACGGUGGGAGCGAUCCAAGAAUUUUACGGUGUUAAGCAGGGAAUAGUGGUGUGAGUAAAACAACUGUGUGGUUUUGUACAUGUCUAGGAAAGUUCCGUCACAAAGGUGAUAACAGCUUAAGGAGUUUGGGUUUUAAGUGGGAUCUUUGUGACCCCUCCAGUUUUUCCUAGGAACUUUCUUAGUGUGCAUAUUCACACAUACUCACAACUAUUCAAGGUGAUACACUAGUUUGUGUACAAUAUUUAUCAACAAAAUGGCGACAAAGUAUGAAAUUGAGAAAUUUAACGGAAAUAACUUUUCGUUGUGGAAAAUUAAGAUGAAAGCUGUAUUGAGGAAAAAUAAUUGCUUGGCAGGAAUUGGAGAAAGGCCCAUGGAGAUAACUGAUGACAAGUGGAACGAGAUAGAUGGCACCGCCAUUUCAGAUCUACACUUGGCACUUGUAGAUGGAGUAUUAUCCAGUGUGGCAGAGAAAAAUACAGCGAAGGAAAUAUGGAAUACUCUUACAAAAUUGUACGAGGCCAAGUCACUACACAACAAAAUCUUCUUGAAGAGGAAACUCUAUACUCUUCGAAUGACGGAAUCUACAAUGGUAACCAACCACAUCAACACCUUGAAGACUCUAUUUUUACAACUCACAACGUUGGGUCAUAAUAUAGAGAAGAAUGAACGUGCAGAGCUUCUACUUCAAAGUCUACCAGAUUCGUAUGAUCAGCUCAUCAUCAACCUGACGAAGAACAAUCUAGUGGACAGUCUAGUUUUCGACGAUAUUGCAGCCUCCAUAUUAAAUGAGGAGAGCAGGCGAAAAAAUAAGGAAAACAGACAAGCAAGUUCGCAGCAAGCGGAGGCGCUAUCGGUGACGAGAAGGAGAUCAACGGAACGUGGCCCCAGUGGGAGUCAAAAUCAUGGUAGAUCAAAAUCCAUAAGUAAGAAGAAUGUUAAAUGCUACAACUGUGGUAAGAAAGGGUACGUCAAAAAGGAGUGUUGGAGUAACCAGAAGAGAAGAGAGGGUAAAGAACCUGAGUCAUCAAAUGCUCAGGGGUGUGUAGCAAGUACCUCAGAUGAUGUCGAAAUUCUCUACAGCGAAGCAACAACUGUUUCAGAAGGCAGAAAAUGACUUUCUGAUGUCUGGCUUAUAGACUCAGGAGCUACCUGGCACAUGACCUCUCGGAGAGAGUGGUUCCACACAUAUGAACCUAUCUCAGGAGGAUCUGUAUAUAUAGGUAAUGAUCAUGCCUUGGAGAUCGCUGGUAUUGGUACUAUCAAAAUAAAAAUGUUUGAUGGUACAAUUCGCACAAUUGGGGAGGUACGACAUGUCAACGGCCUGAAGAAAAAUCUUUUGUCUUUGGGACAAAUGGAUAGUCAUGGGUAUAAAACUCAUGUGGAGAAUGGAAUUAUGAAGAUCGUUAAAGGAGCGCUUGUAUUGAUGAAGGCAGAAAAGAUCGGUGCUAAUCUAUUCAUGUUUAAAGGAGAAACACUACAGGAGGCUGAUGCGUGUGUCGCAUCAAAUGGAGAAGAGUCAACGAUGAUGUGGCAUCUCAAACUUGGUCACGUGUCAGAAUAAGGCUUGAAGAUUCUCUCUGAGCGAAAAUUGCUUCCGGGGCUCAAAUCGGUAAGUUUACCAUUUUGCGAGCAUUAUGUUACAAGUAAGCAGCAUAGAUUAAAAUUCAGUAGAUCUAUUGCUAGAAGUAAAUGCAUUCUAGACUUGAUUCAUUCUAAUGUUUGGGAAUCACCGGAUAUAUCCAUGGGAGAUGCAAAGUACAUGGUGACUUUCAUUGAUGAUUAUUCCAGAAGAUGUUGGGUGUAUCCAAUUAAGAAAAAGUCAGAUGUAUUUCCAGUGUUUAAAGAAUACAAAGCGCGGGUGGAACUUGAAUUUGGUAAAAAAUCAAGUGCUUGAGGACGGAUAAUGGUGGAGAGUAUACAGACGGCGAGUUUCUUGCUUUCUGUAAGUAAGAAGGUAUCCAGAGGCAGUUCACGGUGGCAUACACUCCUCAACAAAAUGGAGUGGCAGAGCGGAUGAACAGAACUCUUACAGAAAGAAUAAGAGCUAUGUUGAGGAUUGCUGGUCUACCCAAUUCAUUCUGGGCAGAAGCAGCCAAAAUUGCUUGUUAUAUAGUAAAUCGAUCGCCAUCUACAGCUAUUGGGCUGAAGACAGUGAUGGAGAUGUGGACUGGAAAGCCAGCUGAUUAUUCCUACCUACAUGCAUUUGGAUGUCUUGUGUACGUAAUGUACAAUGUCCAAGAAAGAACAAAACUAGAUGCAAAAUCUAGAAGAUGUAUCUUCUUGGGAUAUGCUGAUGGAGUAAAGGGGUAUCGUUUGUGGGACCCCACUGCCCACAAAAUCGUCAUCAGCAGAGAUGUUAUUUUUGUAGAAGAUCAACUGCAAAUGAAAGAUGGAGGUGAUGGCACUGUAAAAGAAAAGUCAGAGACUGUGCCAGUAUAUGUGAAAAAUAAUCUAGAAGAUUCAGAUUCUUCUGAAGCAGCACCAGAGCACGAGGAAUAAGAACCAGUCGAGUCUGAGGCUCCAGAAGUUCGUCGGUCAACUCGUGAGAGACGACCACCAACGUGGCACUCGGAGUAUGUCACAGAGAUCAAUGUUGCAUACUAUGUCACAGAGAUCAACGUUGCAUACUGUCUUCUAACAGAGGAUGGAGAGCCUUCAACUUUCCAUGAAACUUUAAACAACUCAGAUGUUGCUUUGUGGAUGACGGCAAUGCAGGAAAAAAUUGAAGCUCUACACAAGAACAAGACAUGGAAACUUGUACCACUACCACGUGGAAGAAAAGCCGUUGGUAACAAAUGGGUCUACAAGAUCAAACGUGAUGGCAAUGACCAAGUGGAGCGGUAUCGUGCAAGAUUGGUGGUGAAAGGAUAUGCUCAGAAAGAAGGUAUUGACUUCAACGAGAUAUUUUCUCCGCUGGUUCGACUCACAACAGUCAGAGUAGUUUUGGCGAUGUGUGCUACAUUUGACUUACAUAUAGAGCAGUUAGAUGUGAAAACUGCAUUUCUUCAUGGAGAACUUAAAGAAAAAAUAUAUAUGCUCCAACCAGAAGGUUUUGCAGAAACAGGAAAGGAGAACUUGGUUUGCAGGUUGAACAAAUCUCUAUGCGGUCUCAAACAGGUGCCGAGGUGUUGGUAUAAGAGAUUUGAUUCCUUCAUCAUGAGCCUUGGAUACAACAGACUCAGUUUAGACCAUUGUGCAUAUUACAAGAGGUUUGAAGAUAAUGAUUUCAUUAUUUUGCUGUUGUAUGUGGAUGACAUGUUGGUAGCAGGUCCCAACAAAGAUCGAGUCCAAGAAUUAAAGGCACAGUUGGCUAGAGAGUUUGAAAUGAAGGACUUGGGACCAGCAAACAAGCUUCUAGGGAUGCAAAUUUACCGAGACAGAAAUAGCAGGAAGAUUUGGCUUUCGCAGAAGAAUUACUUGAAGAAAAUCUUGCGGCGCUUCAACAUGCAAGAUUAUAAGUCAAUUUCUACCUCACUUCCUGUUAAUUUCAAAUUAUCCUCAAGUAUGUGUCCUACCAAUGAAGCAGAGAGGAGGGAGAUGUCUCGAGUACCAUAUGCAUCAGCAGUGGGAAGUUUGAUGUUCGCUAUGAUAUGUACUAGACCGGACAUUGCACAAGCAGUGGGAGUAAUCAGUCGAUACAUGGCAAAUCCUGGUGGAGAGCAUUGGAUAGCUGUAAAGAGGAUUCUGAGAUACAUCAGAGGAACCUCAGAUGUUGUAUUAUGUUAUGGAGGAUCAGAGUUUACUGUCAGCAGCUAUGUGGAUUCAGAUUUUGCAGGAGACCUUGAUAAAAGAAAAUCUACUACUGGUUAUGUGUUUACACUUGCGGGAGCAGCUGUAAGCUGGGUUUCGAAACUGCAGACUGUUGUGGCUUUAUCUACAACAGAAGCAGAAUACAUGGCAGCUACACAAGCUUGCAAGGAAGCUAUUUGGAUACAAAGGUUAUUGAAGGAGCUCGGGCACAAACAACAGAAAAUUCCUGUGUUUUGUGACAGUCAGAGUGCCUUGCACAUUGCAAGGAAUCCAACCUUUCAUUCCAGGACAAAGCACAUAGGAGUUCAGUAUCACUUCGUUCGAGAAGUAGUGGAAGAUGGAAGUGUAGAUUUACAGAAAAUCCAUACGAAGGAGAACCUAGCAGAUAUUUUGACCAAGCCGAUAAAUACUGAUAAAUUUGUCUAGAGUAGAUCCUCUUGUGGCCUAGCAGAAACGUAGACAACAUGAUUAUGGCGAAGCAGAAAGGAUGGUGUGGAAAUUAAUUAAUUCUCAUUUAAAUCUCCAAGUGGGAGAAAUGUCAAAUAAGGUGGCCAUCUAGAUGGUAUAAAGCAGCCAUCUAGAUUGUCAGCACAAUUUUGUUCAAAGAAGAAGCAGAAGAAUUUGGCAGCAGUAAAUUUGGAAUGAAGAAAAUGGAAAAAGAAGAAGUUUGAAGAAGAAAAGGGGGAACGAUUUUGACAAGAAAAAAAAUUAAUUAUUAUUUUAAUAGCCAAUUUUGGCUAUAAAAAGAGAGCUCUUCAUUUGGUUUUUAGCAUCCAAUUUUGUAGAGAGAGUUGAGAGUUAUGAGAAAUGAUUCUUGCAAGAGCAAAGAAUUUCGUGUGCUUAGUGAUUUGAGAGUUUGGGUGUAUUGGGGUUUUGGGUAGUGAGGUAAAAUACUACAAUACUUGUAACUCCUUUUCACUAGUAAAAUAUUUCCUUCUGUUUUCGCCCGUGGACGUAGGCUAAAAGCUGAACCACGUAAUUUCUGAUAUCUCUAUUGUGCUUGUUCUUUAUUUUCUUACAAUUUCAUUUUAGCUGCGGUCCUACUUCACCCACUAAUUUCCUAACAAAAGCCACAUGAAGAUUGUGUGUGUUGAGAUGGAAGAGGGAGAGACAAAAGCUUAGGCUCGUCUGCAAUCACGUAGGCCCUCAUAAGUGAAUCCUGUACACAACUUGGUUCACCAAACCCAACAACUUGAAGCUGCCUUAACCUUGUAGUGAAACGGUGAUGAUGGAAGCCCCUCAGCAAGUCAGCAUGUAAACUUUUCAACAGCGACACAGCUCUUAUUCCAGAGGCCGCACAAAAGAGCGACCUGAAUCCUUUUCAAAACUUUCAAAUUUUUAUCAAGUAAAGCUUUCAAAAUUUCUCAACAAAUUGAUUAUUUGGUGUGGUUGCCACAUUUUGUGCAACUGCUAUUCGUUUUCGAGUACAAAUUCCUUGCCUUCUAAGUUAGGGAAGAUAGAUGUGAAGCAAACAGGGAAACAGAACAAACAGGGCAAAAAUUAAAAUAACAGAACAGCAAUGAUGGCAAUCAACAAACUAAUAGCAAUAUUGCAUUUGAUUCUUUAGACCAAUUGUUCAUUCUCUCAGCAUUCUUCAAUAGUUUUUGAAAAUUAGAUGUGAAGCAAACAAAAUAAAACAAAUUUAGACAACAGAAGCCCUGUAUUCAGCAUCAUAUAUAUACCUUGAAUACCUAAUAUAAUAAAUUUCACAUCUAAAAUACUAGAAAUUUCAAACAGUACCAGCAAUAGAAUAAUGACAACGACAACAAUAACAGAAAAUUAUAAGAUUGCUGAUAAAAUUUCAUUUGCAUGGAUGUCUGACAAAAUUUCUAUGAUUUAAUGUGCUUUCAUGCAUGCAAAUCCUAACGUUUCUGUGAUCACAAAAUGAAACUGAAGAUAAAUCAGAACAACUACCAAACCUUUGGCUGAAAAUUCAGAAGAAUUUAUAUUCAAAAUGUCAAAAUAAACUGGAAAUUUAUUUCACAUAUUACAAGAAGCAGUGCAGACCAAUGGUAAAUUGAUACAUCGUUUUUGAACUUAAUAGCGGCGGGUUAAUGUAACACUUUCAAAGCUGCAUGUAGUGAUACAGUAGAGUGAAUACCCUCAGAAUGUAAGCUUAACUUCAAAGGACGGAGCACGAGUUUCACAGAAAAGUAGCUCUUAUUUCUGAUGCUGCAAACACAGAGAAGUGACCUCAAUCUUCUUCAUAUUUAUUUUGAAAAAUUUUCAUAUAACCUGACUAACCGAGAUUAAUUUUGUGGUAAUGUAUUGGGUCAUUAUUUUUUAUGUUCUUACUGUGAUCACUUUAGGAAAAAACUAAUUUCUCAAUGUGAAAUGGCCCAUAAAAAUUAUUCUCAUUUAAAAACUAAAUUUGACAGACCCCUCGAUUAAAACAGGGGAAAAAAAAAAAAGAUCUGAAGGCUUUCCACAUGAAAAUGUUGUCACUUUGAAUGAUAUUUUCAAGGAGAAUAAAAUUCCUUUUCUAAAAAUAAAAUACCUUAUUCUUCAAAUUGACAGCUCGCCAAGUACUGAAGGCGUAUGAGAUCAGUACUGCGACGAGUAAGGAGACGAACCCUCCAACAGCUGAAAAUAAAAUUCGCAUUCAUGAAUUUAAAUUAAAAUUCAUAUUAUGAAAUUAAAACUAAUGAUUAAUGAAUUUUCGAGGAAUUUAAUAAGAUUCUCAUAUAUAAACGUGAUUAAAAAUUCACUCAUUAAUAACAAAUAUUCUAACAGUUACCCGUACCUUUUCUUGAUGUAAUUGUUGUAUGAUUGUGUUAAGGUCAUUAUUAGACCAACGCACUUUGUCCUCACUCCUUCCGUACCGGACGUUUACUCUCAGAGGCGUGGUUGAUUCUCCUUUGGUGAAAAUCUUCAUCUUGGGACAACCAAUCACCGACAAAUCUUGCAAACAUGGGAAUUUGAAGGUGUAAUUGGCAGAGGAGAAGCUUGUGAGACUAUCUAAAUCAAACAGGGACAAUGUAAUCAAUUUGCUGAAAACAAUCUCUUCUUUUAUAUUUGCUGUUUCAUCUUCGUCACAUACUACGACUUCUGUCAUUGCUGUGCAUCCAAAUACCUUCAAUGAUAAGAGUCGCUCCAGACUUUUUGCUGUGGAGCAUGUUCCUAAGUUCAUCAAUUUCUUGCAAGCAAAAGCUUGCAGAUGUGCGAGAUUCCGAAAAGAUACCGAUGAUGAUGGCAAUAGACUUAACAGAUUUUGACAGUGAUAUGCUCUUAGAAUUUCAAGAUGUUGAAAAAUGAAGUCCAGCUGUUUGGAGUCACGUUUCCACAGUUGCUGCAGACGAUUAAGUCUGGUCAGGUUUAACUUUUUUAUCAGUGCCAACUUCCUCCCAUGUUUCUCCAAAUAUCCUUCAUUUGAAAAUACCACUUCAUACGAACAAUCCGACAGGAAGAGAAGUUUCAGAUUGUUAAACCUCUCAAGUAAACCAAGUUGAAAGCAAGCUAAGUCAUCAUCCCCAACAUGUAGUAGUUUAAGACUGCCAAAGAGGUGUUGUGGGAAAUCGCCUUGCAAAAUCAUCGUGAUGUCUUUUCCACUUAAUGCCAGUUCCUCCAAGUUGGGUAAGAUCUGAUCAUCAUCGAGCUCAAAUUAUUAACUUAGCACAUUGAUCCAUAAUUCAAGACUGGCAAAAUUCAUUGUGUAAUCAAAGUUUUCAAUGAUCUAACUAAUAUAUAUAUAUAUAUAUAUAUAUUCCUUCUCUAAUGCGGACAUCCUCAUUUUUUUUUCUUGUGGACCAAUUUUUAGACCCCAUGGUUUAAAAAAGUUAAUUUUUAACUCUCUAAAACCGCAUGGCUUCAUAAUUCAUUAAAAAACUAACUCUCUUAAACCGUACGGUUUAAAAGCGUGUCCACAUUAAAAAAAAUACGAACCCCCCACACCUGAGAAUGAUUAUAUAUAUAUAUAUACACACGCUCUUAAACUGUGGGAUUUGAAAGCUUCUCCGCAUGAAAAAAGUAAAAAAUAAGGGCAUUCCCACUUGAAAAAAACUCCAUAUAGGUAUUUAUUAAACCUGUGAGUGAGGAACAACAAAGAUAAUUGAUAAAAAAAAUCUAAAAUUUGGUUUCAUACCUUCUUGAACGAGAGCAGGGGUUGUUGUGCCGGAAUACCAAAUUGAUCAUUCUCGUUAUUCUGGGACAACGUUAUUUUAUCACAAUUACAGGCCUCCAAAUGUUUUAGUGCUGGCCAUUCUGAAGUAUGCAUUCCAGGGUAUAAACAUCUGAGUUCUGGUAGACCUUCGAGAUUCAGAGUGGUCACUUGUGGAAAGACAAAAUAUGGGGUCACUUGAUCUGCUCUGUCUUUGGAGAUGAUCUCUUGUAAACCCAUACAUAUCCGUAUCUCCAGGUGUUGGAGGUGCUUAAGGCUUUGGAUCAUAGAAGCUGAAAAUAUGUAUUUUAAUUUGUCACAGCCCCACACUAUCAAUCGUGUCAAACUUUGAAAGUAAGUAAUCAUGGCCGCAAGUUGAUUGUCAUUCCAAAUCUCGUCGACAUUAAUAGCAUUCAGCUCCAAAGCCUCCAAAUUUGGCAACACUACCUAAAGAUAAUUUUCUCUUUAGAUCCAAUAUCCGUAUGGAAAGCACUUGUUUUGACACAAUAUCCAUAUAAGAAGCACCUAAUUAAGAGCUUAAUUAGCGAGUGUAUGAGACUUUUUUUUUUUUUUUCAAAUUAGAGUGCAUGAUAGAACUAAAGAAAAAAAAAGAAGCAUUAGCCUACGUACCUUCUCGUUGAAAAGCAGAGUUGACGUUUCCGAACUGAUCUCGUUGGAACUGGCUGUCAAUUCCUCUUGCGACUCUUGUCUGUUUGGUGAUGUGGAAGGAGUCUUCACUUCACCGCAAAACCUUGUAACCUUUGGAAGCUUUCCCAGACUCAAAGAUCUUAAUUGAACAAACUCUAUCUUCUCAUCAACAUCAACAUCAGCUUCUCCUCCAGUUGCAAAAAUCUCUUCCAUGCUGCUGCAAUUGAUAACUGCAAUCCUCUCCAGUCUUGGAAGGCAUUUUGUACUACUAGAGAGCCAGAAGAUAUUACUCAACUCAUCACAAUUUUCUACUUUUAUGGUUUUGAGUUCAUUGAAGGACUCUAUUUUGAGUCGAUCAAUACAUAUCCUCUCCGUAUUGAUCAAAUUGUGAAGAGUAAGGGACUCCAAAAGAGGAAAGGCGACACAUGGUUCUCUCUCCAUUGAAUCGACGAUACACAGGAAGUCUGGAUUAUUUUGAACAUGGAGAUGCUUCAAUUGUGAAAAGCCCUCAGUGUCCAAUUCUAAAACCACAUUCUUGAUUCCUUGCAACUUAUCCAAACAUAAGUAUUCAACGUUAUUGAUGAGCUGCAACUUCUCGGAGCAAAUGGCCAUAGAAUCAAGCUUGAGCUUCAAUGUUCUUAAACUCUCAUGAUUACUGAUCAUAAAGUGCUGCCGACUUUCAAACCAAUCAUUCUCAAUAACCAGGGUAGAGUCGAAUGAUGCAUCUCCUAUUGAUAUAUCAAACCUUUCCAGCUUUUUGGAAAAAAACCCAUCCGGUAAAAUGCUAUCAUUUUUAACAUCUAUUUCUAAAGUGGUCAAUCGCCUCAAAUGCAUCAAUUCGUCGAGGGUGGCAUUACUUCUUUCACUAUUGGCCUUUUCAACUUCCCAUUCAACAGGGGAAUUACCCAUAUACAGUUCUUCCAAUCGAGUGAAGCUUGAUAAGACGUUGGGCACAAUAAAUUUUAGUUGCAAACAAUCUGUUAAAUCUAACAGCCUUAACUUAGUCAGUUGACCUAGUUCGCCAGGCAACCGUACAAUAUCAGAAUUUAAAAAGCUAAGGAUUUCUAGAUUCUUCAACUUUCCAAUUAUGGCUAUGUCUCCCAACAUGCUUUGAUCUAGACAGAGUGUUUGAAGAUUUGCUAGAAGACCGAUUGAAGAUGGCAAUGAAAAUAAUCGCAUUCGUGUCAAAUCUAUAACUCGAAGCGUUUUCAUCCCUUUGAAAAUGUUGUCAGGAAUAUUGACCUCAACAAAAGUGUUUUGGGAAAUAUGUAAAAAUUCAAGUUGCAGACAUUCAAAUUCCUCAGAAACUUCAUGAAUGCUACUAUUUAAUAAAGAGAUUGCAGAGCAUUUUUUAAGUGCAUCCUCAUCAGGCCACUCCCACACAACCUCAUUUCUCACCAAGAAAACAUGUUGGUCUCGACAUGCAAUUGAUACGACAACAUCGUAGACAACAUCAUGCAUGGAAAAUUGUUCACUGCUAUCACCCUCAAGCAAUAAACAAGAGUCUCUAAGUUCAUGGACCAAUGCAUAUAAUUUGUUUCGUGCAUCUACCAUCCUGUUGACUCCUUGAAAUAUGCCCAAACCCAUGGAGUAUUUAAACAAGUCUGUAAACCAAAAACUGUUACCUAUUAGACUGCAGAGCAGAAAAAUUUUCUUGAGUUGCUCACCUUUUAAAUACUUGAAACUCAGUUCAAUACUUGAAUAAGUCUCUGCAGGCACACCUUCGAAGUUUACCACUGAAGGCGUUUGGAGUUCUCGCAAGGCAUUCUUCCACUCAUGCAGACUCUUGUUUCUCAGUGCCCUCGCUACUGUAGUCAAGGCAAUGGGCAAACCUCCACAUGCCUGGGCUACAUUAAUUGCUGUAGACUUGAACUUACAAUUUUCAAGAUCAUCACUAUUCAUUAUCUUAAACAAUCUCCAAGCUUCUUCUUCAUUUAGAUUGCCAAUCAAGAAGUUAUCUUUGGAGCCCAUACUUAAUAGCACAUUAUUGUCUCUUGCUGUCAGCAGUAGUCUACAUCCUUUAUGAUCAUUUCCAAAGGGAAUUCCAACCGUCUCCAAAUCAACAUGUUUCCAGAUAUUAUCUAGAAUCACAAGAAUCUUAUUCUCAUUCUUCAGUCGUUCAUACAGCCUGCUAGCUCUUCUAUAUUCAGCUUCAUCGGACAACUACAGACCUAACUUCUCUGCAAUUUCCCCUUGAAUCUUUUUUAUGUCUGGAGUUUGUGAAACCUCUGAAAAAACCACCCGAUCAAACAGCUUGUCUUCCCUGGCUUGCCUAGCAAACUCCUUCACCAGUGUCGUCUUUCCAAUGCCGCCCAUGCCGUACACCCCAAUAAUGCUGACAUUCACAUCAGUCAACGCAUUUUGUAUGGACUUCAAAGUAGAAACUCUUGAUUCGAAGGCCUCGUAACCUUUGUUCGACUUAAGCCAUAUCUCCUCCGGAGUGGUACGGUGGGAAACGAUAUCAAACUUCUUAACUUCUUCUCCAAGUUCAACAAGGGCCUUCACCUCUGUCUCUGCUUUCUUGCUAAGCUGAUAGCGGGUCUUCAAAUUAGGACACAAGCCCUUGAGACAGCGCUUAUUUGUUGACUCUUCAUCUUCAACGAAUUUGGUUGCCCGGUCAAUGAUGCCGUUAGCAUUAACCAGCCACUUCUCAACCUUCUCUUCAAUCUCUUCCCCUUUUUCUUUCGCCUCUGAAACUCUGCGCUGAAUGCUCGUACGUUCAACCUUCAACUUCUCCAUUUCCGCCUUGAGAUUCUCAAGGUUGGCAUUGUAGUUCCGCUUGCGCAAAUAAACAAGUUUGCGUUCUGUUGGAGGAGCCAAGCAUUUUACAAGUUCCAAAACGAGAGUAACAAUGAUUUCCAGCAUCUUGAAUCCUGACAACAAUGUAGAAAUGAAGAAGGCCAAAGGACAGUAAGAACAGAGAGACAACGAUACGACAAGCAGUUAUGGAGCUAAAAAUAACUAACAAACAAACAGAAGCAAAGUGUUUUUCGAAUGAGAAGAAGGAAGCAAGAAAAGGGUUUCUAUUUAGAUUAAGAAUGAAUGUAAAGAAGUGACAAAGAUGUCACAUAAUGUAAUUAAGUACAGAAUAAGAAAUGAUUAAGAGAGUGGGGGAGCUAAUAAGACUGUGGAGUGAGCAAACGUAAAUAAAUUUUUCUUAACCUAUUGUCACACGCGUAUGACAAAUAAUAUAAUUAAUUUUAUAUUUUUAUUCAAUAACUAUUAAUUAUAGUUUUUUAAAAUUAUUAAAAAAAUAAUUAGGUACUGAAUUUAAAUCCUAUCCUAAAUGGUUAGAUAAAAAUAAGGGAAUGAAAAGAGUAAUGGUAAAUUAAUAAGAAGGUGUGAUUGAUUAAUUUAUGAGGCCAAUUAACGAAACGACAGAUCUAGUUUCCAUGUUUGUAAUUUAAGUGUAUGAGUACGAGGUGAACCAACUCUUUGUCGAGUCAAGCAAAUAGAAAGAGAAAUUACUAAAAUAAGAACCAGCAACUUUCACUCACACAUGAGCUAAUAAUGUAUUGAGAUUGGGCAGAGUAAUAUAAAACCUUAAAACUAGUAUAAUAAAUUUGUCAUCAAGUUUUAGCCUUCUUCUUCAACCAAUUACAGCACUAUCUUGAGCUCUGAGUUUCUUUUUUUAAAUUAUUCAAAAGAUCUCUGUCAUUAGUUUUUCAAUGAUAAAAAUUAUAUUUUUAUGUCAUAAAAUAUAAAAUUUAAAAAAAAAUGAAACAUAUAUUAUAGGUCUGUUUGAGAUUAUUUUUAAAGGCUCAAAAGUCAUUUUUUAAAGUUAAAUGUUAAUUUUGGUAUUUGGUAAAAUUUUUAAAAAUCGCCUUUGGUAAAAUCACUUAUCCCACAACAAAUUUCGGAAAGUAAAAAAGGAAUAGUUUGUCAAAAUCUAAUUUUGAUAACCAGUUUUAUACUUAAUAUAAUUCUAUAUACAACCUUAUAUAUAUUAUAAAAAUAAAAAAUUAUCCUUAUUAUUUAGGAAAUAAAAUUAUUAAUUUUAAAGAUAUUUUAACAAUUACAUUGAGAUAACAAAAUAAAAAUAAAAUUAAUAAUAUAAAAUAUUUAUUUCUGUUAUCAAUUAUUAUAUGUACAAGAUAAAAUUUUUUUUAUAUACAUGUUUAUAAAUGUAUAAAUAAAUUUUGUUUAGCAUUAUGUUCAAUUCGGUCAUUUACAUUAAUAGCACUUUUAGAAGUAAAUUUUCCUAAAUGUUUAACUGAUUAUCUUUACAGUGAUUAUUUCCACAACAUAACUACCAGAAAUUAUUGUAAAAGAUACAACAUUACCAAAAAAAUAUUGAGGUACAUUUUAAUUAAGUAAUUGACUUAAUUAUGAAUCAAUUUAUUAUUUUCAUCUGUGUUAUCUAAACCAGUUCAUUAAUGAGAUCACUCUUUUCCUUAAAUAAAAAUAUUCCUGCCAAACAAUUGUUAACAAAAUUUCAAAUAUAAAUUACAAACAACAAAAUUUUCUAAAGUCAUAACAAUUAUUUAUGUUCUAAAUACAUGUAACUAAACCACAUUGAAAGUUGUCAAAACACGAGGACCUAUUGUUAGUAAAAUUAUUUCUCAAGCAAAUGCAGUGACGGAUUUGGUUUCAUGUUUCACCCUCAAUAACUUAAUUUUCAUAUCUAACAAAUCAUUCAUAUUAUUAACAAUAUCAUCACCAACCAUAAUCUACCUAAACAUACAUAUAACUAUAUACAUACCGAAUCAGGAAAACAAUGAAGGCUACACGUAUCCGGCUCUACAAUUCCUUGUUGGUACCCUUGUGCUUCUAAAAUAAUCGACCAAUUAUAAAAAUUAGCUUUGGCGCAACUUUACCCCUUUUUUUUGGAAAACUUAACUAUAAAUAAAGUAUACAAAUCUCUAAAUUAACUUCGUUCCCAUGAAAUUCAGCAUAAAUAGAAAUAGAAUUAUAGAAACCUUACUACCUUUUAUGAGAAAUCCAACUCAUAUAUUUGAGGCCUCUCUCUCUAAACACGCGCUUCCUCUCUCUGUAGACUUUCCACCUUUGAAUUUUCCUUCACUAAGUCUACCUAAAUGAAUUUAGCAUUCUCCCAGUUUCUUUAGCAUUUUUUCUCCGUGAAAAUAGGUGAAAAAGAGAAAGUGGUUUGAUUAUUUUAAUGUAUGACAGAUCUGGUUUCCAUCUCUGUAAUUUAAGUUUGUCAAAACGAGGUGAUCAACUCUUUGUCGAGUCAGUCAAAUAUAAAAGACAAAUUACUAAACCAAGCAGAGCCCAAAAAAAAAAAUAUUUCCAAUUAAAUAAUCAUCAAGUCUUUUUCAAUUAAAUUAGGGAGUGCAGAACAACUGUCGAGAGAUAAUCAUUGUUUAUGGAGCCAUAUUAUAUUUUCGAUUAAAAUAGGUGCGCGUGAACAAUUGGCAGAAUUCGUAUAAAUUGUUGUCAGGUCUAUUAUAAUUAACAAGCGGAAUGGCCAAUGGAUGAAGAACCACUGUAAUUUCGUUUAUGAAUUCAAAAUGCUAAAGAAACUGGACAUCAACGCUACACGUGAGUCUGCGGCCCUUGCCCCAGUGUCUUUCAGGCGUUACUCGGGGUAGUUGAUAUACUGACGGCCCCUUUAUCAAUUAAUAAUCGAAAUAGAUUAAAAUAUGAAUGGAUUGGAAUGGAAUGACUUGGAAUUAAAAUAUGGAAUGACGAUUAGAUUAAUUAAUUUAUUUAAAUUGAGAAAUUAGAAUCAUAAUAAAUUAUAUUGUUAUUGAUGUAUUUGUUUUAUCUUAAAAUUGCGAUGAGUUGUUACAAAUUACUAAUAUGCCUUUGAUUUUGUAUUAUGAUAAUUAUUAUUUAUUAUAACAUUUGUCAUAUAAUAAUAAUAAUAAUAACAACAACAACAAUUAAUAUUGAAAAAUUUUUAUUGUUAAUAAUAAAUAGGCAAUUAUCCACCGACCAUGUGAUCUUUUGGACGUUUUAAAAAAUAUACAAACACUUUUUUCUUUGCAGAAAUCCACCUGAAAUUUACAAAGUGUUUCAAUUGUUCACUGUCAUCUAAAUUUUGUUAGAAUUUUCUUGACGUUGUAAGGAUAAAAUUGUUAUUUUUACCUUGACUUCCAAAGAGGAUGUCUUUCAAACAUGAUGAAAAUAAAAAAAAAGGAUAAAAAAUUAUCUGUCAACUAUCUGAUCUUUUAGCCAUUAUACAAAAUAUUAAAAAAAUAUGCGAACAUUUUUUAUUUUUUUCAACAAUCCAUCUGAUAGUUAUGAAGUGCAUUAGUGCUCCACUACUAUCAUAACCCUUUAAAAAUAUCGCUUAAACACGAGAACCUAUUGCCUAAAAUUAUUUUUCAAGAAAAUGUAACUACAGAUUUGGUUUUGAUCUUCAUGACUUUUAAGUGUACAAGAACAAGAUGAACGAACCUUUGUCGAGUUGAUGAAUUAAGAUAAAUCAAUUACAAAUCGAGAACAAACUUACGGGUGACAUUUUAGUAUUAAGCAAACUAUAAUUGAUCAUUCAAUGAUAGGCUUAUUUUCAAUUAAAUUAGAGUAAAGAUAGACAUUCCAAAUUUUUUCUCUCAAAUUUAAUCCUAGAUAAUGUGUUAUUAAUUGAGUGCUUGGUAAUUCUUUCAAGAUCUAAGUGAAUUAAUUAUAUUAUCUCUCCAACCAAUUGAUGAAUAUUAUAUUAUUUGAGAUAAUUUUUUUUUAUCUCAAAUCCCAGCAAAGAAAACAGAACAAACGGAGCAAAAAUAUUUUUAGAAACCUAAAAUAACAAAAAAAAACUUUUUCUUGUUUUUCUUAUUUUCCACUGUUAAACUUCAAAAUGAACAACUUUAUUCUACCAUCUCUCAAAUAAUAAUAAUAACAACAAUGUCAUCAUCAUCAAUAAUAAUAAUAAUAUAUUAACUUUGUAGGAUGGAGCUCUCGCAAAUCUUCAAGACACAAAAUGUGCUUGACCCCAUUGUUGUUAUUAUAAUUUCAAAAUCAUCUGUAUUAUAUAAUAUUAGGGAAUAUGACAUAGCAAAAUUGAUGGUACAUAUGUUGCAAUAUACUUGUUCAUGUGGCGACACAUUGAAGUAAAGCACAAGCAAAACAACGAAAAAUGUAACGGGAGAGCUCUCAUUAUGUAGAUUUUCAAUAGAAGUAAUGCAAAUUUCACAAGGGCAAUGUCCUUAUUUCGAAUGCUGCACCUGAGGAAUGACUUGAAUCUUCUUUAGAACUCAAGCAUUCUGUAAUCAUAGAGUAUAACAUUUCAACAAAAAUAUUAUAUAGGUCGUUCCUUUAUAUAUUUUCUGGGUACACAUACAGAAAUAUUAUUUUAGGUACAUUUCUCACAAUAAAGCCUGCCCAAUCUAGCAUUUUCGUAAGUUGGGUUUCUUAUUUACAUGUUUUUUCCAUUGGUUAAUUAUCACAAACCUCCACUGAGAUUUAGCAUGUUUUUAGUUUGAUAGAUUGUAUUCGCGUAUUCUCAAAUACCUUUUAGUUUACCACUUCGUAUAAAUUAAGUUGGUGAGGAUAAAAUCAUAAAAGUACACAUUAAUGAUAAAAAAAUUCAAGUAAACUUGAAAUUUUCAAGGGGUAAUUUUUCGGGACCUCCCCUGAGAUUCGGUGUAUUAAAAAUCUCAUAGAAAGUAUUCAUGUAAUUAUAAGAACCUCCCCUGACGUUAGUACACAGUUAACUUGACUGUUAGUGGACUGAUAAAAAGUCAAAAAUGCCAUUGGCUACAAAAAUGAGUGCAACAAUUUGGAGUUAAAUAGUAAACACGGAGCACUAAAAAGUCUAUAAUAAUCAUGGAAAAAAAUCAUUGACAUUUACAUAAUAUAAAAAAAAAGUAAAAUAUAAAUUAAGAAAAUCAACAAAAUUGUCAACGUAUAGAAUAUUUACAGCAGCAGUGGCUAUAAAUACAACCGUCGUCAAAUUAAAAUAUCACCAUUAGUAAACUACUUCAAUAAGACAAUAAACCAUGAUUCACUCUUCAAAGCAUUCAAAAUACACAACCCGCACAAUAGAAUCACAUACGCACACCUGCUAAUGAAAUAUAAGAACAAACAGGAAAUUGAACUGACAUGGCUAAGAUACUCCUUCCCCAUAGCUAUUAGAAAGAUAAUGAGCGAUUUAUGAAUCAUGAUGCUUGCUUUACUUUCUGGCAGUGUUAGCUUCAAAUUCAAUGAUAGUAAAUGAACAAUGGUUCAUUCAUUAUGAAAGUAAGUGUAAAGCUAGGAAUUUAUAAUAUUCAGAUGUUGGAAUUGAAAAAAUAUUCCUUAAUCGUUUCAAUUGAAGCCAAGGAAGAAAAGAAAUGAGUCUUCUUUUUUCAGGAGACAAGCCAUAUGAAGAAGGCAGACCAGAGCAUAAGAACGAAUGCUACUGCCACAGUAAAAGCCUGGAUCAAUGGGUAAUGGUACCUGCCAUGUCAAUUUCAAGACAAACAAAAAUCAAUUAUCAUCCCCAGACCACAACACCACCAAACCAACCUUUUGAAUCUAAAAUAACAAGUUAAUAAAUCAAAGAUUUCAAUUCAUUUAAGUUUGAAAUCAACUAAAAUAGAAAAAAAAAACCCAAUUUCUUUUUUGUUCAAUAUAACUCAUUCAGCAUCUUCUUCAACACAUUUUUAUCAUUCUUCAUCAUCACAACAAUAAAAAGAAAAAAAAAACAUUGAGUCCAACAUGCAAGUUUUUUUUUGGGAAACUAACCGUUUUUAGGUUCCAAUUCUAGUAGUCUUAAACAGUAGCCGCCGACGAAAUUCGCUUGGCGACACCCUUUUGCCACCAUUGCAGCUUGUCAUGUUCAUACUCAGCUUAAAAUUACUUGAAGGCAGCAGGGAUUUUAUAGUUACAAAAGUUUCUUCAGAGCUUUUCAAGCUUGAAAAUGGCUGAGAGUUUCAUUUAAUGAGAGAGAAAAUGGAGUUUUCAUUCAUCUUAGAUAAAUUGAAGAUAAUUUGUAUUGUGGGUAAUAAAUUGAUUGUCAAUGCCUAAAUUUGGGUCAUCGACACAACUUUGGAAUUUUUUUUAUUUUUCUUUGAUUUUUAUUAUGAAACUACUAAUUUACCCUCAUAUACUAACAUAUAUGAAAUGGCAUACUAACGUCAGUUAUGUCAAGCAGCUCCCUGUAAUUACGUGAAUAUUUUCCAUGAGACUGUCAAUACACAAAAUUUCAGGGGAAAUCCCUAAACAUUACCUAAUUUUUAAGUUGUGUUCUGAAAUUGGUCUCAACUUUGUAAUGUGUAAUGCCCACAAAAAAAGAAAAGGAAAAAUGGUCAUCUCUUUCCUCCAUUCGAACUGAAGCCAUGAAACGCAAUAUCCCUUUCAUCUUCUCUCUAAUGCUUUGAUUAAAAAACUUGCUUACGAACGGGAGACCAUGACACUGAAUCCGAAGACAGAAAUACCUGAGAUGACUGAUUCACGCCGGCGAUGUGGAAGAAUACCGACCAGUGACUUUCGCCGUCGACCCACAAACAAUCCCAGUGUUUUCGAGCCGCCAAUGAGGUAUGAAUAAGAUUAUUUCCGUGCGUGUCAGUUUUGUAAGGAGAUUUGAUUAAAAAAAAGAAUAAUGGGUCUCGAAAUUUUUUUGAGUAUUUCUGUUGCUUAAAUUUUUUUCCAUCGAUUAAUGUUAGUUGUAGGUGAAUGAUUGUUGCAAACGCAUGUUCGCUUGUGAUUGAUUGAAAAUGACUUGUUAUUUGUUAUGCUGCCAUGUGACUCAUUGAAAAUGCCUCUGAAAUUUUUUUAUUUGUUUAAGGUACUGAUUCUGAUUAUUGAACAGGGAUUCAUGCUAGUUUUUAUUAAAUUAAAGAUGAGAUUAUUUUUUAAGAGAUCUACCAAACCUUCUCUACUAUAGAUUUGGCAUCUGACAUACCUGGUUCGCUGGAGAUAAUUGUUUAUAUAGUCAUUGCUGCUCGUAUUAAUCAGGAACAUUGAUUAGCAAUGUACUGGAAUAGAGAUUGGUAUAAUUUUGGAAAAUUAGUCGUAGAUGCAACCUGAUUAUGGUCUCAAAUAGUGUGAUCUGUCAAUUCCGUUUGCUCUAGCCUAACAACCUUGAAUCUGAGCUAUGCCACUAUACAAAGUCCUGACCUAAUCAAGCUUGUUAGCCAAUGUCCAAAAUUGCAGUGUCUUUAGAUAAGCCCUGUCUUACUUGUUUGAGUUAUAAAUGAAAAUUGAAGUGUCUUUGGAUAAUCACGCUGAAUGUUCAAGUUAUUGAAGAGAAGGGACCCCCAGAUUCAAGGCCGGAGCUCCCUGUUGAGAAGCUUUACAUAUAUGGGAUUGUCGCUGGGCGGAGGAUCGAUAUGCCCGGUUUUGUUUGGAAUAGGGAUGAAGAUUUUGCAUUGAGGCUUUCUUGAUAGAUCAUUCUGCAAAUCAAGCUCCAUGUACCUAUCUUCAGACUCUUGGAUAUGUAUAAAGCAGGUGCAUGCUCUAUAUGUUACUCAUUGUAUCACGAUUAUUUUUCUAUUGCUUAAAAUAAUUGCAGUCCUUGAUGUAGUUGGAGACAACUUAUGGAGGGUAUACAGAGGCUCGAGAGUUUGAUUGCCAUUCAUUUGACACUUGGCUGAGCUACAGCAUACCAACUAGUGAUUAAUAAAGAGAAGGUAUGAAGGUCCUGUUGCUGGUGGUAUUAUCAAUCAGAAUUGUUAUUUUACUUAGUCAUAGUUACCAUGUAUAAGAUUCGUAGACUUUUUGCAUGUUUAUGCAUUCGCAUCAUCUUUUUGUUAAGCUAGAGAUGGUUGAUUUGUGUACUCAUUUGUAUCACUUGUAGCCCUUGAGGAAUAAAAUUUAAAAUUUUGUUGCAUCUCCUGUACUAAAUACUAAUUUUGUUUGCUUUAUGUAUGGGAAAUGGUUCAUUAUCUUAUUUCUUUGAUGUGUAUAGUGUUACACUGUCUAAAGUUGAAAAGUAUUUCUAUCACUUGUGUAAAAAACAAACAAUUUUUUUUUCACUCUUCUUAUAUUGAAUAAAAGAGGGACACCAAGAUCUUCACCAAGAUUGAACGAAAUUUGAUGCAGAAAGCAUAGCAAUUAGGCCAGUGCAAAAUAGCUUCCUUCUGAUUCUCUGAUAUUUGACUUAAAUCUUUUGUUUGUUUCAUUCAUCAAAGUCAUUUUGGAAAGUAGCAGGCGUGAUUUGAUAUUUUCAUUGUAUUCACAUCCGUUGGCACCAAAACAAACAUGCUGGUACUAACCAACAAUUUUUUAUUUUUAGUGUACAAAUUAGUUUUUUUAAGACAAAUAAGCUGGUACUAACCAACAAUAUUUUAUUUUCAGUAUACAAAUUAUUAUUUUUUUUUCUAAAUUAGGGGUAUUAAGAAAAGGUAUGCAAGCACCAGGGGAGGUAUUUGAAAAUAUACAAAUACAAUCUAUCAAACUGAGAAUACACCAAACCGGCAGGUUUCUGAUAAAUCCUUUUUUUCUUUUUCCUCCAUUCACUAUAGGUUCAAUUUAGACGCUGUUGACCAAACAGAAGGUUUGGGUUGGUAAACGCACUGGUGUUAAUGCCAACAACCCAAGGCGCUUCAUGGUCCUCUGGGCCGAAAUAGCGUAAUUAUUAAUUCUCCUCCAGUGAAAAUCUUCAUCUUGGGACAAAUACUUACGAAUUGACAUUAUAGCUGUGGAAAUUUGGAGGUGUAAUAACCGGAAAAGUAAAAAUCUUAAGAGACUUUUUAAAUAAAAAAGAUACAACACCUUCAAUUUGCUAAAAGUAAUGGUAUCAUUUCUUGUACGGAUAAUGGAUGAUUAGAUUUUGUUUUUUGUUAUCCGACGAAGGAUAUUCAGUUGUUCUUUAUGUGUUCACAGGCAAGAGCAUGAGCAUAUUCAUGGUUUCAUAUAUGCUUCUUGCAUUUUCUAAUUAAGUACUCUCUUUCCUUGCCUUCUUAGUUUUGAAAGAAAGAUGUGAAGCAAAGCAAACCCAGUGAAAUAUACAGAGAAACAGAACCAUCAGAGGAAAAACUAAAUAACAGAACCACAAUUGAACCAAACAAAAUCAAAUAAACCGAGGCAACGGAUACCCUGAAUCAGGCAUCCCUUUUUCUCGAAAGAAAAUAUGUUUGCAUGGGUGGGAACCUAAUAAUUACUCAAGAGUUGGAGUUGGAAAGAUUUGGUAUUCAUAUCUUCACAAUUCAUAAGCUUUAAUGCAGAAUCGACAGCUUUAUAUUAAUUUAUUCAACCAAAAACGAUAAAGUAGGAAAACCACAAUAAUCCACCAACUUUUGCUACUUUUAGGAAUAAUUUUUGGUCAACUUUCAAAAAGUGAGAUGACGAUCUUUGAGUUGAUAAAUCUUGGCCUGCUGCUUAGUACCCUUCCAACAUAUAAAGUACUAGAUGUUUAGCUGAGAAAAUGACGAGAUCAUUUAUCAAAUUUCUUGCGCAUAUAUACAUAUAUAUACAAGAAAUAAGAAUCAGAGUGAUUAUAAGACCUUUGCAAUGAGGCAAUAAAUACAUCAUCAAAUCUAAAAAUACACAAGAAAUUCGUGACGUAUAUAUAACAAUAGACCUCUCAUUGAGUCAUAGAUAUUGAGAAUAAAAUGUCAAAAUGCAUACAAAGAGCUUAUACAGAAAAUGAAUUUACACACAUUUAGAAUAAACUGUCUUUGAACUUCCGAUGGUCAAACAAAGGAAACAGACAGGAAAUGACACACACUAUCAUAUAUGUAGGGACACGAUGAAGUAAAUCACAUGAAGAUGGAAACGGAACCCCUCACAACAUAAAAUUUGAAUAAAGGGGGAAAAAAAGGCUUCAUUUCAAAUGUUGCACAGAAGAAGAGUGACUUGAAUCUCCAUCAGUAUCCAGACAUUCUACAAACACAGUGCUGAGAAUUUUAACAAGAAUAACAGACAAAAUAUUGUGCUUCUAUAUUUUUCACAGAACUAGACCAAAUCAGUUCCCUUUUUGGUUUGUGAAAACUUGAUAUUUUUGAAAAUUCUAUCCAAUGCUUUCAAACAAUAUUUCCACAAUAUAGUUGUUCAUAGCUAACCUUUGAUGGUGUAAGGAUUUGUUGUAGGCAUAAUGGGCUAAUUAUAUAUAUAUAUAUAUAUUUUACCCGCUGAAUGAUAUUCAGCUUCCAAGUUUCCAAAGAACAAACAGAGCAGAAACAAAUAUAACGGAACAGCAAUGAUGACGAUAAAUGAUUGGCAAAGAAAGAAAGAAAAAAGUUCGCAUGAUUUCAAGGAAUUAUAAUAUCUGAAGACAUUCAACAUGCAAGUGUUGCCCCUUUUAAUGAAAUUUCAUCAUAAAAUGCUUGCAAGGAAUUAUAAAAUUUUAGAGAACAAGCGAAUUCUCAAACAAAAUACUCAAAUUAAAUUAAAUUAGACCAAAAGACAAUCAAUGACGCAAAAUCUGCCCAUAAAAGCCUGAACGAAUCAUGAAAAGUGCAUUCCAUAUUGACAGUAAACCAAGUGACCCAUUCUAAACAAUUGAGAUGAAAUUGUGAAACAACCCACGAGAUCAAAUAAAUAAAAUAAGAAUUAAUUACCAGCUGGGACUUUCUUCUUCAAAUUCGUAACUCCAAGUCAUAAGAAGGCUAUGAAAUUAGUCGUAAUCCACAGAGUAUGACGACGACCCCGCCAACAGCUGAAAAUAAAAUUCUUAUUCAUCAAUUUAAACUAACUUUAUAACAAAUAUCUUAUCGAUAUUUUAUUUAAAAAGAAAAAGCAAAUUUUGUAAAAUUUUUCUAUGGGAGAUAGAGAGUAACAUGUAUAUCCGUACCUUCUCAGCAUGUAAUUGUUGUAUGGUCGUGUUAAGAUCAUUAUUAGCCCAACGCCGUUGAUCCGCUGUCUCUCCAUAGCAGACGUUUACUCUUAGAGUCGUGAUUGAUUCUCCUGUAGUGAAAAUCUUCAUCUUGGGACAACCAAUCACCCACAAAUCUUGCAAAGAUGGGAAUUUGAAGGUGUAAUUGGCAGAGCAGAAACUUGUGAGGCUGUCUAAAUCACGCAGGUCCAACGCCUUCAAUUUGGGGAAAACAAUCUCUUCUUUUUCAACCCCGUCUUUGUCAUUUAUUACCACGUCUGACAUUGCUCUGCAUCCGUAUACACAAAGUGAUACGAGUCGCACUAGAGUUUUUGCUGUGGAGGAUGUUACUAAGUGUAUCAAUUUCUUGCAAUCGAAAGCUACAAGUUUUGUUAGGUUCCCAAAAGAUACCGACGAUGAUGGCAAUAGAAUUAACAGACUUUGACAAUGAUAUACUUUUAGAAUUUCAAGAUGCUGAAAAAUGGGGCCAAGUUUGGAAUCUUGUUUGCACAGCUGCUUCAGAUGAUAGUGCCGAUGCAGCUUUAAUUCUUUUAUCAUUGCCAACUUCCCCACAUGUUUCUCUAAGCUUCGAGAUUGUGAAAUCUCUCCAGUACGUUCCAGAUUGGAAAACCAGCUGAGUCAUCUGCAGCAAUCUCUAGUUCUCUAAGACUGCCAAAAAGGUGUUGUGGGAAAUCGGCCUGCAAAAUCAUCUUCACAUCUUUUCCACUUAGUGAUAGUUCCUUCAAGUUGGGUACGAUCUGAUCAUCAUCAAUCAUAAUAACUAAUGAGGUCAAUUGAUGAUCUACGGUCACACACAGUGACUUUAUAGUAUUUGUUUUAUAUUAUAUUUUUAAAAAAAUUGAAUUAUUGAUAAAAUUUAUUUUAUAUGUUAAUUUUAGAGGUAAAAAAGAAAUUAGAGAAAAAGGUUGAUUUAUACUGGCUCGAAAUUAUUUUAUUGCACAAUAAUAAAUUACUAAUUUAUUUUGUAAGUUCUUCUAUAUGGAAAGACUAAGGAUUUUUUUAUAAAUGCUAUACCAAAAAAAGUUCAUAUAAUUAUUAAUCUACCACAUUGAUCUCUUAAUCUAGACUAGCAAAGAUUAUUGUAUAAUAAAAGUUUUCAAUUUAUUGAGUAUUAAUUUAUCGAUGCUUUGUCAUAUUUUUCAAAGUUAAAAAUAAGCUAUAGACAAAAAAUCUAGAAAAUGGUUUCAUACCUUUUCCAACGGCAAUGGGGGCUGUUGUGCAGGAAUGCCAAGUUGAUCAUUCUGCGAUAAAUCUGCAGUGAAUAUCUUUAAUUUGUCACAAAAAUACACAAAAAGAAUUUCUAGCGCGGGCCAUUCCGAAGUAUGCAUUCCAGGGUACAAACAUCUAAGUUUUGGUAGACCUUCGAGUCUCAGAGUGGUGAGCUGUGGAAAGACAAAAUAAGGGAUAACUUCAUCUGCUCUGUUCUCAGAAAUGAUCUCCUGGAAAUCCUCACAGAAGCGUACUUCUAGGUGUUGGAGCUGCUUAAGGCUUCCGAUCAUAGACGCUGAAAAUAUGUAUUUUAAUUUGUUACAACGCCACACAAUCAAUCGUGUUAAAUUUUGAAAGCGAGGAAACAUGACCGGAAGAUGAUUGUAGUGCCAAAUCUUGUCGACAUUAAUUGCAGAUAUCUCCAAAGCCUCCAAGUUGGGCAACGCAACCUAAAAAAAUAAGAAUUUCUCGUUAGAUCCAAUAUCCAAAUGGGAAGCACUUGUUGAAAUUUUCUUCUUUGAUUACAAAUUAAUGCAAGUCUGAAUCAAUUUCCAACUGACAGCUGAGUAUGCAUUCUAAUUCAUACUACUUGUUAAGAGCUCAAUUAGUGAGCGCGUGAGAUUCUUUUUAUCCUUUUUUCCAUUUUCUUUCAAUUCUUUAAAUGAUUUAAUUAUUUCCACGUAUGACGUCAAAAGAGAACGUUAUAUAUGAAUAAAAUCUGUUAUAUAUGAAGAAAAUGUUAGCCUACGCACCUUCUCGUUGAAAAGCAGAGUUGAAGUAUCCAAAGUGAUUUCGCUGGAGCAAUACGUAGUCGUCGAUUCCUCUUGCGACGCUGGUCUGUUCGGUGAUGCUGAAGGAGUCUUUACUUCACGGCAGAAAUUUGUAACCUCUGGAAGAUUCCCCAGACUCAAAGAUCUUAAUUGAGCAAACUCUAUCUUCUCAAUUGCAUUAUCAACUUCAUCCCCAAUUGAAAAAAUUUCUUUCAUCUUGCUGCAAUUAAUAACUGCAAUUCUCUCAAGUCUUGGAAGGCAUUUUGUAGUGGAGAGCCAAAAGAUAUUGCUUAACUUAUCACAAUUAUAUGCUUCUACGGUUUUGAGUUUGUUGAAAGACUCUACUUUGAGCCGAUCAAUACAUAUCCUCUCCAUGUUGAUCAAAUUGUGAAGGAUAAGUGACUCCAAAAGAGGAAAGGCAUCACAAGCGACCAUCGCCCUUGAAUCGACGAUGCAAAAGAAGUCAGGAUUAUUUUGAACCCAGAGAAGCUUCAAUUGUGAAAAGCCCUCCGUGUCCAAAUUGAAAAGAACAUCCUCGAUGCCUUGCAGCUUGUCCAACCAUAAGUAUUCAACGUUAUUGAUGCCCUGCAAUUUCAUGGAGCAAAUGUUCAUAAAAUCAAGCUUGAGCUUCAAUGCUCUUAAUCUCUUCCGAUCACUGUUGAUCGAAAAGUGCAGCUGACUUUUGAACCAAUUUUGUCUAACACUCUUGGGAGGCAUGAACGACUCAUUUGCAAUAGAUAUUUUGAACCUUUCGAGCUUUCUGGCCAAAAAACCUUCUGGUAAAAUACUGUCAUUUUUAACGUCAAUUUCUAGAGUGGUUAGCCGAGGUAAAUGCAUCAAUUCGUCAAGGCUAGCAUUACUUCUUUUGCUGUUGGCUCUUUCAACCUCCCAUUCAAUGAAGCAAUUACCCAUAUACAGCUCUUCUAGUCGAGUUAAGCUUGCAUGAGAUUGGGCGCAAUAACUUUUAGAUGGAAACAAUUGGGUUAAAUCUAACAAUCUCAACUUAUUCAAUUGACCUAGUUCUUCUGGCAACUGCAUAAUAUCAGACAUCAAAAAGCUAAGGACUUCUAGAUUCUUCAACUUCCCAAUGAUUGCUAUGUCGCCCAACGCACUUUGAUCCAGACAUAGUGGUGUGGAAGAUUUACUAGAAGAUCAAUUGAAGGAUGGAAAAGAAGGACAAUAACCGCAUUCCAGUAAAANNNNNNNNNNNNNNNNNNNNNNNNNNNNNNNNNNNNNNNNNNNNNNNNNNNNNNNNNNNNNNNNNNNNNNNNNNNNNNNNNNNNNNNNNNNNNNNNNNNNNNNNNNNNNNNNNNNNNNNNNNNNNNNNNNNNNNNNNNNNNNNNNNNNNNNNNNNNNNNNNNNNNNNNNNNNNNNNNNNNNNNNNNNNNNNNNNNNNNNNNNNNNNNNNNNNNNNNNNNNNNNNNNNNNNNNNNNNNNNNNNNNNNNNNNNNNNNNNNNNNNNNNNNNNNNNNNNNNNNNNNNNNNNNNNNNNNNNNNNNNNNNNNNNNNNNNNNNNNNNNNNNNNNNNNNNNNNNNNNNNNNNNNNNNNNNNNNNNNNNNNNNNNNNNNNNNNNNNNNNNNNNNNNNNNNNNNNNNNNNNNNNNNNNNNNNNNNNNNNNNNNNNNNNNNNNNNNNNNNNNNNNNNNNNNNNNNNNNNNNNNNNNNNNNNNNNNNNNNNNNNNNNNNNNNNNNNNNNNNNNNNNNNNNNNNNNNNNNNNNNNNNNNNNNNNNNNNNNNNNNNNNNNNNNNNNNNNNNNNNNNNNNNNNNNNNNNNNNNNNNNNNNNNNNNNNNNNNNNNNNNNNNNNNNNNNNNNNNNNNNNNNNNNNNNNNNNNNNNNNNNNNNNNNNNNNNNNNNNNNNNNNNNNNNNNNNNNNNNNNNNNNNNNNNNNNNNNNNNNNNNNNNNNNNNNNNNNNNNNNNNNNNNNNNNNNNNNNNNNNNNNNNNNNNNNNNNNNNNNNNNNNNNNNNNNNNNNNNNNNNNNNNNNNNNNNNNNNNNNNNNNNNNNNNNNNNNNNNNNNNNNNNNNNNNNNNNNNNNNNNNNNNNNNNNNNNNNNNNNNNNNNNNNNNNNNNNNNNNNNNNNNNNNNNNNNNNNNNNNNNNNNNNNNNNNNNNNNNNNNNNNNNNNNNNNNNNNNNNNNNNNNNNNNNNNNNNNNNNNNNNNNNNNNNNNNNNNNNNNNNNNNNNNNNNNNNNNNNNNNNNNNNNNNNNNNNNNNNNNNNNNNNNNNNNNNNNNNNNNNNNNNNNNNNNNNNNNNNNNNNNNNNNNNNNNNNNNNNNNNNNNNNNNNNNNNNNNNNNNNNNNNNNNNNNNNNNNNNNNNNNNNNNNNNNNNNNNNNNNNNNNNNNNNNNNNNNNNNNNNNNNNNNNNNNNNNNNNNNNNNNNNNNNNNNNNNNNNNNNNNNNNNNNNNNNNNNNNNNNNNNNNNNNNNNNNNNNNNNNNNNNNNNNNNNNNNNNNNNNNNNNNNNNNNNNNNNNNNNNNNNNNNNNNNNNNNNNNNNNNNNNNNNNNNNNNNNNNNNNNNNNNNNNNNNNNNNNNNNNNNNNNNNNNNNNNNNNNNNNNNNNNNNNNNNNNNNNNNNNNNNNNNNNNNNNNNNNNNNNNNNNNNNNNNNNNNNNNNNNNNNNNNNNNNNNNNNNNNNNNNNNNNNNNNNNNNNNNNNNNNNNNNNNNNNNNNNNNNNNNNNNNNAUGCUUCUCCUUUCAUCCUUGAGCUUGUCUAUUUCUGCCUUGAGAUUCUCAACGUUGGCUUUAUAGUUACGCAAAUAACCAAAUCGGCGUUCUAUUGGAGGAGCCAAGCAUUUCAAAAAUUGUAAAACAACAGUAACAAUGCUUUCCACCAUCCUGGAUCCUUUUUUUUUUUUUUCAAAGUUCUGACAAGAAAAUAAACAAGGAGCGAAACACAGAGAGAGUGAAAAAAAAAAAAGCGAAACAACGAAGAUGGACAGUUUAUCCGGUUCUGGAAGCGGAGAAAUGAAAGAAAGAGUAAAAGCUGUUAUGGAUCUGGUGAGAAGAUGGAAACAAGGAAAAGGUUUCUAGUUCGAGAACUGAUUGAGUUAAUAUAAGGAAUGAUUUAGAUAAUAGAGGCAAAGGGAACCAAUCAAAAUAACUGAAGUAUUGUGCAGAAGAAAGACGGAAAAAAUAGACUGGUAAUAGAGAUGGAAAAAAUGAAGAUAUCUUGACACGGUAGAAGUACAAAGGGUAGAUAUGGAACCAAACAGAGACAACAGCAGGCCACAACAAGAUUGGGAAUGGAGAGAAACUAAUUAACGAAGACUGGAGAUUACAACAAAACAGAUGCCAAGAGAAAACUUGAUCCUGUGAAAUUCAAGUUAGCUGACGAAUACGGGGAUCAAGAGGGAAAAACUGCUUGCUCGUAAAACUACUUUCAAGCGAAUCUGAUAAAAUUAAUUUUUAAACUGCAGAACAGGUAGAAUAUCAGAUUGAUUAAUUUAAGAAACCCUUGCUUCAGUUUUAAGUAAGAUCUUUUUUUUUUUUUUUAUAAUUUCUCCGAAUGCUCUUUCAAUGGAAGGCAUAUGAUCAUUUUGUAUUCAGUAUACAAAGAUUAAAGAUGAUCCUUUUUCUAAUUUAUUAAUUAAAUAAGGUUCUCUGACAUCUUCUUGCAUGAGUUGUCCCCCUGGUUUGUUAUCAUCUUAUGAAAUUCUCGCAUGCCCGAUUUUCUUUUAUUAAAUUAUAUAUUAAAGUUUUCAAUGAUGAAAUUAAUCGUCAUCAUGUGCCGGCAUGCAUGUAUUGGUUGAUGUCACGUUUUGCAAGUAUGCUGGAUAAAAUUAAUUUUCAAAAUUAAUUAAUAAAAUGUAACGUAAGUUGUUGAAAGAAACUUCAUAUUUAUCCUGAAGCAUUCAACUCAGUUCUUUUACUCUAUGAUAAAUGUAUUUUAAAAAUUACCAAUAAUUGAGAAUAAAAUAAGGACAAAACAUUAAAAAUCGAACACAACUCAUGUUUUACUUGAGUUUUAUAUUUAUGCUGAUACAUACUUUGGACACAUUCUUUGGAAAAGACAUUGACAUUGGCGUGCAUCAUCAAAUUUGUUAGUGAAAAACCAUAAUUAUAUAUUACUACAUUUACAAAUUUUGUAUAAAAGGUUUUAAAGGUUUGCUACAUAGACCUCUAAAAAUUCCAGAAAUGAUUAUAUAUACCUUUUUACAAUUAUAUCAUUUGGUUAUAAUCAAAUUUUUUACAAUAAAUACAAAUAACAUAUUAAGAUAACUAUGAGUAGCAAAAUAGUAUUUCAAAUAUGAAAACAUAUUAAAUGCAUAUAAUUAAUAAAGUAAGAAAUAUAAAGAGUAAACUAUUAUCUAUAUGUCCAGCCAGAUUUAUUAAUACUAAUCCAUUAACCCAAAGAUUGACUUUAAAAUUCAUACUAUACAUAAUAUUCACAUAAUACAACAUAAUUUUUUUAAAUUAAUUAUUUUGAAUGUUAAAUAUAACUAUUUUUUUAAUUUAUCUUCUAUGAAUUCAAAUAUCCCCUUUAAACUGCAGAAGGAGAAAAAAGAAAUGUUCUGAAUUUCAAUGUAUUAAUUUUAACCUAAUUUAGUUGAGACUCGUAAUCUCGUCUCAAUGAUUAAUUAGUAGAUAAUCUUUCUAAUAAAUAUAUGUUGAAUAGAUAUAUUUCUUGACUAUUAAUAGGUUAGAUAUAUUUUAGCAUAGGAAUGAAAGUACAAGUUGUGUCAUAUUACCAGGAAAGUGUAUCAAUUUCUUGCAAUCGAAAGCUACAAGUUCUGUUAGGUUCCCAAAAGAUACCGAUGAUGAUGGCAAUAGAAUUAACAGACUUUGACAAUAAUAUACUCUUAGAAUUUCAAGAUACUGAAAAAUGGGGCCAAGUUUGGAGUCUUGUUUGCACGGCUGCUUCAGAUGAUAGUGCCGGUACAGCUUUAAUUCUUUCCCACAUGUUUCUCUAAGCAUCCUUCCUUCGAAAAUUCCUCUUCGUUGAAUGAAAAAUAAACCAGUGCGAGUAUUUCGAGAUUGUGAAAUCUCUCCAGUACGUUCCAGAUUGGAAAACAAGCUGAGUCAUCUCCAAAAAUCUCUAGUUGUUUAAGACUGCCAAAAACGUGUUGUGGGAAAUCGGCCUGCAAAAUCAUCUUCACAUCUUUUCCACUUAGUGAUAGUUCCUUCAAGUUGGGUACGAUCUGAUCAUCAUCAAUCAUAAUAACUAAUGAGGUCAAUUGAUGUUCUUUCAAAUGAUUUUGAGUAAUCCAAUCACAAGCAGUGACUUUAUAGUAUUUAUUUUAUAUUAAUUUUACCCCUAAAAAAAUUGAAUUAGUGAUAAAAUUCAUUAUAUGAUUUUUUUUAUAUGUUAGUUUUAGAGGUAAUAAAGAAAUUAGGGAAAAAAUGAAAUUAUUUAUGCAUGANNNNNNNNNNNNNNNNNNNNNNNNNNNNNNNNNNNNNNNNNNNNNNNNNNNNNNNNNNNNNNNNNNNNNNNNNNNNNNNNNNNNNNNNNNNNNNNNNNNNNNNNNNNNNNNNNNNNNNNNNNNNNNNNNNNNNNNNNNNNNNNNNNNNNNNNNNNNNNNNNNNNNNNNNNNNNNNNNNNAAGUAUUAAUUUAUCGAUGCUUUGUCAUAUUUUUCAAACUUAAAAGUAAGCUAUGAAAAAAAAAUCUAGAAAAUGGUUUCAUACCUUUAUAUAUAUAUAUAAAGAAAAUGUAAGCUUACGCACCUUCUCGUUGAAAAGCAGGGUUGAAGUAUCCAAAGUGAUUUCGCUGGAGCCAUACAUAGUCGUCGAUUCCUCUUGCGACACUGGUCUGUUUGGUGAUGCUGAAGGAGUCUUCACUUCACGGCAGAAACUUGUAACCUCUGGAAGAUUCCCCAGGCUCAAAGAUCUUAAUUGAGCAAACUCUAUCUUCUCAAUUGCAUUAUCAACUUCUUCCCCAAUUGCAAAAAUCUCUUUCAUCUUGCUGCAAUUAACAACUGCAAUUCUCUCAAGUCUUGGAAGGCAUUUUGUUGUAGAGAGCCAAAAGAUAUUGCUUAACUUAUCACAAUUAUAUGCUUCUACGGUUUUGAGUUUGUUGAAAGACUCUACUUUGAGCCGAUCAAUACAUAUCCUCUCCAUGUUGAUCAAAUUGUGAAGGAUAAGUGACUCCAAAAGAGGAAAGGCAUCACAAGCGACCAUCGCCCUUGAAUCGACGAUGCAAAAGAAGUCAGGAUUAUUUUGAACCCAGAGAAGCUUCAAUUGUGAAAAGCCCUCCGUGUCCAAAUUGAAAAGAACAUCCUCGAUGCCUUGCAGCUUGUCCAACCAUAAGUAUUCAACGUUAUUGAUGCCCUGCAAUUUCAUGGAGCAAAUGUUCAUAAAAUCAAGCUUGAGCUUCAAUGCUCUUAAUCUCUUCCGAUCACUGUUGAUCGAAAAGUGCAGCUGACUUUUGAACCAAUUUUGUCUAACACUCUUGGGAGGCAUGAACGACUCAUUUGCAAUAGAUAUUUUGAACCUUUCGAGCUUUCUGGCCAAAAAACCUUCUGGUAAAAUACUGUCAUUUUUAACGUCAAUUUCUAGAGUGGUUAGCCGAGGUAAAUGCAUCAAUUCGUCAAGGCUAGCAUUACUUCUUUUGCUGUUGGCUCUUUCAACCUCCCAUUCAAUGAAGCAAUUACCCAUAUACAGCUCUUCUAGUCGAGUUAAGCUUGAUAUGAGAUUGGGCGCAAUAACUUUUAGAUGGAAACAAUUGGUUAAAUCUAACAAUCUCAACUUAUUCAAUUGACCUAGUUCUUCUGGCAACUGCAUAAUAUCAGACAUCAAAAAGCUAAGGACUUCUAGAUUCUUCAACUUCCCAAUGAUUGCUAUGUCGCCCAACGCACUUUGAUCCAGACAUAGUGUGUGAAGAUUUACUAGAAGAUCAAUUGAAGAUGGAAAAGAAGAAACCUGCAUUCGGGUAAAAUCCAGAACUCUAAGCUUUUUCAUCCCUACAAAAAAGUUCUCAGGAAUAUUGAUUUCAAGAGAAGAAUCUUUGAGAGAGAUAAAUAAAAGUUCAAGGUUUGGGCAUUCUAAUCCUUCAGGAAAUUCACGAUUACUAUUAUUUAUUAAAGAGAUAGCAUUGCAUUUUCGUAGUGCAUCCUCAUCUGGCCAGUCCCACACAUCCUCAUCAUUUCUCACCGAAAACACGUGUUGGUGGCGGCAUGCAAUUGAUAUUGCGACAUCGCAAACAACAUCAUGCAUUGAAAAUCGUUCAUUGCUAUCACCCUCAAGCAACAAACAAGAGUCUCUAAGUUCAUGGACCAAUGCAUAUAAUUUGUCUCGUGCAUCUUCCAUCUUAUUGACUCCUUUAAAUAUACCCAAACCCAUGGAGUACUUGAACAAGUCCGAAGUAUUAUGGCUCUCCAUUAGACUACAGAGCAGAAAAAUUUUCUUGAGUUGCUCACCUUUUAAAUGGUUGAAACUGAGCUCAAUACUUGAAUAAGUCUCUGCAGAUACCCCUUCGAAGUUUACCAUUGAAGGCGUUUGGAGUUCUCGCAAGGAAUUCUUCCAUUCAUGCAGACUCUUGCCUCUCAGUGCCUUUGCUACUGUAGUCAAGGCAAUGGGCAAACCUCCACAUGCCCUGGCGACGUCUAUUGCUGUAGAUUUCAACUCACGAUUUUCAACAUCAUCACCGGCCAUCAUCUUAAACAAUCUCCAGGCUUCUUCUUCAUUUAAAUUGUUUAUCAAAAAGUUGUCUUUAGAACCCAUUUUUAAGAGGACACUACGAUCUCUUGCCGUUAGCAGUAGUUUGCAGCCUUUAUGAUCUUCUCCAAAAGGAAUUCCAACUGUCUCCAAAUCAAGGUGUUUCCAAAUGUUAUCUAAAACCACAAGGAUCUUCUUGUGAUUUCUCAAUCGCUCAAAUAGUCUACUUGCUCUUCUAGAUUCAACUUCCUCGUGCAGCUCCAGGCCCAACUUCUCGGCAAUUUCCUGUUGAAUCUUUUUUAUGUCUGGAGUUUGGGAAACCUCUGAAAAGACCACCAUAUCAAAGAGCUUGUCUUCCAUAGCUUGCCUGGCGACCUUCUUCACCAGUGUCGUCUUUCCAAUGCCGCCCAUGCCGUACACCCCAAUGAUGCUGACAUUAACAUCGAUCAAUGCUUUUUUUAUAGCCUCAAAAGUAGAACGUCUUGAUUCGAAGGCCUCGUAGCCUUUGUGAGACUUGAGCCAAAUCUCCUCCGGAAUGGUACGGUAGGAAAUUCUAUCAUCAAAUCUCCCAGCUUCUUCUCGGAGUUUAAAAAGGGCCUCCUUCUC
rnacentral:lncRNA from 1 species